GAAAAUGUCGGAAAAUUGAUACAUUUAAAAUAUCUUAAUUUGUCUGGACUAUGUAUAGUGAGACUACCUGAGACUUUGUGUGAAUUAUAUAAUUUACAAAAGCUAGAUAUUAGGCGGUGCCGAAAUCUAAGAGAAUUGCCUGCGGGGAUUGGGAAGUUAAAGAACAUGAGGAGUUUAUUAAAUGGUGUUACUCUUUCGUUGAAGUACAUGCCAGUAGGGAUUUCCAAAUUAACCAGUCUUCGAACAUUAGACAAGUUUGUGGUGGGUGGAGGUGUUGAUGGUAGCAAUACGUGUAGGCUUGAAUCUCUGAAAAAUCUUCAACUCCUUCGAGAAUGUGGAAUAGAAGGGCUGGGUAAUGUGUCACAUUUAGAUGAGGCUGAGAGGUCACAACUUCACAAUAAGAAAAACCUCCUUCGUUUGCAUCUUGAGUUUGGUAGAGUCGUAGAUGGGGAAGGCGAAGAAGGGAGGAGGAAGAAUGAGAAAGAUGAACAACUUCUUGAAGCUUUACAACUGCCUUUGAAUGUAGAGGAAUUAUGGAUUAUAUCCUACCGAGGCAACAUUUUUCCCAAAUGGUUGACUUUGCUAACCAAUCUAAGGAAUUUAACACUUUCCGCGUGCGUUAACUGUGAGCAUUUGCCUCCUUUGGGAAAAUUGCCUCUGGAAAAACUCAAACUACGGAAAUUAAAAAGUGUAAAAAGAGUGGGUAAUGAGUUCUUGGGAAUAGAAGAAACUAGUGAGGAUGACCCAUCUUCAUCUUCAUCAUCAUCAUCAGUUACUGCCUUCCCGAAAUUGAAAUCACUCGAAAUUUGGGAAUUGGAUGAAUUGGAAGAGUGGAAUUACAGGAUUACGAGGAAGGAAAACAUCUCCAUCAUGCCCCGUCUUUCUUCCUUAAAAGUUGGUUCUUGCAACAAAUUAAAGGCGCUGCCGGAUUGCCUUCUUCAAACGACGGCACUGCAGGAACUGAGUAUUUAUUUUUGUGAAAAUUUGGAAGAACUGCCCAUUCUAGAAGAUCGCAGGACAAUAGACAUACCGCGUCUUUCUUCUUUGCGAAUUGGGUAUUGCCCCAAAUUAAAGGUGCUGCCGGAUUACCUCCUUCGAACGACGGUGCUGCAGGAAUUGAGUAUUAUAAAAUGUCCCAUUUUGGAAAACCGUUAUGGAGAGGGGGAAGGAGAAGACUGGCAUAAGAUAUCUCACAUUCCCCACAUCAAGUGGUCGCCGUAAUUUAUCACUUGCCGGUAAUUUCUCCUCCUCCUCUAAUUUACUUCAUUGUUGCUUGCAAUGAAAUUAAUAGAAAUAAUUAUAUUUUGAAUUAAAAUUCUAUAUAGAAUCAAUCAUGGUAUAAAUACGUAAAACUUCCUAGUUAUCAAAUCUGUUAAACUUGUUUUCUAAAGAUUAAAUAAUUAAAAAAAAAACAAAGUGUAGUCUGCUGAAAUUUCUAUAUUUACUUUUAAAAAAUAUGUGCUCUUUUGUAAAAUUUCGUGCAAUGUAAUUUAUUUUUUAAUGUACGAAAAUUUGUUAUGUGUAACUUGCUGAGAGACAAAAUCUCUGUGAUAUAUUUGCAGUAAUGUUGAAAACUAAAUUAUCAAUUUUAUCUUGUAUAAUGCUAAUCUUAUUUUUUAUAUAUAUAAUAUACAUGACUUUAAUUCUUUAAAGUAAUUGUGUAAUUGUUUUUACUACAAUAGCCCACUUUGUUUUAUUUCAUACUUGUUUAAUUGCCAGGUCCAAGCUAAUUUGGUUUUAAUGAUGCAGGCAGGAGAGCAAGACUAUGAAAAUGAAAAGUUUAGCCAAAGGAUUGCUAAAAUGUUCUGCUGGUAAUUCACUUGCUUUAUUUUAUAGAAUUUCAUUUCCAUCUUCUUCUAUUGAUAUCUUGUUGUGAAUAAACAAGAACAGAGAAGUAAAGAUAUAUCAAAAUUUACUAUUACGAUGAUGCUAAAACAAGCUCAAGCUCAAGCAUUGCAUUUUUAUUUUAUUUUAUUUAUAGAAUUUUCAUUUCCACCUGCAUUGCAUUUUUAUUUAUUUUUAGGUUGACUUUGAAUACUUCAUGGUGAACAUUGGGGUGACCAAGGAUUAGGGUGGCAGUGGACCGACUACCACUGUGGUUAUUAUGCGACUUUAAAGAAGAAAGUGAUGGCUGGGUCUGCUCUGUUUCUAUCUUUUUUAAUUCUUUGAUCGGUUUAUCCUAUAUAAACAUAUGGAAUUAUGCUAAUAUUAUCAAUUUUUUCACCCAAUUUUCACUGUUGGUUGUGAUAACAAUUUCAGGCUCUCAAAAGCUACAAAGCAAAGCAUUUGUGGGCUGAUCAUAUGCUUCAAUUGAGGAAGGAGUUUGGUGUUGGCAAUAUUGUCCAGGUAACCACAGCUGAUAAUUUCCACAAAUUUGCAUUGUCAGAAUACACUUUAAUGUUCAUUGUAUUCCUAUGUAUUAUCAGGUUAUCGUGGUAUGAAAAGUAUCAUCUUUAAGGAUUCGUAAGAGACUUCGCAGUAAACUUAGUUGUCACCAGCUCGUGCAAUUGGUCAUUCAGUCAAGAGUACUUCAAAAUUAGAUUUUCAAGGUUUAUAUGUUUAGUUGCGAUCAAAAUGUUUAGUCAUUCAUUCGUAAUCUUUUCUGAUUUUCAAGUUCUUUAGGGCCAUAAACAUUUUUCGAACUCAUUCUUAAUUUUUAGGUUGAUUUCGAGAACCCUGUUGAGGACAUUCCUGAGACCAAGGAUUAGGCUGGCGAAGAAACUACUACCUCUGUUGUUAUAGUGCAGGGUUUGAUCAUUGGACCUUGAAUAAGAAGGCCUUCCACGCAUUCUGUAAUUCAAGCAUUCUCUAAAGGAAAAGAGCAGUAGAAGGGAUAGUGAUGGCCGGAUCUGCUCUAUUUUAGUUGAAGAUCUCUGUGAUGUCGAUGAACUUAACGCAGUUGAUACUUCUUGAAAAUUGUUAUUACGGAUGAAUUGAUUCUUGGAGAGGGGUAUCCAAAGGCGGAUUUUCAUAAACUUCCUUCUUUAACAAAUGUUCCAAUGCUUGUUGUAGUAACAAUUUCAUAGCUUGCAUCUCUCGGGUGCAUCAUGUUCACGGGUUGGAAAAAGCAUUUGUGGUAAAGCUUCAAAGCUUGUAAAAUGGCUGUGAAAAGGCACAUUCAAUUCGGUAUGCUUUGGUGCGGUCUCCUAAUGCUAAUAUUAUAUUUUGUAUAGCAAUCUUAAUAUGCAAAAAAUCAUUGUGUCCAAAGUUUUCUGUUAAUUAUAUGGUGACUGAAAUUUUAAUUAUCAUAUCAAUCUUAAAAAUUUUUGUAACCCUAUUUUACUUUGCUUGUACAGAAUACCUGUUUUCGCUGAUAUGUCUAAUUCCUAGAAAUUCAUUUCCAUCGGUUUCCAUUGGUUUUAGCACAAACAGAAACAUAGAGCCCUGGGAAAAAGUUUUACUUUUGGUGGUAUUAUGCCUUAUUUUCUUCAUUCAUCAUAUUUGUUUCGAAUUCAUGCUCUCAUUCAGAGAGUAAAGCCUUUUCCAGGCUGUUUUGUAGCCAAAUUUCGAUGCCAUCGAUGCGUGAUUGUCAUUUAGAUUUUCGAAAUAAUUGUUAGAUUGGAGAAGAAUAAGAAUAUAUUGUUCAAAGGCUAUUUAAUUAGCACCCUCUGAAUUUAGUUGGCAAUAAUGCAUUGAAAUGGUUGGGGAAAGUUAUUGUCUUAAUUAAAUUACAGGUGAUAAGAUGCUGCUUCAAUUUUGCAAGCAUCUUGUACUGCAAAGAUUCUGCCCACAUGAGAUGCUGUGAUUCUUGACGUCAGGACAACACAGGUCAAAUUUUAGUAUCAAUAUAUAUCAUCUUCUUUACUGUUCUGCCUCUAAAUAUUAAACUUUAAUCAACUUGUUUUUGUUUGUGUAAAUUAUCAGGUUAAGGAUACUAAGCUGCUUAUUAAGGCAAAUGUCAGAAUGAAGAUUGCUCACCGUACCUGGUAUGCAUGAUGGCCAGGAAGAUUAAUUGUUCACAAACCAAUUUGAUCAGUGUUAGAUUUUUUGCCUCCUUUCGAGGGACAUCAUCAUCAAAUUUGAGUAGAGAAUCUUUGAAGGGAAUUUUGUUGUAAGAGCUUCACAGUAGUGAAUUCUGGGAGCUCGAACUUGAGUGAGAUAAUAGGGAGUAUUGGGGAUUUGGGUUAUGAGUAAUCAUUAUCCUUCCAAUAUGUGUAAGCACUCACUUGUUAGUAAAAUCAUCUUCAUAUAUUAAUUGUUUCUUUGUUAUCAGGUAGAGUGUGAUCUUCAAGGGUUUGAGAAAGUCCUUGCAGUAAAGUUUCCACCAGAAGCAAUUGCUCAGUUUCAGAUUUUUUAGGCGCUUAAUUAGUUUCGAUUAUAAUGUUUAGUUAGUUUCAAUUAUAAUAUUUAGUCACUCAUUCUGAAUCUUUUCUAAUUUUCAAGUUCCUUAGGGCCACGACCUGUUUUUCAAGUCUGCAUGUGGCUGCGAAAAGAUUGAUGGUCAUAAAAUUAUCUUGACCCUUGAGCCAUUGCGUUUGAGCACAAACAGAAACAGAGCUAAAGGAAAAGCACUUGACGCAAGAAGAUGCUCUGAAUAUAACUGUUGAUAAAUUAGAAGUAAUUGAUAAGGAUUUGUUUGUUAGAGAUUUGGAUAAAAUCCUAAGAUUUAGGGAUGAGAUAAGUUAGUUCCUGAGUGUAGGAUUAAUCCUUUAUUUUUCCUUAUUUAAGUUGUUUGUUUUCUCUAUUUUUUAGUGAAUUGAAUAAGAGAAUUUUUCCUCCUUCUUCCUCUGUAAAAUCUACAUGGUAUCAGAGCUAGGGUUUGAUCAUGAAUUUCAAGGCCACCAUGGUUGGCUCUAGUUCAACCACUUUGGAUGGCAGCAGUAGUACGACUUCAUCGGAGGAAGUUUCUCAACCACUUCCGACUAUUUCUCUUUCUGAAAAUUCUCUUCAAAUUAUCAUUCACAAAUUGAAUGGAAAGAAUUAUUUUGAAUGGUCUUAGUCUGUUCGUUUGGUGAUUGAUGGAAAAGGGAAACUAGGGUACUUGAAUGGCGAGGUAACACCACCAGCCACUAAUGAUCCAAAAUACAGGCAGUGGCGUUCAGAGAAUUCAAUGGUUACUGCUUGGCUGAUCAACUCAAUGGAUUCUAUUAUUGGAAAAACCUUCAUGUACUUGAAGACUGCUCGUGAUGUCUGGGAAGCAAUUCGGGAAACCUACUCAGAUUUAGAAAAUCAGUCACAAUUGUAUGAAUUAAACACCCAUAUGUGGAAGAUGCAGCAAGGUAAUCGUGAUGUAACAGCUUAUUAUAAUGAUAUGAUGGCUGUUUGGCAGGAAUUGGACUUGUUUGAAGAUGAACAAUGGGAAAAUUCUAAUGACAGUGCUCGAUACAAAGAGAAAGUUGAAAGAGGUCGGGUAUUUGUUUUCUUGGCUGGUUUGAACAAAGAACUUGAUGAGGUUCGAGGACGUAUACUAGGGAAAAAACCUUUGCCAACUAUUAGAGAAGUUUUCUCAGAAGUGCGCAGAGAAGAAGCACGACGGCAAGUGAUGUUGAAGAAUAACGAUGAACCAAAAAUAAAUAGUGAAGGAUCUGCUCUUGUGGCUCGAGGUACAGACUCAGGGGGAAAGCAGAAGCCCCGGUGUGACUAUUGUCGAAAGUCGUGGCAUACUCGAGAAAGUUGUUGGAUGUUGCAUGGGAAACCAAAGAAAAAAACAGGCAGCGACACCAAGUCAGGGGGAGAUGUCCGCGCAUUUCAAGCUAACAGCACUGAUCCAGGGCAGCAAUCAUCCUCAGAGUCUCUUCCUUUUACCAAGGAACAGAUAGAGCAUCUACAUAAAAUGUUUCAUUCCCAAUCCUUAGAAAAAUCUAACCUAUCUUGUUCUCUAGCACAGUCAGGUAAUUCUUUCAUUGCAGCCCUAGCGUGUACUAAGUUUCAUGGCUCCUGGAUAUUAGAUUCAGGUGCUACUGAUCAUAUGACCGGUAAUUCGCAGCUCUUUUCCUCAUAUAUACCUUGUGCAGGAAAUCAAAAGGUUAAAAUUGCAAAUGGUUCCUUAGCUACUGUUGCUGGAAAAGGAACAAUUACUAUUUCUCCUUCUCUAGUCCUUAAGAAUGUUUUGCACGUCCCACAUUUGUCUUAUAAUCUUUUAUCUAUCAGUAAAUUAACUUUUGAUCACAACUGUCAAGUUAUUUUUCAAUCUUCCUGUUGUAAAUUUCAGGAUUUAACCUCAGGGAAGAUGAUUGGGGGUGCUAAAAUGGGUGGUAGACUCUAUUUCUUUAAUAACGGAUCAACCUAUGGAAGGCAAGAUCUGCAGACUUGUUUUAAUUCUAUCUCUGUUGUUAAUGACAGUAAGAUUAUGUUAUGGCAUUAUCGAUUAGGACAUCCAAAUUUUCAAUAUUUAAAGCUUUUGUUACCCAAGUUAUUCAUGAAUAAAAAUCCUUCUGUUUUUCGAUGUGAAUCUUGUGAAUUAGCUAAACAUCAUCGGGCUAUUUUUCAAUCUCAACCAUAUAAAAAAUCAAAACCAUUUACCAUGAUUCAUAGUAAUGUUUGGGGUCCUUCUAGAGUGCCAACUUUUUCUGGAAAGCGCUAGUUUAUUCUUUUUAUUGAUGAUCAUAUUAGAGUCACUUGGGUCUUUCUUUUAAAAGAAAAAUAUGAUGCUGAAACUGUGUUUAUAAAUUUUUAUAAUAUGGUUCAGACACAAUUUCAGACUCAGAUUAAAAUUUUUCGAAGUGAUAAUGGAAAAGAGUUUUUUAACAAAGUGUUAGGAAUUUUUUUUUGCUGAAAAGGGGAUUGUUCACCAAAGUUCUUGUAAUAAUACACCUCAACAGAAUGGGGUGGCUGAAAGAAAAAACAGACAUCUCCUUGAAGUUGUUAGAGCUAUUAGUUUUACGACUAAGGUUCCUAAAUACCUUUGGGGAGAAGCAGUGUUAACAGCCACUUAUUUGAUCAAUAGACUGCCAACGAGAAUUUUGGACUUUAAACCACCAAUUAAAGUUUUAAGUGAAUGGUUUCCCACAACUCGGCUAACAGCCGAUAUUCCCUUUAAAAUUUUUGGAAGUGUGGCUUUUGUUCAUAAUCAUGAUACUAGACAUUCAAAACUUGAUCCAAAGGCACAUAAAUGUAUUUUUGUAGGCUAUCCUACAAAUCAAAGAGGUUAUAAAUGUUUUGAUCCAAUUCUGAAAAAAAUGUUUGUGUCUAUGGAUGUCACUUUUUUUGACGGAUAAUUAUACUACAACAAUUUCCUUCUUCAGGGGGAGAGCACUAGUGAAGAUGAUUUUUUAGAUAAUUCUGAUGUAACUUUUGAGUUUGUUCAGGAUGAUGAUGUUUCUUACAAACAGUCACCAAAAGAAAAUGGGAUGGGAAACACAAAAUCUGUGGAAACAAAUGAACUAAAUGUUGAAAAUAUUGAAUCCACAACUGAACAACCUUUGGUAAUUCCAUCUCAAAAUCAAAAUACUAAAACAACUGAGAUGUGUACAAAACGAUUUAAAGGUCUUGUAUAUUCAAAGGAACAUCUAGCACAAAAAAGAGCCACUAUCCCACAGCACUAUCAAGAAUCUGACCAGAGGUUGGAUCAUGAAGUUUGUGACGAUUCUCCAGAAAUCCCUGAAAACAAUCCUCCAUGUAAUUAUGAGUCAAAUUCUUCUAGUCAGCUUGAUCUUCCCAUUGCUCUUAGAAAAGGUAUUAGGUCUUGUACAAAACAUCCUUUGCCAAAUUUUAUAUCUUACAAAAAUAUUUCUUCAUCAUAUUGUGCUUUUAUUUCACAAGUGUCCAGUGUGGUUAUUCCGAAAAGUGUCUAUGAGGCUCUAAAUGUUCCUGAGUGGAAAGAAGCUAUGCUUGAGGAGAUGAGAGCCCUGGAAAAGAAUGCUACUUGGGAGAAAGUGGAUCUGCCGGAUGGGAAGACAACUGUCGGCUGUAAAUGGGUGUUUACUGUGAAGUACAAUUCAGAUGGGUCCUUGGAAAGGUACAAGGCUAGACUUGUAGCCAAAGGUUUCACUCAGACAUACGGAGUAGACUACUCUGAAACUUUCUCUCUAGUGGCAAAGCUAAAUACAGUUAGAGUACUCUUGUCUAUUACAGCUAAUCUUGAUUGGCCUCUGAAUCAGCUGGAUGUGAAGAAUGCUUUUUUGAAUGGGGACUUAAAGGAGGAAGUCUAUAUGGAGCCUCCACCAGGUUUUAAUGAGAAAUUUGGAACCAAGGUAUGUAAGCUAAAAUGGUCUUUAUACGGCCUUAAACAGUCUCCCAGAGCUUGGUUUGAGAGGUUCACAAAUUUUGUUAAAAGCCAAGGAUAUGAUCAAGGGCAAUCUGAUCAUACGCUGUUCACAAAGAGAUCUAUUGAAGAUAAAAUUUCUGUUCUUAUUGUGUAUGUAGAUGAUAUAAUUUUAAUUGGAGAUGAUAUAGUAGAAAUGAGCAAAUUGAAACAAAACCUAGCCAAGGAGUUUGAGAUUAAAGAUUUAGGCCAACUAAAAUACUUUCUUGGAAUGGAAGUGGCAAGAUCAAAUAAGGGUAUUGUUGUCUCACAAUGGAAGUAUAUUCUUGAUCUCUUGAAAGAAACUGGGAUGAGUGGUUGCAAACCUUCUGACACUCCAAUAGAAGCCAACUCUAAGCUUGGGGAAGUAAAAAAUGGUGUUCCAGUAGACAAGGGGAGAUAUCAAAGACUUGUUGGGAGACUAAUUUACUUGUCACAUACUCGUCCAGACAUUGCUUUCGCUGUAAGCAUGGUAAGCCAAUUUAUGCAUUCCCCAUAUGAAGAACAUCUUGAAGCUGUAUACCGAAUCCUUCAUUAUCUGAAAAGUACACCAAGAAAAGGACUCUUCUUCAAGAAAAAUGAGAAGAGGGGAAUUGAGGUGUAUAUUGAUGCUGAUUGGGCAAGUUUAGUCACUGAUAGAAGAUCAACUUCGGGGUACUGUACAUUUCUAUGGGGUAAUUUAGUCACAUGGAGAAGCAAGAAGCAGAAUGUUGUUGCUAGAAGUAGUGCAGAGGCUGAAUUCAGAUCAAUGGCGCAAGGAGUAUGUGAGAUUCUUUGGCUAAAGAGGGUUCUAGAAGAGCUUAAGAGGCCAGUGAGUUUGCCUAUAAGGUUGUAUUGUGACAACAAGGCAGCUAUCAGCAUUGCUCAUAAUCCUGUUCUACAUGACAGGUAGGGGUGGGCAAAAAAAGCUGAUUAAUUAAAAACCGAAUCGAACCGAUCGGUUCGGUUCGGUUUUUAUGCGGUUUUUUUAUCUUCAAAAAACCGAAAUAGUAACAUAAAAAAAUAGUAAAAUCAAUCGGUUCGGUUUUCGGUUUUUAAAAAAAAACCACAAAACCGAACCAAAAUCUCAAAUAAACCGAUUGUUUUGAAAGCUAAAGCCAAAACCUAAAAGCCUAAAAUCUAAAUCUAAACUUCUGACUUCUGUCUUCUUCGGUUCCCGACUUCCCGCUGGCCGCUGCUCGUCGUGACUUCUUCUGUUCCCGCUGGCCGUGCGGCAUCCCUCGCUGUAAUUUUUGCGAUCGUGCGGCAUCCCUCACUGCAAUUUUUGCUUCUGCUAACCUUGUUACUGUCUCAACUGCACUCUUUUCCACAGAGUUGAAAUCAUUCUGCUUUUUGGCCUCCGUUGUCUGCACCCAGACCUUUACAAAUUGACCUUAUUGAUUGAUUCAAUCAAUUUGAUUGCUUUUGCUUGGGAAAUCACAGAGAAGAUGCAACACGUAAGGUGGGAUGCACUUUCCUUCUUGGGCAUAUUAAAAAAUUAAUUUUAACUUUUUUCUUUAAACCAAAAAAGAAAAAGAAAAAUUAUUAUCCAUAUGUCAUCAUCAUCAAUUGGAAUUGGUCAUAAUUUGGGACCACCACGUUUGUGCUGCCAUGUCAAAUUUUUCUGCAGUUCUCUUUUUCAUUUUUUUAUCAUAUAUAAUCUCGAUUUUUGUAGAUAGUUUAUGUAAUAAUUUAAGAUAUAUAUUCUUGGUUGGCCAAAAUGAAUACAAAUGCAAUUAAUGAAUGAAGAAGUUAUUCAUAAAGCACCAUUUAUUUAUUUGUUCAUUGCGGUUAAGUUGUAUGCGAUCCAUUUGGUUGUUGGUUACAACCAGUUAAAUAUUUAUUUAAAAAUAAAAUAUAACUUGUUAAUUAAGAUGAAUGUUGUAAUAUGAAGUGUCUUAAUUUUGUAAAAUGUGUGUGGUUAUUCAAUAAUUUUGUAAAAUGGUAGAUUUAUUAAUUUAAAGUUUUAAAUUUAAAAAAGUCCAAAAUAGGCCCAAUAGGCCCAUAAUCGAAAUAAUCGAACCGAAUCGAAUCGAAUUAUUUCAAUUAAUCGAGUAUUUGAUUAUUUCGGUAAUUUGAUUAAUCGCGAUUAUGAUUUUAAAAUAAUCAUAAUCGAACGAUUGUGAAAAAUUUAGUAAAAAACCGAACCGAACCGCGCCCACCCCUAAUGACAGGACGAAACAUGUUGAGAUUGACAGGCACUUUAUAACAGAAAAGCUUAAAGAAGGAAUAAUUUGUACUCCAUUUGUACCGACCACACAGCAAGUUGCAGAUGUUUUAAGUAAAGGCUUGCUGAGACAGCCAUUUGAAGUUCAAGUUAGCAAGUUGGGCAUGACAAAUAUAUUUGCACCAACUUGAGGGGGAGUGUUGAUAAAUUAGAAGUAAUUGAUAAGGAUUUGUUUGUUAGAGAUUUGGAUAAAAUCCUAAGAUUUAGGGAUGAGAUAAGUUAGUUCCUAAGUGCAGAAUUAAUCCUUUAUUUUUCCCUAUUUAAGUUGUUUGUUUUCUCUAUUUUUUAGUGAAUUGAAUAAGAGAACUUUUCCUCCUUCUUCCUUUGUAAAAUCUACAAUAACAAAAGUAUAUUUCUGCUUCUUGUGGUUAUUUACUUUGUUUCUCCUGUCAGCAUAUUUGAUUAAUUCGUUCGAAUUCACACUCUCACACAUUAUUUAAAACCAUUUGUAGGUGGCUUGCAAGCUAAUUAAGUUAAUGCAGAAGCAAUACUCUAGACAAAGAUGAGCAAAUUGAAGGUGAUAAAUGCAUAUAUGGUGGCCCAAUCGCUUAUUAUAUUUCAUCUCUCAAUCUAAUAUGAUUCUGAGUUUUAAUUUCCAUGAAUAAUUGUUAGGCUGGUACAGAUGUUCUUAAAAGGGCCAUCAAACUACCUUAUGAAGUUGGAAAGUUGCUAUUGCUUGAAUGAAAGCACCAUCUUCUGUUGCCAAGGCAUUCCCCACAUGAUGAGAUUAUGUGAUUGUUACCGGCUUCUUAAUUAUUUGUUAAAUCAGGUUUUUCUUAUCAAGUACAUCAUCUUAUUCACCAUUUUGGCUAUAUCAGAAUUUGCUAAUACCAUGAUGUCAAAGCAAGCUCAAGCACUAGAUCCCUAAUAAUAAUGCAUUGCAUUUUCAUUUUAUUUUUAGGUUGACUUUGAAGACCGUAUGAAGAACAUUGGGGUAAUCAAGGAUUAGGCUGGUGAUGGAACUACUUCCACUGUGGUGUUGUGUGCAACGUUCAGUUGCUGGACUUUGAAGAAGAAAGUGAUGGCCAGGUCUGCUCUGUUUCAAUUGAGGAUGGAUAGCUGCCUGGAAGGCAUGAUGAUUUUUAUUGCAUGAUAUUAAGGUACAAAGAUAAUCAUUUCUAUCUUGUUUUUUUCUUUGAUCAGUUUAUCCUCUAUAAGCAAAUUCAAUUAUGCUAAUAUUACCAUUUUUUCUCCCAAUUUUCACCGUUGGUUGUAAUAACAAUUUCAGGUACUCAAAAGCUACAGAGCAAAGCACAUGUGGGCUGAUCAUAUGCUUCCAUGGCGGAAGGAAUUCGAUAUUAACACUAUUAUGCAGGUAACCGCAGUUGUUAAUUUGCACAAAUUUGCAUUGUCAGAUUGCCCUUUAAUAUUCACUGUGUUUCUUUUUGUUAUUCAGGGUACCAUGGUAUGUAGAGUAUCAUCUUUGAGGGUUUGUAAGAGCCUUUGCAGUAAAUUUACCUGCUCGAGCAAUUGCACAUUCAUCGAGUACAAUUUUGGAUUUUCAAGGUUUGUAUGUUUAGUUGCGAUUAGCAGGCUUAGUCACUCAUUCCUAAACUUUUCUGAUUUUCAAGUUAUUUAGGUCCAUUAACAGUUUUCACACAUGUUUCAAUGCUAGUUGUACUAACAAUUUCUCAUCUUGCAUCUCUAAGAUGCAUCACGUUUGAAACAGCUUUUGCGGUAAACUUUCAAUGCAUGUACAAUGGCCGUUAAGAGGUACAUUCAAUUCGGUACGUUUUGCUGCAGUCUUCUAAUGCUAAUAUCAUGUUGUGUAUAUUUAGUUUGCAAUUAAAACUUAGGUAUACAACCUUAAUCUCAUAUAAAUGAUUGUGUACAAAGUUUUCUACUAAUUAUAUGGUGACUAAAAGUUUAAUUAUCUUAAAAUUUUUGUAACUCUCUUUUACUUUGCUUGUACAGAGUACCUGUUUUGGCUGACAUGUCUAAUUCGUAGAAAUUCAUUUCCAUGGAUUUCCAUUGGUUUGAGCACAUACAGAAACAGAGCUUUACUUCCUGAGGUGUUAUGCCUUUGUCUCUUCAUUCACCAUAUUUGUUCGAAUACGUUGUCUCAUUAAGAAUUUAAAGCCUUUUUCUAGGCAGCUUUGUGGCCAAUUUUUGAUGCCAUCAAUGCAUGAUUGUCAUUUAGAUUUUCCAAAUAAUUGUUAGGUGGGGAAGAUAUUGUUAAAAGGGCAUUUAAUUAGCUACGUCCCCUAUGAAUUUAGUUGCCAAUAAUACAUUGAAAUUGAGAAGGCUAAUUUAAAUUACGGGUGAUAAGAUGUUGCUUGAAUUCAGCAUCUUGUAUUGCGAUGAUUUUGCCCACAUGAGGCUCUGUGAUUCUUGACAUCAGGAUAACUCAGGUCAAUUUUUUGUAUCAGCAUAUAUCAUCUUGUUUACUGUUUUGCCUUUAAAGAAUAAACUUUAGUGAAGUUUUUUUUGUUUGUGUAAGUUAUCAGGUUAAGGAUACUAAGCAGCUUAUUAAGGAAAAUGUCAGAAUGAAGAUUGUUCACCACACCUGGCAUUUAUGAUGGCAAGGAAGAUUAAUUGUUCACAAGCCAAUUUGAUGAGUGUUAGAUUUUUGGCUUUAUAUAUUAUUAGAGCUCUCCCUUCUGAGAGAUAUCUCAUUAAAUUUGAGUAGAGCUCUCCCAAUAACUGCAAGCUUUCAUUUGUUUGUAAAAUCAUCUUCUUAUAUUGAUUGUGUUUCCUUGUGUUAUCGGGUAGAGUAUCAUCUUCAAGGGUUUCAAAAAGUCUUUGCAGUAAAGUUUCAACCAAUUGCUGUGAAGAGGCAUAUUCAUUUGAGUAAUUCAGUUUCAGAUUUUCAGGGCGUGUGUGUUUAAUUAGUUUUGAUUAAAAUAUUUAGUCACUCAUUCUGAAUCUUUUCUAAUUUUCAAGUUCCUUAGGGCCACAGCCAGUUUUUCAGGUCUGCAGAAACUAUCUUGAGUGUUGAGGAAUUGCGUUUGAGCACACACAGAAACAAGGCUAAUGGAAAAGAACUUGACAGAAGAAUUAUGCUCUAAAUCUAACAAAAGUAUAUUUCUACUUCUUGUGGUUAUUUUACUUUUGUAUUUUCUGUCAUCAUAUUUGAUUAAUUCAUUCGAAUUCAGACUCUCAUUAUUUAAAACCAUUUUCAGGUGGCUUGCACGCUAAUUAAGUUAAUGCAGAAGCUAUACUCUAGACAAAGAUGAGCAAAUUGAAGAUGAUAAAUACAUAUAUGGUGGCCAAGUCGCUCAUUACAUUUCAUCUCUCAUACGAACAUGAUUCUGAAUUUGAAUUUCGAUCAAUAAUAGUCAGGCUGGUGCAGAUAUUCUUAAAAGGGCAUUAAGCUACCUUAUGAAAUUGGAAAGUUAUCAUUGCUUGAAUGAAAGCACCAUCUUCUGUUGUCAAGGCUUUCCCCACACGAUGAGAUUCUGUGCUUGUUAUCGGCCACUUAAUUAUUUAUUAAAUCAGGUUUUUGUUAUCAAGUACAUCAUCUUAUUCACCAUUUUGGCUAUAUAUAAAGAUUAAAAUUUCUAACAGUUGUUUCGGAUUCUUGUGUACUCAGGUUAAUAUAGCAAAUGUCAUAAUGAAGAUUGGUCAGUGCAACCGGUAUAGCAAGGAUGAUAGUGGUGAGGAAGAUUGUUGGCAAGUCAAAUAGAGCCCUCCAUUUUGAGAAAUAUCAUCCUCAAAUUUGAGUUGUUGAGCAUGUGAAGUGAAGCUAUAGCCUUAAUAAUGAGACCUUCCUGUGAAAGUUUCAUUUGAGUGAAUUGAACGUUCUUAGUGGGUAAGAAAUUAAGUUCCCAGCUUGUUUAAAUGCUGUGUAAUUUUUACCCAAGAUUAUGCAAUUGACUUAUGCAAUUCACUUACAGUGUUCUGAGUACUUGAGUUUCAGAUUUCCAAGAUGUGUAAUUUUAGUUGCCAUUGAAAUAUUUAGUCGCUCAUUCUUAAAAAUCUGUUCUAAUUUUCCUGUUAUUUUGGGCCAUAAACAGUUUAACAAGUCUGCAUGUGGUUUCUAAAGAUUGAUGGUUAUGAUAUAUAUUGUGAGGUAUGAAAUAUUAAUUUGCUAUAAAUAUGUGUACAAAUUUUUCCUAUUACAUGGGGACUGAAAUUGUAACUUGCAGGGUCAAAAGAAAUCUUAAUUUGCUUAAGUGUCUGCAUUUGUGUACAAAGGAAAAAUAAGAAAUUCUGCUACGUGGGGACCGAAAUUUUAAUUGGCAGGGUCUUCAUCAAAUGUUUGUUAUCAAUACUGAUCCCGGAAUGUGUGGAACACGGUGAAAAGUUUUUCAUAGUUUUGUGAAGAAGGCUGAUUUAUCUGAUUCAUAGAAUUGUUAAAAGGGCAUCGGGCGGGGGACAAAAGAAGUGUUGAAAUUAAAAAGGUUAAUGGUUAAAGCAUGCAGUUUCUGUUGCAUUUGCAUUGGCCUGGGUUUAGGGAACUGUCAGAACUUUCAGAAGAAGAUGGAGUUUCUCAAACCAAAUCUAAGAAGAUAUCUCACAUUCCCCACAUGGUCUCAACGCACAGGUAAGUUCUUCUCUAGCUCUGUUUUUCAUUGUUUGUUUUAUCUAUUUUUAAUUCACAUGUCCACAGUAAUUUCAUUUUAGUUUGAGCUGAGUGAUGACUUUUCAAGGCUCACUUACUCAUUGGGAGAAGCUGCAGGACGCAGGCUGCAAGGAUUUAGAUUUUCAUUCGAAGGCUCACUUGCUCAUUAGCUUGUGCAAUUCCUGUUAAGAGGCACAUCCAUUCGAAGUAAUUCAAUUUUAUAUUUUCAUAGUGUGCGUGUUUCGUUGCGAUUAAAAUGAUUAGUCUCUCGUUCUUAAUGUUUUCUAAUUUUCCGGUUAUUUAGGGCCAUAAACAUUUUCCAAGUACUGCAUGUGGCUGCCAAAGAUUGAUGAUGAUAAUUAUAUCUUGAGGCCUGUGUCUUGCUUUUGAGCACUCGCAGAAACAGAGCUCAAGGGAAAGAAAUUGGAAGAUGCUCUAAAUAUAAUGAAAGUAUAUUUCUACUUGUGGUCAAUUUACAUUUGUUUCUUGUGUCAUUAUGCAGAUUAAUUUAUUCAAAUUUUUCCUAUCUCAUUCAUUUAUUUUAGACAAAGUUUGAAAAAAAAUUAUAAGUAUACAAUUUCCAAUGGAUUUGAUAGAGCGGUCAUCAACCAUAUUGAUGUUAUUGGAGUAGCACUGUUCUUAAGCACUGCUUUGAGGUCUCUCCCUCUCUAUAUACAUUGAUAGACUAUUCUGGUCGUACCAAAUUAUCCUUGUUUUAAUGUUUUGUUUGUUAAACUUUGACUGGGGGAAUCUGUUUAUUUGUCUGAUAUGAUGUUAGUGUGGUUUCUAUUGAAGUGUGUUAGAUCUAUCACCAAUUAUUAUUUCAAUUUUUCUUACCAAAUCGACUUGCAUACUUUCCAAGUCUAGAUCCUUAACAAUAGUGAGACUACGCUACAGAAGUACGAUUUCUCUAGUUUUGUAGUUAAAUACGUUAGAAUGGUUUUAAAUUAACAGAACUUUGAGAUAGUUCUCUGAGGAAAUACAAGUGGUGAAUAUGGUUCCAACUUUUAAGUGCCUUAAUAUUCCCAUUUGUUCAGCCCUGUGCGUAAACAAUUAGUAAUUUCUGUCCAAAUUCUUCUUUAAUGCCUAUAUGUGUUGGACUUUGUCUAUUGUUCAACUUCUCAAAUGGAUUCCAUGCAGGGUUCUUAAUGUCCAAUUAGGAGAAAGAUCAAGGCUUGCUUGGCUAGGAGUGGAAGCGGAUCCACUACUUCAGUCAGAUGACCUUUUGAAGAAGGCUUGCAACAGGCCGUCUCAGGAUGUCAAUGGCUCAACUCAAAAGUCCUCAAAGUGGCUGAUAUCAAAGAAUGCCAUUGUCUCUGGGCUUGGGCUCCUUGGCAUCAAACAAGGGAAUGUCGACUCUGUUGAAGGGGAAGCAAGGUGUUGAUGCGGGAUUCCGGUUCUCCUCGUUCUACGACCAGGAUCUCUGCUCGAUCAACUUCAUCACGACCAGGAGGUCUCCUCGUAAGGCUUCUUCUCCAGAGGUUCCUGCGCACACAGACAAGUCAGAGUACGCCGGUUGUUUUCCCGGCGCAAACCCUCCGACGCUCAAGUCAGAUAUCAAGGUUCGAGGAACGUUUGCCACAGAUCUUAUGGCUUUUUCGUGGUUUUCUCUCUUUUUAAUUUCUUUUCUAAAAAAAUGCCAACCCUUUUACCUCGUUGGCUACCUUUUUAUAGGCUUCCUCUGAAUCCCAGUUUUCUGCUUUUUUCGAGACGGUAUGGGACUCUGACUGCUGCGUUAUGGGCAAACGUGGGAUCUUGCGUGUUACGCCACGGUCCUGGGGAAAGCGUGGCUGUCGUGGUUCUGUGAGAUCUUGCGUGUUACGCCACGGUUCUGGGGGAAGCGCGGCUGUCGUGGUUCUGUGAGAUCUUGCGUGUUACGCCACGGUUCUGGGGGAAGCGCGGCUGUUGUGCCUAGAUUCUCGGGCUGGAGAGCAUGUCUUGCCAACUGUCGUUGACCGGAUCUCCUCGCCUCUCGACCUCUAGCCGGAAUGGCCUUAUGCCUCUUACAGGAAAUUGGCCUCGCGGAUGACGUGCUCGUGGACGAGCAGGAUAUUUCUGCUCCUGUUCCCCCGCGCGCCAGGCUCUUACGGAACACACCGGUUCGCAGAACUAUGCCACCAGAUAUCUGCUCACCAUGCCUGGUCUCGUCGACGUAUUUCUCCCAAACACCGGUCCCCCAGUUUCUGGUGUUGGGCAAUGUAGUGGACCAGCAGUAGAAACUCGAUAGUACUCGCUCGCGUGGGAUUGGAAAAGGCUGCCAAGAGUCAUGUCGCAUUUAAUUGCGGACGAGGUGACGUGGCAGAAAUCCCCCCCCCCCUCCAUUUGAAUUUCAAACCGACGGUUAUGAGACCCUCGGGAUUCGGCGCUGUUAAAUGCUGGCAACCUAAGAGUCCGUCCUCAGUAGGAAAACCAAAUCCUCUCGAACGGCAUAUUCGCCAUUCACUCCGUCUCCGUCUCUGUCUCUCCGGCAAAGAAGUUCCGGCAUAAAGGUCCUCCAUCUCUGAUUUUCACCGACUGAACCAUUACUUCAGGUAUUUCUUCUAUCUCCUUGGUCUCGGAUAGUUGUAGAUAAUUUCUCUUCUCUUCUGUUUGGGGUAGUAGUUGGUGGUGUUGUGGUUAGAGCUUAGGGAAUGUCGAAAGGCAAGGAGAAGGUCAUUGAGGUUGAUGACGACGAGUUGGACUUCCUGCCUAGUCUGCUCACCGAUCCUGCUUUUGACCCCGGGAUCCCUUUAGAGCCCAUUAGGUCUAGUGUCGGGACUAGUGCUAGGAGGAUGUCUCCCCAAACAACCUCUACGAGCGGAAGUAAUGGUGAGGAGAGAUCUUCUGGCUCCGAGGAUACUUUGAGUGAGGAUGGCGAAGGUGAUUCUGGUGAGGUGUCUCCAUCUGGAACGUCACGACCAGAAGGACGGGGUACAGUAGGGGGUAGAGCCUUGUUGCGUGAUUAUGCCAUCGACUAUAUGACGUGCACGACCACGUUUGACGAGCUCGAUGACCUCCGUCUUAGGUACAGCAUUCCUGGUGAAAUACUUCUCAAGGUCCCAGGCAAGAAGGAUACCCCUAGCUGGCCUCCUAGGGGAUAUGUUACCCUGUAUCUGGAUAGCUUUAAGUAUGGGCUUAGGUGUCCCUUGCAACCUUACUUUGCCCGGAUACUUAGCGGGUUGAAUCUAUCUCCUGGUCAGUUGAACCCAAACGGUUGGAGAGUGCUCUCUGGUCUGUUCAUACUGUGGGACAGAUGUUGCCAAAGCGAGCCCACGGUCGACGAGGUGAUGCACCUGUACCAGCUGAAAAGCAGCCCAAAAGAUGCCGGCUGGUAUUACUUCCAAUCAAGUACCAAGACCAGGAAACCCAUAACCGAUCUCCCUACUGGUGGUGGUGGGAAUUGGAAGAGGAAGUUCUUCUUCGCAGGGGGUCCCUGGGGUCAAGUUGCACGGGUUGAUGGGGAAGACUUCCGCGUCCCACCCCGUUUCGUGGUCCCAGGUUGCCUGCUCGUAUUAGAUGUCUUGUCUCCCUUGUCGUUUGCGCUUUACUGGUUUGUCUCUAAUCAAAUGUUUGUUUGUGUUGCAGGUUCUUGGGGUGUCCACUUCCCGCUUGAACCUGACCAGCUCAAACGGGUCGAGGCUGUACUAGCCAAUUCCUGCUCAAGCCGAGAACUGUUAACUACAUACAACUUGCUCGAGUCUCGCUUGAUACUUCCUGGCCAUAGGAUGGAGGACGCUGUGAUUGGGGCUCUGACCCGAAAACGUUCUUGACCUCCAACCACGAAAAGGGACCAGAGUAAGGAUGCCCCUGCUGCGAAGCGGGCCAACAUCGUGCAGCAGGUCCCAUCCUUGAAGAUUUUACCUCCUGCUCCUGUAAAAGUCGGGGAAGCUAGUGGAGCAGCCACAGAUCCUGCUUCCUCUUCUCCUCCUGUCGGGCCUCGAUCUCGCUUACCUGACAGCCGAGCAGAACACCUGGUCCCCUACCUCAAUGAGUUAUCUAAACUCGUGAGCAAGAAGGACCUGGAGGACUUUGACGGCUGCACCUUGGGUGAGCUGGUGGGGGCCAUGCAGCAUAGCGCUUUCCACCUCAGCUGCAUGACCACCUAUUACAAGGCUAAGAUUGGCCGCUACGACCGGAAGAUGAAGGAGGAUAUUCAAUCGGCGACGACCAGAGCUGACGUUGCCGAGCAGAAAGCAGGGGAGCUGAAUCUCGAGAAUCUGAAGCUGAUAGAGCAAGAAUCACUUGCUCAAGCAAAAGCCAUUACCCUCGAGGAGGAGCUUACCAAGGUCAAGGAGGAUCUGCAAAGGCAGAAGGCUAUGUAUGAGGCUCAGCUCGAAUCUCUCCACGACUCCCACCGAGCUCAGGUCGAGAAUUUGGAGAGGGAGGCCGACAACCAGUACGACCAGGGACUUCGGCAUUCCUAUCGUUGCAUCAUGGCCGUCCUCGGGAAGCAACACCCUGAUCUGAAGAUGGAUGACCUUGCAGCUGGUGUUGCUCAACAUACGGACGAGGAGGCGGCCAAGGAAGAUGCCGAAAGGGUAGAGCCGAUUGUGAUUGAGGAGGAAAACUAUCCUCCUCGUGCAGUCCCUGCUGAUGUUGGCGAGGCGAGCACCCCCCCUGACGCAACUGGUGAUACCCCUCCUGCACCUGAGGAGGUCCAACCAACCGAUGCUGCUGGGCUUACUGAUCCACCAUCUUCUUGAUAUAUUUCUUAUAUUGUAAUGAACAAUGUUUAUGGAGAUUAUCCCCUCUGUUAAUUAUUAACAAAUUAAUAAAAAUGUUUUUUGAUUACUUUCUUGUGUUGUAAUUAUGAAUUAAUUUUCGUUUGAGAAUCUGCUCGUCUUUGUCUAGACGAGCAGGUUCCGGCUUGGCUCAUGGUUUUGUGCCACAUGCCUUUGAAGAUUCUUCAAUGCCUGGGUUUCGGCUCGCAUUCGCGCGGUCAAGCAGAUCCUGGUACGCUUGACUUCUAUCUCGCUAUAAAACAGGCUUUGAGACUUGGUGAGCCUUUACAUGCCUUGGGAAUUUCUUCGAAUGCUUUGGAGUCUGCUCGCCUUCUCGUGGUCGAGCAGAUCCUGGCAUGCGUGGCUUCUGUCUCGCCAUAAGACAGGCUUUGAGACUUGACGGGCCUUUGCAUGCCUUGGAUAAUUUCUUCAACGCUUGGGAUUCUGCUUGGCUUCUCGUGGCCAAGCAGAUCCUGGCAUGCUUGGCUUCUGUCUCGCCAUAAGACAGGCUUUGAGACUUUGUCGAGCCUUUGCAUGCCUUGGAUAAUUUCUUCAAAGCUUGGGAUUCUGCUAGCCUUCUCGUGGCCGAACAGAUCCUGGCAUGCUUGGCUUCUGUCUCGCCAUAAGACAGGCUUUGAGACUUUGUUGAGCCUUUGCAUGCCUUGGAUUCUUCGAGGAUUGGGAUUCUGCUCGCCUUCUCGUGGCCGAGCAGAUCCUGGCAUGCUUGGCUUCUGUCUCGCCAUAAGACAGGCUUUGAGACUUUGUUGAGCCUUUGCAUGCCUUUGAUUCUUCGAGGAUUGGGAUUCUGCUCGCCUUCUCGUGGCCGAGCAGAUCCUGGCAUGCUUGGCUUCUGUCUCGCCAUAAGAAAGGCUUUGAGACUUUGUUGAGCCUUUGCAUGCCUUUGAUUCUUCGAGGAUUGGGAUUCUGCUCGCCUUCUCGUGGCCGAGCAGAUCCUGGCAUGCUUGGCUUCUGUCUCGCCAUAAGACAGGCUUUGAGACUUGACGGGCCUUUGCAUGCCUUGGAUAAUUUCUUCAAAGCUUGGGAUUCUGCUAGCCUUCUCGUGGCCGAGCAGAUCCUGGCAUGCUUGGCUUCUGUCUCGCCAUAAGACAGGCUUUGAGACUUUGUCGAGCCUUUGCAUGCCUUGGAUAAUUUCUUCAAAGCUUGGGAUUCUGCUAGCCUUCUCGUGGCCGAACAGAUCCUGGCAUGCUUGGCUUCUGUCUCACCAUAAGACAGGCUUUGAGACAUUGUUGAGCCUUUGCAUGCCUUGGAUUCUUCGAGGAUUGGGAUUCUGCUCGCCUUCUCGUGGCCGAGCAGAUCCUGGCAUGCUUGGCUUCUGUCUCGCCAUAAGACAGGCUUUGAGACUUUGUUGAGCCUUUGCAUGCCUUUGAUUCUUCGAGGAUUGGGAUUCUGCUCGCCUUCUCGUGGCCGAGUAGAUCCUGGCAUGCUUGGCUUCUGUCUCGCCAUAAGACAGGCUUUGAGACUUUGUUGAGCCUUUGCAUGCCUUUGAUUCUUCGAGGAUUGGGAUUCUGCUCGCCUUCUCGUGGCCGAGCAGAUCCUGGCAUGCUUGGCUUCUGUCUCGCCAUAAGACAGGCUUUGAGACUUGACGGGCCUUUGCAUGCCUUGGAUAAUUUCUUCAAAGCUUGGGAUUCUGCUAGCCUUCUCGUGGCCGAGCAGAUCCUGGCAUGCUUGGCUUCUGUCUCGCCAUAAGACAGGCUUUGAGACUUUGUUGAGCCUUUGCAUGCCUUGGAUUCUUCGAGGAUUGGGAUUCUGCUCGCCUUCUCGUGGCCGAGCAGAUCCUGGCAUGCUUGGCUUCUGUCUCGCCAUAAGACAGGCUUUGAGACUUUGUUGAGCCUUUGCAUGCCUUUGAUUCUUCGAGGAUUGGGAUUCUGCUCGCCUUCUCGUGGCCGAGCAGAUCCUGGCAUGCUUGGCUUCUGUCCCGCCAUAAAACAGGCUUUGAGACUUGACGGGCCUUUGCAUGCCUUGGAUAAUUUCUUCAACGCUUGGGAUUCUGCUUGGCUUCUCGUGGCCGAGCAGAUCCUGGCAUGCUUGGCUUCUGUCUCGCCAUAAGACAGGCUUUGAGACUUUGUCGAGCCUUUGCAUGCCUUUGGGAACUUUCUCGGUCUCAAGCGAAAGAAAUUCUUCGACGUUCCAUUAAUGGCAGGAUUCGACUUACAUGAAAUUGUUUGGACAUAAAACGUGAAAGAUAAAUGAUAAUGAACAUGAGCAAAAAUAGCUUUCAAAUGUGAACAAGUCUUACUGGAAGUAUUUUCGGAGGUGUGCUGCGUUCCAUGGGCGUUUCACCUCGUGGCCGUCCGUGCGAACCAGCUUGUAAGCUCCGGGUCCCGCUAUCUGCUUGACUCUAUAUGGCCCUUCCCAAUUCGGUCCCAGUACUCCUUGAGUCGAAUCUUUGGUGCUCUGAUUCACUCUUCUCAGUACCCAGUCUCCGAAUUGCCGUAUGUUCACCUUCUGGUUAUAGUACCGAGCAACCCUCUGUUGGUAAAUGACUGAUCGCUCGGCUGCUUGCUCCCUCCUUUCCGUUAGCAGAUCAAGAUUCAAACAUAUCUGCUCGUCGUUCUCCUGCUCAUUGAAAUGAUUUGUCCGGUGUGUGGUCGUUCCUAUCUCAGCCGGCACGACCGCUUCAUGUCCGAAAGCCAAAGCGAACGGUGUCUCCCCAGUUGCGGUUUUGUGGGUUGUUCUGUAUGCCCAUAGCACACAUGGCAGCUCGUCAACCCACGCACCCUUUUUUGCUCCAAGCCUGGUUUUCAGAAGCCUCUUGAUGGUCUUGUUGGCUGCUUCUACUUGUCCAUUUGAUUGAGGGUGAGCAGGCGAGCAAUACUUCAGCUCUAUCCCGAGGUUCUGGCAGAAAUCCCUGAAGCUGUGAUUAUCGAACUGCCUGCCAUUAUCCGUUACCAAGGCAUAAGGGAUCCCGUAUCGACAGACCAGGUUUCUCCACACGAAGUCUGUUGUUUUCUUCUCUGUGAUCCUGCUAAGGGCUUCUACCUCAAUCCACUUCGUGAAGUAAUCUAUAGCAACUAUUGCAUGUGUUGCUGCUCCUCGUGCCUUUGGCAAUGGGCCGAUCAGAUCAAUUCCCCAUUGAGCAAAUGGCCAGGGGGAGGUCAUGGAGGUGAGUUUCUCUGGUGGUUGGUUAGAGAAAUUUGCAAAACUCUGGCAGCUUACACAACUCCUGGUCUUCUCUUGCGCAUCCUGGUGCAUUGUCGGCCAGAAAUAUCCCUGCCUUAGAACCUUGUGGGCCAGGGACCUCCCGCCAGAAUGAUUUCCGCAGAUUCCUUCAUGUACUUCUCUCAGUACGUAAUCCGCGUCGUCCUCAUCCAAACACCGAAGGAACGGUAGUGUAUAUCCUCGCCGAUACAGUACCCCAUCAAUCAUCGUGUAUCUCGAGGCCUGGGCUCUAAUCUUGCGAGCUCGCAGCUUAUCUGGUGGUAAUACCCCGUCUCUAAGGUACGAAACUAUCGGGUCCCUCCACGAGCAUUUUUGUUCUAUCCGCAACACCCCCAAAUUCUGAUCGAUACUUGGGCUGGACUUCACCUCCAGAGGGACCGACUUUGGCAUUUUUGGGUCGGCUACUGCUGCCAUCCUAGCCAAAAUGUCUGCUCGACUAUUCUGCUCCCUGGGGAUUUGUAUCACCUCCACUGCUUCGAACUUCCCCAUCAUCUGCCUGACUAUCUUCAGGUACUGCUCCAUCUUUUCCUCUCUUGGUUGGAAUCUUUCACUGACAUGAUUCGCAACCAGCUGGGAAUCAGUUCUGAUCUUACCUCUGUCUGCUUUCACGGCCUUAGCCAAUUCCAGACCUGCUAUCAAGGCUUCAUACUCUGCCUGGUUAUUCGUGGCUGCAAAUUCCAACUUUACAGCAUAAGAGAUCUCCUCCCCCUCUGGGCCUUCCAAGACAAUCCCUGCUCCUGAACCCCGCUCCCCUGAUGACCUGUCCACAGACAUCUGCCAUACUUGAGUUUCGUCAUUGCUUAUAACUGCAUCUUGUUGAUCUAAGCAUACUUCGGGCUCUGUGAAUUCAGCUACGAAAUCGGCCAUUGCCUGGGCUUUUAUCGCUGCGCGAGGUUUAUAGUCUAUGUCGAACUCGCUCAGCUCUACAGCCCACUUGACGAGCCGACCAGAAGCAUCUGGCUUGUGCAGAGUUUGACGCAAUGGCUGGUUUGUUAUUACCGAGACCGAGAAUGCUUGAAAAUAUGGCCUCAACUUCCGAGCAGCAACCACAAGGGCAAGUGCCCAUUUCUCCAACGGUGGGUAUCUGGUCUCAGUGUCGAGCAGGGCCUUGCUAGUGUAGUAUAUCGGAUGCUGAACUCCUUCUUCCUCUCUCACCAGAACAGAACUGGUGGCCCGAUCCGAUACCGCCAAAUACAGAUACAACUUGUCCCCAUCCCUCGGUGUGGACAGCAGCGGAGCUUGCUGCAAGUAUUGCUUCAAGUUCCGGAAGGCUUCCUCGCAUUCCGGGGUCCAUUCUGUUUUCUUUCCCCUCCUUAUCACUUGAAAGAAUGGCUGACACUUAUCUGUAGCCUUGGAUAUGAAUCUGCUCAACGCCGCCAACCUCCCCGUGAGGCUCUGCAUCUCCUUCAGGUUACGAGGAGACGUCAUUUACACAAUCGCCUGGAUUUUCUCGGGAUUUGCUUCAAUCCCCCUAUGGCUCACCAUGAAUCCAAGGAAUUUCCCUGACUCGACCCCAAAAGCACACUUUUCCGGGUUGAGCUUCAUCUUAUACUUCCUCAAAAGCUCGAAUGUCUCCUCGAGGUGUCUGACAUGUUCCUCCGGGAUUUUGGACUUGGUGAUCAUGUCAUCCACGUACACCUCCAUGGUUUUCCCAAUCAACGGCUUAAAGACUUUGUUCACCAACCUUUGAUAGGUGGCCCCAGCAUUUUUGAGACCGAAUGGCAUUACCCUGUAACAGAACAAACCUUGGUUAGUGAUGAAAGCCGUGCUCUCCUCAUCCUGCUCGUACAUGGGGAUCUGGUUGUAUCCCGAGAACGCGUCCAUGAAGCUAAGCAGACCAUGUCCAGCCGUUGAAUCCACUAACUGAUCGAUCUUUGGUAAAGGGAAGCUGUCUUUUGGGCACGCCUUAUUGAGGUCUGUGAAAUCCACACACAUCCUCCACUUGCCAUUCGCCUUCUUUACCAACACCACAUUCGAUAUCCACUCGGGAUAAUUGACUUCCCGAAUGAAUCCUGCUCUCAAGAGCUUUUCUACCUCGCCAUUUAUAGCCUCAUACCUCUCCUGGUUGAAGCACCUCCUCUUUUGCCUUACUGCCCGAGCACCUUUCUUUAUUGCCAGCUUAUGACAUGCUACCUCAGGGUCAAUCCCCGGCAUGUCUUCAUGUGUCCAAGCAAACACAUCAGCAUGAGCCUGUAAGCAUUUCACCAACUCCUGCUUUUGCUCUCUCUUAAGUCUCGACCCGAUUCUGAUCGUCUUUCCCGGGUUCUCUGGUCCUAGGCUUACUGUUUCCAGAUCCUCUACAGGUUCUUGUCUGCCCUUCUUGUUUUCCACUCGGGUAUCGAGGGAUGUUAUCUGCAUUGCUUCCCUUGCUGCCGAGGAGUAGCAGCUUCUUGCGAUCCUCUGGUCUCCUCGUACCACUCCUACUACCCCAUUCACCCGGUACUUCAGAGCCAGAUAAUGGUUGGACAACACCGCUUUGCUCAUCCGUAAAAAUGGCCGACCUAGGAUCAUCUGGUAAGGACCUUCCUCAUCCACUACGACAAAGUCCAGUAUCAUUGUUCUUUCUGUCGGGGAGCUCCCAAUUGUGAUAGGCAGCUCGACCACGCCCAGAGGGACCAGCUUCCCUCCUCCGAACCCCUUCAAGGAGGUAUUCCUGUAUUCCAACUUCCGGUUGGCUAUUCCCAUCUCUUCCAGGGUUGACUUAAAUAACACAUCAACUGAGCUCCCUGUAUCAAUCAGGAUCCGGUCAAACUUCUUGCUAGCGACAGUAGCCUUGAUGACUAAAGCAUCCUCGUGGGGGUAUAGAAUCCCUUCCUCAUCCUCAUCCGUCCACAUGAUUGGCACUUGCCUGACCCUUGCUCGUUUGGCUGCUGGGGUGUUGAAGAGUACCUCUUUACUGGUCAUGGCGUACCUAGCAUAAUUUUUUCUCGAUCUGUUGGAAUCUCCGGCCAAUGUUGGGCCCCCAGCUAUCACCCUUACUGCGGGCUGCUCGCGCCUCAAGUUUCUACCACUCUGCUCCCCUUCACCUGUUGUGGCCACCAUCGGGAAAGUCCCAUCCAUAAACUCGUCCAGGUACCGAUUUCUCACCAAAUCUUCGACCUGGGUCUUGAGAUCUCUACACUCUGCUGUGGUAUGGCCAUGGGUGCCAUGGAACUUACAAUAACGUCCUCUAUCCCUCCUGUUGGGUAGCUUUGUUAUUGGUGUAGGGAGGUGCAGCAGCCCUCGAUCCUUUAUGGCCUCGUACACCUCAUCCAGGGACAUCUUCAAGGAAGUGUACCGCCCAUAGUCCGGGUUCUGGUCGAUCAGGCGCACUGCUCUUUCUCUGUUUGCCCCGCUCUGAGUUGGGGGCAGUGGGAGUACUUCUGGUCCGCUCGCUCUGCUACCGUGGGGAUGUUGAUGAAGACCACCAGAUGCCGACUCAUGCCUUCUCCAAGGCUCCCUAGCUGGGGAACGAGGAGGUUGCGCCCUGCUGCGCUGAUACUGUGGUGGCCUCUGAUGAGGCUGGUAUGCAGUUACCCGACCUCCUGCUCCACUACCGGAGGCCUGGUGGUCCCUCCUCCUGAUCGGCCCAUUCCCCGGUAAUGCUUUCUUCUCUUUCCUCCCCAACCCUUCUAACUGGUCUGUCUUAAUCCGUGCAGCCUUCUCCUCUUCAAUCUCGAUGUCUCUCUUAGCCUGUUCGUAUGCGGCUGCAUACGUUAUAAUAGCUGGGCUUCUUAAAUUGUACCACAGCCUUCCUAUCUUCACCCCUUCUUUCAAUCCCCUUAACGCCUGAGGGUGGUUGAAGGCUCCCAAGUCGAGGACAGCCCGAUGAAACCUCUUGAUGAAUUCCCGAAGGGUUUCUUGCUCCCCCUGUUUCAUGCUUUUCAGCUCCAUCAUGUCAUCUUCCGGUGCCAUUGCCCCACAAAACUGCUCCGCGAAUUCCUGACACAUCUGCUCGAAGGUUUUAAUGCUGCCCCGAGGAAGUUUUCUGUACCAUUCUCGUGCACGUCCCUCAAGGGAUAGUGGGAACACCCUGCACCUUUGGGAUUGGGAUAAUCCUUGUACCCCAGUUAUGUCGUUGAAGCGCUCUAUGUGCACCAGCGGAUCUGUUCUUCCUGAGUAUCUGAGGUCUGGGAGGCGGAAAUCUCUCGGAAUAACUGCCCUCAUGAUCUCUGCUGCGAGCGGUGAUUCUCCGUCCAGCAUUAUCCUCCAACCAGGGGCUCUGUUCCUUCCUUGCAUGUCGUCAAUUAUCUGUGCUAGUCUGCGCACUUCCUCCUCCAGCUGCACUGCACGACCAGGGUCACGUGCUGCAACUUGAUCCCGUUCUUGCUCUACAUCAUGCAAGUGUUGCCUCAACUCUGUUUCCUCUGCAUUCACCACCCCGUCGUCCUCGUCACCAGUCUGUCUUACCGGGGACUGCUCUCUUUCUCUAUGAAAUUCUCCCCGCAGAGGUACGUUACCUCUCUCACCACCAAAUCUCCCGGUGGUUUGACUUCUCCCCGCACUAUCGGGACCUGGUGCCACUCCACCGCCUCUCACCCUUCCCUCUUGGGUUACCCUUCGCUCGCUCCGCAGCUCAUGCAGGAUGGUUGUCAAGGUCUCCAUCUGCUUUUCCAUCCGUUCCAUCCGGUCGAACAUGACUUUUUCCCGUGCUUCACUGACUAUCUCCCUCAGCGUCACGGAAUCGUUAAGCCUCCUAUCACCCCCUUGUGCACUACUUCCUCCUGUCUCCAUCGCUUUUUACUUGCUUCGCCCCUCUUCUUGCUAUCAACAGAAGCUUUUUGCUUUCUCCCCACAGACGGCGCCAAAAUGUUGAUGCAGGAUUCCGGUUCUCCUCGUUCUACGACCAGGAUCUCUGCUCGAUCAACUUCAUCACGACCAGGAGGUCUCCUCGUAAGGCUUCUUCUCCAGAGGUUCCUGCGCACACAGACAAGUCAGAGUACGCCGGUUGUUUUCCCGGCGCAAACCCUUCGACGCUCAAGUCAGAUAUCAAGAUUCGGGGAACGUUUGCCACAGAUCUUAUGGCUUUUUCGUGGUUUUCUCUCUUUUUAAUUUCUUUUCUAAAAAAAUGCCAACCCUUUUACCUCGUUGGCUACCUUUUUAUAGGCUUCCUCUGAAUCCCAGUUUUCCGCUUUUUUCGAGACGGUAUGGGACUCUGACUGCUGCGUUAUGGGCAAACGUGGGAUCUUGCGUGUUACGCCACGGUCCUGGGGAAAGCGUGGCUGUCGUGGUUCUGUGAGAUCUUGCGUGUUACGCUACGGUUCUGGGGGAAGCGCGGCUGUCGUGGUUCUGUGAGAUCUUGCGUGUUACGCCACGGUUCUGGGGGAAGCGCGGCUAUUGUGCCUAGAUUCUCGGGCUGGAGAGCAUGUCUUGCCAACUGUCGUUGACCGGAUCUCCUCGCCUCUCGACCUCUAGCCGGAAUGGCCUUAUGCCUCUUACAGGAAAUUGGCCUCGCGGAUGACGUGCUCGUGGACGAGCAGGAUAUUUCUGCUCCUGUUCCCCCGCGCGCCAGGCUCUUACGGAACACACCGGUUCGCAGAACUAUGCCACCAGAUAUCUGCUCACCAUGCCUGGUCUCGUCGACGUAUUUCUCCCAAACACAAGGGCUCCUAAAGUUCGAAGAAAGAGAAUAGUCCGGAAGAAGGUGAUCGCAUAAAUUUCUUGGGAGUUAAUCCUAGUCAAUAGCCCAAUUUUGCUGCCUGUCGAAGAGAUACAACACGGAAGUCCUCAUCAAACUCUUUUGAGACAUCUAAGAACUAGUAGGGAGGUGGUGGUAUUUCACCGUGUUUCCUGGCAAGUAUAGUUCACUGAUAGAGGGAUUCUUUUCUUGAUGUCUAAAUACUAUAUGUGAUACAACGUCGUAUAUUCCAAUUUUUCUCCAGUUAAAUUAUAGUAAGUUAGAAAAGUUAAUUUUGUUCUAGCGAUGAAUUGUUUUCUUAAUAAUAAUAAUGGCCUGUUGCUUUGGAAUCUUAUUCACUCUCUGUAACCCAAUUAAAUUGUGCAAAUUCUACUGCAGAUUUGUCAAACAGAGUGUCUCUGUGAUUGUUUUGAUACACCUUUUAAUUACUAGAUUGUACUCGAGUUCCUAUUUAUUACUACUGUGUUGUAGUUAUAGUUAUUGUGAAAAAGGAACUGAAACUAUAAUAUAAAUGUUGAUCUUCUGUUGUAUAUAUGAUUUUUAAAUAAUAAUUUUGACAAAAUUAAUAAAUGUAUCAUUGAUUUUUUUAUACUCCCAACUUAAUUUUUAAGUCACCAUAAUAAAUAUUUAUUAAAUACUUUGAUACUGUAACUUUAAAACUAUGCUCCGCGGCACUCUUAUCUAAUUUUAAUUGUACUUUAUAGCUCGAUUAUAGAAAUCCUUACUCGAUGUACUUUACCAUACAAGAUGUUAGUUUACUUAAUCUUACUCGACUUUAAUUGCAUAUUUUAUAACGAAAUUUUUGUCAAAAAAUUGGUCCCGAUUCCAGCAAAACAGUAACUUCCAUUCAAAAGGGUUCCACGUUGAGUGCAUGUAAUCUGCACCAAGUUUGAGAAGAAAUAACCAAAAAAAAAAAGAAACCCGCGUCCAAAGAGGCCGUCAUUGAAUUCAAAAAUUAUGAUCCAAAAUCCAAAAAUAGAAGAAGAAUUGGAAACAUAGUCGGAGUUUUAAAUUGAUAUGAGAAAAGAAUUUAUCAUUUUUUUAACAAAAUUUAAGCUAAGACGAAAAAAUAUGCCUAAAACACCCCUCACAUUAUCCCAAACUUUCGAAACUCCCCCAUUCCUCUGACCAUCAUCUCUCCCAAAUCAAUCUUCCCCCAAAACCAGCCAUGGCUUCAAAUUCAAUCAGCUUAACACUCCAAUAUUGCUUGUAAGCCACCCACAAGUCCUCAACUUCAUAUGGACUCAAGACCAAACCCUAGCUUCCUUCCCACACAUCCUCAUUCACUCCAUCAUUACUUACCUCUCCCUCACAUCCAUCCUUUACCACACAUCAACAUCAACAUCACCAUCACCAUCAUCAUCACCUCUCAUUGGACCCCACAUCCUCAGACCCAUCACAGCCAUCCAUAACAUUUUUCAUUUUGAUGCUGUAUGAUCAUUUUACGGGAUUUGGUUUCCCUGGGUUUUGGGGUUGGUGCUUCAAUACUGUGUUUAAUGCUUCCCUUUUGGCCCUUUUUGUUAAUUUUCAUUACAAGAGCUAUGCUAAGAAAAAGAAGCAGGGAUGAUCAAAACAACUAGUAGUUAUCCUUGUUUUGUGUUUUCUUUUUUAAUUUAUCUCUAUCAUUGCCAUUGACAGAGAUGUUUCCAGUUGCCUAAACUUUGUUUUUUCAAUUUUGGUACUACGUGUAAUUUGUCACCACAUUUGUUUAGUCUCUCCCUUUUAAAUUCCCUCUCGCACACAAAAAAUUCGGAUUUGUAUUUUGUAGACUAAUAUUUUUCAUUUUGUUAAUGAAUUAACUAUUAUUAUCUACAUUAAUGUGAUGGAACACAAGCCACAUCAACUAGAAUUAGAUUAUGAAUUUUUGCAGCCCCAGCAAAAAACAUUUAUGAAAGAUGUUUAGGUAAGGAUUAUUUUGGUAUUCUAAAGAGUAGAAUAAAAAUUAAUGUUCAAAAUAUUAGAACAUAUAUAUUCCCAGCCUUAAUAAAAUUUUGCGACAUGAAAUGUACAAAGUUAGAAAUAUAGAAUGCAUAUUAGUACAUGUCAAUAACAAGACCAAUUAGAUUAUGGCAUUACUUUAUUUUAUUUAUUUAUUUUUUUUAUUCUUUUGAAACAAGAUCAAUUAAUUAGAUCAUGCUAGAAGUUAAAUUGUUUUUUUUCAAAUGAAAAAGGAGCAGUCAUACAAAGUUUGAAUAUAAAAUUUAUAAUCUAAAAUUAAUGAUGUGACAAUUAACAUGUUAUUAACCUAUCUAAUAGAGUAGGAAGUCCCAAAUACAUCAUAUUCUGCUCCCGAAAUCAAUUCCACCUAGAAUACUUCUUUCUAUUGAAAUUAAUGAUGAUUUGUUUGUUUGCAUCAUGAAAGUCAAAAAUAAUUUUGUGAGUAAUUUGAUUCUUUACGGUACAAAAAAUAAAUUCGGAAAGUACUAAUUUCUGUCAUACUUUUCGGGCUAAAAAAUAAAUGUAAGUCUAUCAUAUUUAUUAUUUAAUGGUUUUAUAUCAAUCAUCUGUAUGUAUUUUUCUUGGGAGAAGCUCAAUUAAUUUCUCUCAUACUUUUUGAUCUGAUCCAAUUCUAGCCUAAUCAACCUGAAACCCAUUCAAGUUGAUAUGAACACAAAUUUGCCCACUCCGGAGAUUGUGACCCUACAAACUUUGAAAAAUUUUGAGGUUUCGAAGUAAAACAUUAAAAAUUAGAUAUAAAAAGACUGAUUUGACCCCUAAGCACUUGAUGUAUAAACUUUAUACAUAUAAUAGAAAUUUAAUUUAUAUUUUGUAAAAUAAAAUCAAGUAAACUCGAUUUUUUUUUGUUAAUUAUUUUUUCAUUAUGACAAAAUGAAAAAUAGCCUUUUAUUAAAAUUUUUAUAAAUAAUCGGGCCUAAGUCUUUGAUUUUUAUUUUGUUAAUUAUUUUUUAGUUUUACUUGCAACAGUAAGUUCAAUUAUGAAUCAAAGUCGGCAAAUCAAAAUCGCUGCAGCCUGUAGCCACAAGCAAAAUUCUCAAAUUUCGAAAUUCCUAACGACUACAUAAUAACUAUAAAUAGAAUAACAGUCUAAAAUUAAUCCCCAACUAACAUUUUAAGUGAAGUUGGGCCUUCCGAAGAUUUACCCCAUAUGGAACAAAAUAUUAGUUUUGCUACUAAAAUUGCGAACUACGUUUUUCUUUGUAUUUUCCGCUCAAGGAUGAAGAAAUUUCACUCAACUGUUGUGCUGAAUAUCUUGCGAACAUAUGACAAUUUAAGACCCGUUUGGGGCAGCUGCGCGGUGGUCCUUAAUCUUUGGCUGAGACUUGUUUAAAAUAAAAAAUGACACUUUAAAGCAAUAGGAGAGUUUUAUAUAUCAAAAUGGUAAACGGAUGGAGAAAACUCAAAAUAAUUUUUUUAACUUUUUAUCUAUUUUGACAUUCGAAUUUUAAACUCGAGAAGUCAAGCAAUGAAUAAACCUUUUUGAGGGGCUAAUUAAAUUCUUAGUAAUUUCACAUAAUUUUAUUUCAUCAGAACAGUUUUAUCAAAAGCAAUUUUAUAAAUCGUUGUUGAAAGAUUUAUUCCUUAAUUAUCUUUCACAUAUUUUUUUGGUAAUAUGAGGUAAGUCAUAGACCAUAGUAUGAUAUUUAUUAAAUAUCAAAAUUAAUAUGAUAUUUAUUAAAUAUCAAAAUUAAUUAGACAUGUCUUUAUAAUAAGACAUCAUUUAUUUUGAAAUUGUUCCAGCACUAAGAUUAUUCUAGAUCAAAUUAAUCUAUUAUAUAUAACUUCAGAAGAUUUCUCGGUGGAUUGCUUUAAGGUUUUACAGGAGCUGAUGCUGAGUAGUCUGAAUAAUUAUUAUGAAUCAUAGAAACGGGGCAGAUGCUGUUAAAUUAUUGAGGUGGUGGAGCAGAUGCUCAGUAGUCUGAAUAAUAAUGAUGAAUCGGAAAAAUAGGGCAGAUGCUGUACAAUUAUUGAGGUGGUGGAGCAGAUGCUCAGUAGUUUGAAUAAUUAUUAUGAAUCGGACAAACAGGGCAGAUGCUGUACAAUUAUUGACGUGGUUGAACAGAAAGCUAGCCCCAGACGGUAACUCCUGUGGGGACUCCUUUAAUUUUGCAUCACAAAAGAACGUUCACACUGACAUUGACUCACGGGUAAAAAUUAAAUAUCUCAUAUGGUAUAAGAAGAAUGCAAACAUGCUUGAAUCAACAUUCUCACAGAAUACAUAAAACCUACUUUCCUCUGAGCAUUUUAUCAAGAAAAGCAAUUGCUGCAUUUACCAUUUGAUCUAAUAUCAGAAUGGUUGAUGCGAUCGUUUCCGCUCUCCUGGAGCAGCUGAUCUCUGUUGCGGCUGAUGAAGUGAAACAGCAGGUGAGGCUUGUGACUGGUGUCCGAGAAGAGGUGAAAAAGCUUACCAGCAAUCUUCGAGCCAUUCGAGCUGUGCUGGAAGAUGCAGAGAAAAGGCAAAUGCAGCGCAACAAUGCUGUUACUUUUUGGCUGGAUCAGCUCAAAGACGCAUCUUACGACAUGGAAGACGUGUUGGAGGAGUGGACCACUGCAAGGCUCACAUUGCAGAUUGAGGGCGUUGAUGAUGACACUGCUCUUGCUCUUGCUCCUCAUAAGAAGAAGGUACGCUCCUUCUUUUGUGCUGCAUCAAACUGCUUUGGUAGUUUCAAACAACUUAGUCUUCGUCAUGACAUUGCCGUCAAGAUUAGGGAAAUCAAUGGAAAGCUAGAUGAUAUUGCCUCCCAAAAAGAUACGUUUAAAUUUGUUGAGAAUGUGAGCAACAAUGUUAGGGAACCAGAGCUAGUGGGAACCACCUCCUUCAUUGAUGAGGGAAAGGUUUGUGGUAGAGUUGAUGAGAAAAAUGAGCUCUUAAGCAAAUUGUUGUGUGAAAGUAGUGAACAACAAGAAGGCCUUCAUGUCAUCUCACUAGUUGGGUUAGGGGGUAUAGGUAAAACCACUCUUGCACAACUGGCCUAUAAUAAUGAUGAGGUGAAAAGAAAUUUUGAAAAAGUUAUAUGGGUGUGUGUAUCAGACACUUUUGAGGAGAUUAGGGUUGCGAAAGCAAUCAUUGGAGGUCUAGGUGAGUCAACUUCUAGUUUAAGUGAAUUCCAAUCUCUUAUGAGCCAUAUCCAUCGAUCAAUUGAAGGAAAAAAGUUUUUUCUUGUUUUAGAUGAUGUAUGGGAUGGGAAUUACAAUAAAUGGGAACCAUUCUUCCUUUGUCUAAAGAAUGGUCACCAUAGAAGUAAAAUUUUAGUUACCACACGUAAUGAGUCAGUUGCACGUAUGAUGAGAUCAACAAAUAUUAUCUCCAUUAAGCAAUUGGCUGAAGAGGAAUGCUGGUCAUUGUUCGAGCAGUUAGCAUUUUUCAGUCGUUCUCUUGAGGAUCGUGAAAAAUUAGAACCAAUGGGGCGAAAAAUUGCACACAAGUGCAAAGGCUUGCCUCUUGCUGCAAAGGUAAUAGGGAAUCUUUUGUGCUCUAAAAGUACAGAAAAAGAGUGGCAAAGUAUUUUAGAGAGUGAAAUGUGGAAAGUAGAAGAGAUUGGGCAAGGUCUUUUGGCUCCUUUGUUGUUGAGUUAUAACGAUUUACCCUCCAAUUCUGUGGUAAAACGGUGUUUCUCAUAUUGUGCUGUCUUUCCAAAAGACUACAAUAUGGAUAAAGAGGAAUUGAUUAAUCUGUGGAUGGCUCAAGGUUACCUUAAUGCAGAAGAAGACGAAGAGAUGGAGAUGAUUGGGGAAAAGUGUUUCAACAUUUUAGCAGCACGCUCUUUCUUUCAAGAAUUUCAGAAAAAUGACGAUGAUGAUAUUCUGAGGUGUAAGAUGCAUGACAUAGUACAUGAUUUUGCCCAAUUUAUAAGUAGAAAAGAAUGUUUGUGGCUAGAAAUAAAUGGUACCAAAGAAACAGUCAUAAACUCUUUUGGUGACAAAGUCCGUCACUUAAGGUUAAAGUUUCAAGGAGGAGCUUCAUUUCCUAUGUCCUUUUUUGAAUUUGAUAGAUUGCGUACCCUCUUAAUUUAUGAUGAAAGUCUUUCCAAUACAUCUUUAUUUGAUGAUGAAAGUCCUUCCAAUCCAUCUCUUAAUAGUAGCAUCCUUCGGAAGUUAUUUAGUAAAUUGGCGUGUUUAAGGGCAUUAGUUAUAAGACAACUGUCCCCACCUUUUUGUCCUAAUCACCCAAAUUUGAUUAGAGAAAUUCCAGAAAAUGUUGGAAAAUUGAUACAUUUAAAAUAUCUUAAUUUGUCUAGACUGUGUAUAAAGAGACUGCCUGAGACUUUGUGUGAAUUAUAUAAUUUACAAAAGCUAGAUAUUAGGCGGUGCCGAAAUCUUAGAGAAUUGCCAGCGGGGAUUGGGAAGUUAAUGAACAUGAGGAGUUUACUGAAUGAUAAAACUCGUUCUUUGAAGUACAUGCCAGUAGGGAUUUCCAAAUUAACCAGUCUUCGAACAUUAGGCAAGUUUGUGGUGGGUGGAGGUGUUGAUGGUAGCAAUACGUGUAGGCUUGAAUCUCUGAAAAAUCUUCAACUCCUUCGAGAAUGUGGAAUAGAAGGGCUGGGUAAUGUAUCCCAUUUAGAUGAGGCCGAGAGAUUAGGACUUCACAAUAUGGAAAACCUCCUUCGUUUGCGUCUUGUGUUUGAUGGAGUCGUAGAUCUUGUGUUUGAUGGAGUCGUAGAUGGGGAAGAUGAAGAAAGGAGGAGGAGGAAUGAGAAAGACAAACAACUUCUUGAAGCUUUACAACCGCCUUUGAGUGUAGAGAAAUUAUGGAUUGUAUCCUACGGAGGCAACAUUCUUCCCAAAUGGUUGACUUUGCUAACCAAUCUAAGGGAUUUAAGCCUUUCCUCGUGCGUUAACUGUGAGCAUUUGCCUCCUUUGGGAAAAUUGCCUCUGGAAAAACUCACAAUUAACAACUUGAAAAGUGUAAAAAGAGUGGGUAAUGAGUUUUUGGGAAUAGAAGAAAGCAGUGAGGACGACCCAUCUUCAUCUUCAUCGUCAUCAUCAGUUAUUGCCUUCCCCAAAUUGAAAUCUCUCAAUAUUGAGGAAUUUGAUGAAGUGGAAGAGUGGAAUUACAGGAUUACGAGGACGGAAAACAUCUCCAUCAUGCCACGUCUUUCUUCCUUGACGAUUUCUUCUUGCAACAAAUUAAAGGCGCUGCCGGAUUACAUUCUUCAAACGACGGCACUGCAGGAACUGAGUAUAUAUUUUUGUGAUCUUCUAGAAGAACUGCCCAUUCUAGAAGAUCACAGGACAACAGCCAUACCACGUCUUUCUUCCUUGGAAAUUAGUUGUUGCCCCAAAUUAAAGGUGCUGCCGGAUUACCUUCUUCGGACGACGACGCUGCAGAAAUUGACAAUUUGGGGAUGUCCCCUUUUGGAAAACCGUUAUAGAGAGGGGAAAGGAGAAGACUGGCAUAAGAUAUCUCACAUUCCCCACAUCAAGUGGUCGCUGUUGCCGCCGGUAAUUUCUCCUCCUCCUCUGAUUUACUUCGUUGUUGCUUGCAAUGAAAUUAAUAAAAAUAAUUAUAUUUUGACUUAAAAUUUUAUAUAAAAUCAAUCAUGGUAUAAAUAUGAAAAACUUCCUAGUUAUCAAAUCUGUUAAACUUGUUUUCUAAAGAUUAAAUAAUAAAAAAAUACAAGUGUAGUCUGUUGAAAUUUCUAUAUUUAUUUACUUUUAAAAAAUAUGUGCUCUUUUGUAAAAGUUCAUACAAUAUCAUAGAAAUGUUAUGUGUAACUUCCUGAGAGACAAAAUCUCUGUGAUACAUUUGCAGUAAUGUUGAAAACUAAAUGUCAUUAGCCCACCUUGUUUUAUUUCAUACGAGUUUAAUUAUGUUCACCAGGGAUUCGAGGAAAUGUCAGAACUACACUAGCAAUUCGCAGGUCCACGCUAAUUUGGUUCUAAUGAUGCACGCAGGAGAGCAAGACUAUGAAAAUGAAAAGUUUAGCCAAAGGAUUGCUAAAAUGUUCUGCUGGUAAUUCACUUGCUUUAUUUUAUAGAAUUCAUUUCCAUCUUCUUCUAUUGAUAUCUUGUUGUGAAUAACAAGAACAGAGAAGUAAAGAUAUAUCAAAAUUUACUAUUGCGAUGAUGCUAAAGCAAGCUCAAGCUCAAGCAUUGCAUUUUUAUUUUAUUUAAUUUAUAGAAUUUUCAUUUCCACCUGCAUUGCAUUUUUAUUUAUUUUUAGGUUGACUUUGAAUACUUCAUGGUGAACAUUGGGGUGACCAAGGAUUAGGCUGGCAGUGGAACGACUACCACUGUGGUUAUUGUGCGACUUUGAAGAAGAAAGUGAUGGCUGGGUCUGCUCUGUUUCUAUCUUUUUUCAUUCUUUGAUCGGUUUAUCCUACAUAAACAUAUGGAAUUAUGCUAAUAUUAUCAAUUUUUUCACCCAAUUUUCAUUGUUGGUUGUGAUAAAAAUUUCAGGCUCUCAAAAGCUACAAAGCAAAGCAUUUGUGGGCUGAUCAUAUGUUUCAAUUGAGGAAGGAGUUUGGUGUUGGCAAUAUUGUCCAGGUAACCACAGCUGAUAAUUUCCACAAAUUUGCAUUGUCAGAACACACUUUAAUGUUCAUUGUGUUCCUAUGUGUUAUCAGGUUAUUGUGGUAUGUAAAGUAUCAUCUUUAAGGAUUUGUAAGAGACUUCGCAGUAAACUUAGUUGGCACCAGCUCGUGCAAUUCCUCAUUCAUUCAAGAGUACUUCAAAAUUAGAUUUUCAAGGUUUGUAUGUUUAGUUGCGAGCAAAAUGUUUAGUCACACAUUCGUAAUCUUUUCUGAUUUUCAAGUUCUUUAGGGCCAUAAACAGUUUUCCAACUCAUUCUUAAUUUUUAGGUUGAUUUCGAGUACCCUGUUGAGGACAUUCUUGAGACCAAGGAUUAGGCUGGCGAACAAACUACUACCUCUGUUGUUAUAGUGCAGGGUUUGAUCAUUGGACCUUGAAUAAGAAUGCCUUACACACACUCUGUAAUUCAAGCAUUCUCUAAGGAAAAGAGCAGUCGAAGGGAUAGUGAUGGCCGGAUCUGCUCUAUUUUAGUUGAAGAUCUCUGUGAUGUCGAUGAACUUAAAGCAGUUGAUACUUCUUGAAAAUUGUUAUUACGGAUGAAAUUGAUUACAGGAGACGGGUAUCCAAAGGCGGAUUUUCAUAAACUUCCUUCUUUAACAAAUGUUCCAACGCUUGCUGUAGUAACAAUUUCAUAGCUUGUAUCUCUCGGGUGCAUCAUGUUCACGGGUUGGAAAAAGCAUUUGUGGUAAAGCUUCAAAGCUUGUAAAAUGGCUGUGAAAAGGCACAUUCAAUUCGGUAUGCUUUGGUGCGGUCUCCUAAUGCUAAUAUUAUAUUUUGUAUAGCAAUCUUAAUAUGCAAAAAAUCAUUGUGUCCAAAGUUUUCUAUUUAUUAUAUGGUGACUGAAAUUUUAAUUAUCAUAUCAAUCUUAAAAAUUUUUGUAACCCUAUUUUACUUUGCUUGUACAGAAUACCUGUUUUCGCUGAUAUGUCGAAUUCCCAGAAAUUCAUUUCCAUCGGUUUCCAUUGGUUUUAGCACAAACAGAAACAUAGAGCACUGGGAAAAAGUUUUACUUUUGGUGGUAUUAUGCCUUAUUUUCUUCAUUCAUCAUAUUUGUUUCGAAUUCAUGCUCUCAUUAAGAGAGUAAAGCCUUUUCCAGGCUGCUUUGUAGCCAAAUUUUGAUGCCAUCGAUGCGUGAUUGUCAUUUAGAUUUUCGAAAUAAUUGUCAGAUUGGAGACGAAUCAGAAGAUAUUGUUCAAAGGGUAUUUAAUUAGCACCCUCUGAAUUUAGUUGCCAAUAAUGCAUUGAAAUGGUUGGGGAAAGUUAUUGUCUUAAUUAAAUUACAGGUGAUAAGAUGCUGCUUCAAUUUUGCAAGCAUCUUGUACUGCAAAGAUUCUGCCCACAUGAGAUGCUGUGAUUCUUGACAUCAGGAUAACACAGGUCAAAUUUUAGUAUCAAUAUAUAUCAUCUUCUUUACUGUUCUGCCUCUAAAUAUUAAACUUUAAGCAAGUUGUUUUUGUUUGUGUAAGUUAUCAGGUUAAGGAUACUAAGCCGCUUAUUAAGGCAAAUGUCAGAAUGAAGAUUGUUCACCACACCUGGUAUGCAUGAUGGCCAGUAAGAUUAAUUGUUCACAAGCCAAUUUGAUCAGUGUUAGAUUUUUUGCCUCCUUUCGAGGGUCAUCAUCAUCAAAUUUGAGUAGAGAAUCUUUGAAGGGAAUUUUGUUGUAAGAGUUUCACAGUAGUGAAUUCUGGGAGCUCGAACUCACUUGAGUGAGAUAUUAGGGAGUGUUGGGGAUUUGGGUUAUGAGUAAUCAUUAUCCUUCCAAUAUGUGUAAGCACUCACUUGUUAGUAAAAUCAUCUUCGUAUAUUGACUAUGUUUCUUUGAGUAAUUCAGUUUCAGAUUUUCAGGGCAUGUAUGUUUAAUUAGUUUUGAUUAAAAUAUUUAGUCACUCAUUCUGAAUCUUUUCUAAUUUUCAAGUUCCUUAGGGCCACAACCAGUUUUCAGGGUCUGCAGAAACUAUCUUGAGGGUUGAGGAAUUGCGUUUGAGCACACACAGAAACAAGGCUAAUGGAAAAGAACUUGACAGAAGAAUUAUGCUCUAAAUCUAACAAAAGUAUAUUUCUACUUCUUGUGGUUAUUUUACUUUUGUAUUUUCUGUCAUCAUAUUUGAUUAAUUCAUUCGAAUUCAGACUCUCAUUAUUUAAAACCAUUUUCAGGUGGCUUGCACGCUAAUUAAGUUAACGCAGAAGCAAUACUCUAGACAAAGAUGAGCAAAUUGAAGAUGAUAAAUGCAUAUAUAGUGGCCAAGUCGCUCAUUACAUUUCAUCUCUCAUACGAACAUGAUUCUGAAUUUGAAUUUCCAUCAAUAAUUGUCAGGCUGGUGCAGAUGUUCUUAAAAGGGCAUUAAGCUACCUUAUGAGAUUGGAAAGUUAUCAUUGCUUGAAUGAAAGCACCAUCUUCUGUUGUCAAGGCUUUCCCCCACACGAUGAGAUUCUGUGCUUGUUAUCGGCCGCUUAGUUAUUUAUUAAAUCAGGUUUUUGUUAUCAUGUUCAACAUCUUAUUCACCAUUUUGGCUAUAUAUAAAGAUUAAAAUUUCUAACAGUUGUUUCGGAUUCUUGUGUACUCAGGUUAAUAUGGCAAAUGUCAGAAUGAAGAUUGUUCAGUGCAACCGGUAUAGCAAGGAUGAUAGUGGUGAGGAAGAUUGUUGGCAAGCCAAAUAGAGCCCUCCAUUUUGAGAAAUAUCAUCCUCAAAUUUGAAUUGUUGAGCAUGUGAAGUGAAGCUAAAGCCUUAAUAAUGAGACCUUCCUGUGAAAGUUUCAUUUGAGUGAAUUGAACGUCCUUAGUGGGUGAGAAAUUAAGCAUAUAUCAGCGAUUACUGAAUGUUUUUCUUUAACAUUAGUACACUCUUAUUUCUUAGUAAAAUUCUCUUCACGUCUCUGACUGUGACGUAGACCAAAAGCUGAACAAUGUAAAAUUAUAUUGUUAUUUCCUUAUGCUUGUUUUGCUAUAUAUCAUUUUUGUGCAAUAAAGAAUGUAAUUUUGUAAUUAUUUAACUCUGCUUCUGCGAACAUGCGGUAUUACAAGUGGCAUCUUGCAGAUUUUUUUCCCCUUUUUUUCUUUCUGCAUUAAAACUGCAACAAAUGGAAGUGACUGGCUUGAUUUUAGCUAAUGUAAAAAAGUGCUUGGGGCAAUGUCUUUUGUAUCAGCAAGUCAUCAAACAUCAUAGUUUAAAUAUAGAAUCCUGAGUUGCCGUAUAUUGACAAAGCUAACCGUCUGUGGGCUGAAAUGCUUCCACGGAUCAGGAAGGAAUUUGGGGUUGACACUAAAUGUUAUGCAGAUAACUACAGUUGAUAAUUUUUACCCAAAAUAUGUCACAGUUGACAAUUCACUUACAGUGUUUCCUUGUGUUAUCAGGCUCUCAUAUGUGAAUUGAAAGAUUAAGAAAAAGCAUUUGCACUAAAUUUCAAUUUUAAAGUUCCCAGAUUAAGAAAGAUUGUUUGUUAUGCAAUUGAAGAUUAUGAAAAAGCAUACGCACAGGUAAGUUCUUCUUUAGCUCUGUUUUUCAUUGUUUGUUAUAUCUAUUUUUAAUUCACAUGUCCACAGUAAUUUCAUUUUAGUUUGAGCUGAGUGAUAACUGUUCAAGGCUCACUUACUCAUUGGGAGAAGCUGCAUGACGCAGGCUGCAAGGAUUUAGAUUUUCAUUCGAAGGCUCACUUACUCAUAGUGUGCAUGUUUCGUUACGAUUAAAAUGAUUAGUCUCUUGUUCUUAAGUAUACAAUUUCCAAUGGAUUUGAUAGAGCGGUCAUCAACCAUAUUGAUGUUAUUGGAGUAGCACUGUUCUUAAGCACUGCUUUGAGGUCUCUCCCUCUCUAUAUACAUUGAUAGACUAUUCUGGUCGUACCAAAUUAUCCUUGUUUUAUUGUUUUGUUUGUUAAACUUUGACUGGGGGAAUCUGUUUAUUUGUCUGAUAUGAUGUUAGUGUGGUUUCGAUUGAAGUGUGUUGAUCUAUCACCAAGUAUUAUUUCAAUUUUUCUUUACCUAAUCAACUUGCAUACUUUCCAAGUCUAGAUCCUUAACAAUAGUGAGACUCCGCUACAGAAGUACGAUUUCUCUAGUUUUGUAGUUAAAUACGUAAGAAUAGUUUUAAAUUAACAGAACUCUGAGAUAGUUCUCUGAGGAAAUACAAGUGGUGAAUAUGGUUCCAACUUUUAAGUGCCUUAAGAUUCCCAUUUGUUCAGCCCUGUGCGUAAACAAUCAGUAAUUUCUGUCCAAAUUCUUCUUUAAUGCCUAUAUGUGUUGGACUUUGUCUACUGUUCAACUUCUCAAAUGGAUUCCAUGCAGGGUUUUGAAUGUCCAAUUAGGAGAAAGAUCAAGGCUUGCUUGGCUAGGAGUGGAAGCGGAUCCACUACUUCAGUCAGAUGACCUUUUGAAGAAGGCUUACAACAGGCCGUCUCAGGAUGUCAAUGGCUCAACUCAAAAGUCCCCAAAGUGGUUGAUAUCGAAGAAUGCCGUUGUCUCUGGGCUUGGGCUCCUUGGCAUCAAACAAGGGAAUGUCGACUCUGUUGAAGGGGAAGCAAGGGCUCCUAAAGUGCGAAGAAAGAGGAUAGUCCGGAAGAAGGUGACCGCAUAAAUUUCUUGGGAGUUAAUCCUAGUCAAUAGCCCAAUUUUGCUGCCUGUCGAAGAGGUACAACACGGAAGUCGUCAUCAAACUCUUUUGAGACAUCUAAGAACUAGUAGGGAGGUGGUGGUAUUUCACCGUGUUUCCUGGCAAGUAUAGUUCACUGAUAGAGGGAUUCUUUUCUUGAUGUCUAAAUACUAUAUGUGAUACAACUUCGUAUAUUCCAAUUUUUCUCCAGUUAAAUUCUAGUAAGUUAGAAAAGUUAAUUUUGUUCUAGCGAUGAAUUGUUUUCUUAAUAACAAUAAUUGCCUGUUGCUUUGGAAUCUUAUUCACUCUCUGCAACCCAGUUAAAUUGUGCAAAUUCUACUGCAGAUUUGUCAAACAGAGUGUCUCUGUGAUUGUUUUGAUACACUUUUGAUGGCAAGUUCAAGUUUGAAUCAUCUUGUAAUGCCAAAAAACCAUAGCGCUUUUAAUUACUAGAUCGCACUCGACUUCCUAUUUAGUACUACCGUGUUGCAGUUAUAGUUAUUGUGAAAAAGGAACUGAAACUAUAAUAUAAAUGUUGAUCUAGUGUUGUAUAUAUGAUUUUUAAUUAAUAAUUUUGAUAAAAUUAAUAAAUGUAUCAUUGAUUUUUUUAUACUCCCAACUUAAUUUUUAAGUCACAAUAAUAAAUAUUUAUUAAAUACUUUGAUACUGUAACUUUAAAAUUAUGCUCCGCGGCACUCUUAUCUAAUUUUAAUUGUACUUUCUAGCUCGAUUAUAGAAAUCCUUACUCGAUGUACUUUACCAUACAAGGUGUUACUUUACUUGAUCUUACUCGACUUUAAUUGCAUAUUUUAUAACGAAUUUUUUAUCAAAAAAUUGGUCCCGAUUCCAGCAAAACAGUAACUUCCAUGAUGAUUUUUAAUAUUAUAUUAGUGAUUAUUAAAUUUAAUACAAUCAAUAAUGAAAGAAAUUAUUAAAUGGUUAAUUUUAUUGACAUAUUAUCAAAUACGCAAGUAAUGAAAAAUUAAUCUCAAGAGUUAGUUGAAGUAAAGUUCCAAUUUAAUAGAUAAAUAUAAAUUUUAAGUAAAUCAUAAAUUAAAAAAUUAAUUAAUAUUAAGUAUAAAUAAAUAAUAAUGACAUAAAUUAAAGUCUCAUAAAUGGAUAACUUUUUUUCUUUAAUCUUAUCUCAACUAAAGUAAUGUGUAAAUUAGGAUUCUUAAUCCCAUAAUUUUAGGAAUAAAUUUAAAUUUAGUUCCUAAAUCCAAUUCAAUUAAGCUUACCAAACAUGAGAUAAAUUUUUAAUCACAAAAUUAGUCCAAUUCCAUACUUACUCCCAGUAUCCGAACAUGGCCUGAUAACAUAAUUUAGGUAAUAUACUACUAUGACUCACAAUUUAAAUAAAUUUAAGAAUUUAUAUAGGGGAUGGAAAAUUCACAAUAAUCAUAACAUAUGCUAUCUUUUCUCCCUUUUCUUAAUUAAAUAAAAAAAAAUUAAUGACAGAAUAACUACUGUUUAAAAGGGUCGGCUGCAUGAUUUUUCCAACUAUUGUUUUAUUUUUCUCUUUUCCACUACAAAUUAAUUUGAGAAUGUUACAUUUUCCAAUUCUCUUUUUGUCGUGACAUAAUAGACUAAAACGGAAUCACAUACUUUUUCAAAUGUCCAAAUGGCUUUGGCCUACCUGAUAAUAAAAGGAAUGGAUCCAUACGUUAGUAUGGAUAAAUUGAAAAAUAUAAUAAAUAAAUUGUCAGGAGAUGAUUUUAUCAAAAAUUUCACUCGCACGGUCCCGACCAAAAUCGACUGUAUUAUAUGUGAACUCGCAAGAUUCAUAGAUAGAUUGCACUGAGCUUUUUGUUGCAGUUUACAAAUAUUUUGUUACUAAUUAUCUCAAGAGCAGCAUGUAACUAAAUACAAAUGUAAGGAAUUUUACAAGUGCUGAUGCUGUGUACUCUGAAGAAUUAACAAUGAAUUAUUAUGAAUAAGAGAAACAGAGGGCAGAUGCUGUGCAAUUAUUGAGGUGGUGGAUCAGAAAGCUAGCCCCAGAUGGUGACUCCUUUAAUUUGCAGCACGAAAGAACGUUCACAUUGACAUUGACUCAAGGGUAAAAAUUAAAUAUUUCAUAUGGUAUAAGAAGAAUGCAAACAUGCUUGAAUGAACAUUCUCACAGAAUACAUAAAACCUACUUUCCUCUGAGCAUUUUAGCAGCAAGAAAAGCAAUUGCUGCAUUUACCAUUUGAUCUAAUAUCAGAAUGGCUCAUGCGAUCGUUUCCUCUCUCUUGGACCAGCUGAAAUCCAUUGCUCAAGAUCAGGUGAAAGAAAAGUGGAGGCUUGUGACGGGUGUCGAACAAGAAGUGGGAAAGCUUACUACCAAUCUUCAAGCCAUUCAAGCUGUACUGGAAGAUGCAGAGCAGAGGCAAAUGAAGCAGGACAAAGCUGUUACUCUUUGGCUGGAUCAGCUCAGAGACGCAUCCUACGACAUUGAAGAUGUGUUGGAAGAGUGGAUCACUGAAACAAGGAAAUUGCAGCUUGAUGAGGGCGGCGAUGAUGACGAUGCUCUUGCUCUUGCUCCUCCUAAGAAGAAGGUAUGUUCCUUCUUUCGUGCUGCCUCAAACUACUUAGGUGGUUUCAAACAACUCAUUCUUCGUGAUGAUGUUGCUGUCAAGAUUAGCGAAAUCAGUGAAAAGCUAGAUGGUGUUGCCACUCGAAAAGAUAUGUUUAAAUUUGUUGAGAAUGUGAGUAACAAUGUUAAGAAACCAGAGCGAGUGCGAACCACCUCCUUGAUUGAUGAGGGAGAGGUUUUUGGUAGAGAUGACGAGAAAAAUGAGCUGUUAGGUAAGUUGUUGGGUGAGAGUGGCGAACAACAUCCUCAUAUCAUCUCACUGGUUGGGUUAGGGGGUAUAGGUAAAACCACUCUUGCACAACUAGCCUAUAAUAAUGAUGAGGUUAAAAGAAAUUUUGAAAAAGUUAUAUGGGUGUGUGUAUCAGACACUUUUGAUGAGAUGAGGGUUGCUAAAGCAAUCAUUGAAGGUCUAGGCGAGUCAACUUCUGGUUUAAGCGAAUUCCAAUCUCUUAUGAGCCAUAUCCAUAGAUCAAUUGAAGGAAAAAAUUUUUUUAUUGUCUUAGAUGAUGUAUGGGAUGGGAAUUAUAAUAUAUGGGAUCAAUUCUUCUUUUGUCUAAAGAAUGGUCUUCCCGGAAGUAAAAUUGUGGUUACCACACGUAAUGAGUCAGUUGCACGUAUGAUGCGAACAAUAGAGUUAGAUAUUAUCUCCAUUGAACAACUAGCUGAAGAGGAAUGCUGGUUGUUGUUCAAGCGGUUGGCAUUUUUCGGUCGCUCUUUCAAGGAUUGUGAAAAAUUAGAACUAAUCGGGCGAAAAAUUGCACGCAAGUGCAAAGGCCUGCCUCUUGCCGCAAAAGUAAUAGGGAAUCUCUUGCGCUCUAAACGUACAGUAAAAGAGUGGCAAAGAAUUUUAGAGAGUGAAAUGUGGAAGGUAGAAGAUAUUACGAAAGGUCUUUUGGCUCCUUUGUUGUUGAGUAUAAUGAUUUGUCCGCUAGUUCUAUGGUAAAACAGUGUUUCUCAUAUUGUGCUGUCUUUCCAAAAGACUACAAGAUGGAUAAAGAGGAAUUGAUUGAUCUCUGGAUGGCUCAAGGUUACCUUAAUGCAGAAGAAGACGAAGAAAUAGAGAUGAUUGGAGAAGAGUAUUUCAACAUCUUAGCAACACGCUCUUUCUUUCAAGAGUUUGAAAUAUAUGGUGCCGAUGGUGAAUAUGUGAAGUGUAAGAUGCAUGACAUAGUACAUGAUUUUGCUCAAUUUGUGAGUAGCAAAGAAUGUUUGUGGCUAGAAAUUAGCGGUACCAAAGAAUCAGUCAUAAACUCUUUUGGUGACAAAGUCCGUCACUUAGGGUUAAAGCUUAAAAGAGGCGCUUCAUUUCCUAUGUCCAUUCAUGGACUUAAUAGAUUGCGUACCCUCCUAAUUAGUGAUGAAUUUUAUAAUCUGUCCCUUAGUAGUAGCAACCUUGCAGAGUUAUUUAGUAAAUUGGCAUGUUUAAGGGCAUUAGUUAUAAAGCAAUUUUACCCAAAUAGGAUUAGAGAAAUUCCAGAAAAUGUCGGAAAAUUGAUACAUUUAAAAUUCCUUAAUUUGUCUAGACUAGCUAUAGAGAGACUACCUGAGACUUUGUGUGAAUUAUAUAAUUUACAAAAGCUAGAUAUUAGGCGGUACGAAUAUCUUAGAGAAUUGCCUGCGGGGAUUGGGAAGUUAAAGAACAUUAGGAGUUUACUAAAUGCUAGAACUCCGUUAAAGCAUAUGCCAAUAGGGAUUGCCAGGUUAACCAGUCUUCGAACAUUGGACAGGUUUGUUGUGGGAGGAGAUGUUGAUGGUAGCAGUACAUCUAGGCUUGAAUCUCUGAAAAAUCUUCAACUCCUUCGAGAUUAUGUAAUAGAUGAGCUGAGUAGUGUGUCACAUUUAGAUGAGGCUGAGAGAUUAGAACUCCACAAUAUGGAAAACCUCCUUCGUUUGUGUCUUGUGUUUGAUGGGGGAGAUGAAGAUUGGGAAGAUGAAGAAGAAGAAGACGCAGAAGUUGUAGAGGGGUUAGAUGAAGAAGGGAGGAGGAAGAAUGAGAAACUUCUUGAAGCCUUACAACCGCCUUUGAAUGUAGAGGAAUUACGGAUUGUAUCCUACGGAGGCAACAUUUUUCCCAAAUGGUUGACUUCGCUAACCAAUCUAAGGGAACUAAAACUUCUCUUGUGUUUUAACUGUGAGCGUUUGCCUCCUUUGGGAAAAUUACCUCUGGAAAAACUCCAACUAAAGAACUUGAAAAGUGUAAAAAGAGUGGGUAAUGAGUUUUUGGGAAUAGAAGAAAGCAGUGAGGAUGGCCCAUCUUCAUCUUCAUCGUCACCAUCAGUUUUUGCCUUCCCCAAAUUGAAAUCACUCGAAAUUCACGGAAUGGAAGAAUUGGAAGAGUGGAAUUACAGGAUUACGAUGAAGGAAAACAUCUCCAUCAUGCCCCGUCUUUCUUUCUUGGAAGUUAGUUCUUGCAACAAAUUAAAGGCGCUGCCGGAUUACCUUCUUCAAACGACGGCACUGCAGGAACUGAGUAUUUGUUCUUGUGAUCUUCUAGAAGAACUGCCCAUUCUAGAAGAUCGCAGGACAACAGACAUACCACGUCUUACUUCUUUGUGGAUUUCUGAUUGCCCCAAUUUAAAGGUGCUGCCGGAUUACCUUCUUCAAACACUGCAGCUAUUGAUAAUUUUGGGCUGUGACCUUCUAGAAGAACAUUAUAGAGAGGGGAAAGGAGAAGACUUGCAGAAGAUAUCUCACAUUCCCCACAUCAAGUGGUCACCGUAAGAUAUCACUCGCCGGUAAUUUCUCCUCCUCCUCUGAUUUACUUCGUUGUUGCUUGCAAUGAAAUUAAUAAAAAUAAUUAUAUUUUAAAUUAAAAUUCUAUAUAUUGCCAAUGUCUGACAAGAAUAUAUAAUAUUUUUCUAAUAUUUUGAUUUGCAUAUUGAAUUUUGUUUACUUUAACCAUUAAUUUAAUGGGUCACUUUAUGAUGCUGUUAUAAAAAUUAUAGAAUCAAUCAUGGUAUAUAUAUUUUAAUUUAAGUUAUUUAAAAUUUAAACUUCCUAGUUAUCAAAUUUAAACUUCCUUAACAUCAUGCAAAAAUAAUCAUCAUGUCUUUUAGCCGAAGGAUUGCUAAAAUGUUCUGCUGGUAAUUCACUUGCUUUAUUUUAUAGAAUUUCAUUUCCAUCUUCUUCUAUUGAUAUCUUGUUGUGAAUAAACAAGAACAGAGAAGUAAAUAAUUGAACCACAGAGAAGUAAAGAUAUAUGAAAGUUCGCUAUUGUGAUGGUGUUAAAGCAAGCUCAAGCUCAAGCAUUGCAUUUUUAUUUUAUUUUAUUUUUAGAAUUUUCAUUUCCACCUGCACUGCAUUUUCAUUUCAUUUUUAGGUUGACUUUGAAGACUCUAUGGAGAACAUUAGGGUAACCAAGGAUUAUCACUAUGGUUAUUGUGCAACGUUUGGUUGCUGGACUUUGAAGAAGGAAGCGAUGGCCGGGUCCGCUCUGUUUCAAUUGAGGAUGGACAGCUGCCUGAAAGACAUGAUGAUUAUUUUUGCAUGAUGUUAAGGUGCUAAGAUCAUCAUUUAUAUCUUGUUUCAUUCUUGGAAUCAUUUAUCCUAUAUAAACAUAUUGAAUUGUGCUAAUAUUAUCAUAUGCUUCAAUGGAGGCAGGAAUUUGGUGUUGACACUACUAUGCAGGUAGCCACACUUCAUAGUUGGCACAAAUUUGCGUUGUCAGAAUAUCCUUUAAUAUUCAUUGUGUUUCUUUGCGUUAUCAGGUUAUCAUCUCCAAGGGUUUGAAAGAGUCUUUGCAGUAAAGGCAGUUGUCACCAGCUCGUGCAAUUGCACAGUCAUUCAGAGUACUUCAAUAUUGGGUUUUCAAGUUUUGUAUGUUUAGUCGAUUAAAAUGUUUAGUCACUCAUUCUUAAUCCUUUUUUCUGAUUUUCAAGUUCUUUAGGGCCAUAAACAGUUUUUCAAACUCAUUAUUAUUUUUUAGGUUGAUUUCCUACUCGUGGAGAACAUUGGCAAGUCCAAGGAUUAGGCUGGCGAUGGAACUACUACCUCUGUUGUUAUUGUGCAAGGUUUGAUCGCUGGACCUUGAACAAGAAUGCCUUACACACAUUCUGUAAUUGAAGCGUUCUCUAAAGCAAAAGAGCAGUAGAAGGAAUAGUGAUGGCCGGAUCUGCUCUUUCUUAAUUGAAGAUGUCUGUGAUGUUGAGGAGCUUAAAGCAGUUAAUGCUCUUUGAAAAUUGUUAUUACAGAUGAAUUGAUUCCUGAAGACGAGUAUCUAAUGAUUGUUAAGGCGUAUUUUCAUGAACUUCCUUUCUUAACAAAUGUUUCAAUGCUGGCUGUAGUAACAAUUUCAUAUCUUGCAUCUCCCGGGUGCAUCAUGUUCACGGGUUUGAAAAAGCAUUUGUGGUAAUGCUUCAAAGCUUGUACAAUGUCUCCCAAUGCUAAUAUCAUAUUUUGUAUGGCAAUUAAAAUUUAGCUAUACAAUCUUAAUAUGCAAUAAAUCAUUGUAUACAAAGUUUUCUAUUGAUUAUAUGGUGACUGAAAUUAGAUUGGAGAAGAAUAAAAAGAUACUGUUAAAAGGUUAUUUAAUUAGCGCCCUCUGAAUUUCUUGGAGUUAAUGUAGUCAAUUGCCCAAUUUUGCUGCCUGUGGAAGAUACACAGUAUGGAGUCCUCAUCAAACUCUGAGACACCUAAUAAAUAGUAGGAGGGGUUGGUAUUCGCCUGGUGUUAAUUUCCUGGCAAGUAUAGUUCACAGAUAAAGGGGUUCUUUUCUUGAUGUCUAAAUACCGUAUGUGAUACAACAUCGUGUAUUCCAAUUUUUCUCCAGUUAAAUUUUAAUAAGUUAGGAAAGUUAAUUUUGUUUUAGCAAUGAAUUGUUUUCUUAAUAAUAAUUGCCAUGUUCCUCUGAAGUCUUAUUAAUGCCAAACCAACAACUACUAGGUUCAUCUCUCGUUCACUUCCUCAGGGAUUCUCGAGGGCAUUCUUUGGCAGGUAGUCUUUCUUGUUGAGCUCCUGGAAUUACUUUUAAUUUAUCAUCUGUUGGGUUUUGCUUUUUGAUUGCUUUGUGAUUUGUGUUUUUAUCGCUUUGUCGCUCAUUAAUCUUGGCUGUUUUGAAUCUGUGUUGGAUUUAGACGUUUGGAGUUGAAAACAGUUAAAGCUUAGACUAGUAGAAGAGAUUUAUACAUUCAUUUAUCUUGGACAAAGUUUUUGGGGGAAAAGAAAAAUUAUAAGUAUACACUUUCCAAUGGUUCGGUGAUGUUUGAUUGGUUUAAAGAUGUUGGAUCUCUCAUCAGAUUUCUUAUGUAUCGACUGCUGUUGCCACAGGAUGCUCGCAGAUCCUGCUUUUUUGUAUAAACUUCUACCAGAGCAGGCUGCCACAAUUGGUUGCACUGUUUUGUGGGAGUUGGAGAAUCACAAGGAGAGGUGUUUUUUCUCUCAUAACAAAGGAACUCUCCCCUUCCUUUUUAUUCUCAUUUUAUAUAUUAAGCUAAUAAAUGUUUGUUUCUGUUGUGAUGGGAUAAAGCAAGAAUGGGAUCUUUGCCCUAAUAAAUGUGCUCACAGUAACAGCAUGUAAUGCUUUUGUUGUUUGGUCGCUUGCUCCUUGUCAUUCUUAUGGAAACACCUUCCGGUUUGACUUGCAAAUUACAUUACAAAAGCUCCCAAACAAUAUAUUUGAACGGCGGUACCCAUUUCGAGAAUUUGACUUGCAAAAGAGAAUCCACUCCCUUUUUUACAAGGCUGCAGAGUUGUGUAUGGUGGGAUUAAGUGCAGGAGAAGUGCAAGGUUCUUUGUCAAACUAUCUUGCUGGUAAAAAGGACAGGUAAACAUGGUUGCAAAACUUCCUUUUCAUUCCUCGUUCACUUAUUCGUUAUAAAUAAAGAAAACUUAGAAGAUUGUUCUGUUUACUGUCUAAGCCAGUUUAACAUUUAUUAAAUUACCCUUGUAAAAGAGAAUCCACUCCCUUUAAUGUCUGACAGGUUAUCUGUGACAAACAUGAGAUAUCAGCUAUUGUGUGGAUUUGAUAGAGCGGUCAUCAACCAUUUUGAUGUUAUUGGAGUAGUACUGUUCUUAAGCACUGCUUUGAGGUCUCUCCCUCUAUCUCUUUUACGCAUUUGUUUAUUGAUCUACAUCUCUAUAUACAUUGAUAGACUAAUCUGGUCGUACCAAAUUACCCUUGUUUUAAUGUUUUGUUUGUUAAACUUUGACUGGGGAAUCUGUUUAUUUGUCUGAUAUGAUGUUAGUGUGGUUUCUAUUGAAGUGUGUAGAUCUAUCACCGAGUAUUAUUUCAAUUUUUCUUUGCUUAAUCAACUUGCAUCCUUUCCAAGUCCAGAUCCUUAACAAUAGCGAGACUUCGCUACGGAAGUACAAUUUCUCUAGUUUUACAGUUAAAUACGUAAGGAUGGUUUUAAAUUAACUGAACUCUGAGGUAGUUUUCUAAGGAAAUACAAGCGGUGAAUAUGGUUCCAAGUUUUAAGUGCCUUAAUUAACCCAUUUGUUCAGCCCUGUGCGUAAACAAUCAGUAAUCGCUGUCCAAAUUCUUCUUUACUGCCUAUAUGUGUUGGACUUUGUCUAUUGUUCAACUUCUCAAAUGGAUUCCAUGCAGGGUUCUUAAUGUCCAAUUAGGAGAAAGAUCAAGGCUUGCUUGGCAAGGAGUGGAAGUGGAUCCGCUACUUCAGUCAGAUGACCUUUUCAAGAAGGCUUACAACAGGCCAUCUCAGGAUGUCAAUGGCUCAACUCAAAAGUCCCCAAGGUGGUUGAUAUCAAAGAAUGCCAUUGUCUCUGGGCUUCGGCUCCUUGGCAUCAAACAAGGGAAUGUCGACUCUGUUGAAAUGGAAGCAAGGGCUCCUAAAGUGCGAAGAAAGAGGAUAGCCCGGAAGAAGGUGACCGCAUAAAUUUCUUGGGAGUUAAUCCUAGUCAAUAGCCCAAUUUUGCUGCCUGUCGAAGAGAUACAACACGGAAAUCCUCAUCAAACUCUUUGAGACAUCUAAGAACUUGUAGGGAGGUGGUGGUAUUCACCUUGUUUCCUGGCAAGAAAUUUAUGGAACUUAUCUUCUAAAAACCAGCCAUGGCUUCAAAUUCAAUCACCUCAACACUCCAAUAUUGGCUUGUAAACCACCCACAAAUCCUCAACUUCACAUGGACACAAAACCAAACCCCAGCUUCCUCCCCACACUUCCUCAUUCUCUCCAUCCUCACUUACCUCUCCCUCACAUUCAUCCUCUACCACACAUCAACAUCAACAUCACCACCAUCAUCACCUUUCAUUGGACCCCACAUCCUCAAGCCCAUCACAGCCGUCCAUAACCUCACCCUCCUCCUCCUCUCCCUCAUCAUGGCCGUUAGUUGCACUCUCUCCAUCAUCGUCCAUUUGCCCCACCUCCAUUACACCCUCUGUUUCCCCCCCACCAUUUCUCCGUCUGGCCCCCUCUUCUUCUACGCUUACCUCUUCUACCUCUCCAAAAUACUCGAAUUCGUAGACACCCUUUUGAUCAUUUUGUCAAACUCCGUCCAACGGCUCACGUUCCUCCACGUCUAACACCAUGCAACCGUCGUCGUAAUGUGCUACCUUUGGUUACAGACGAAGCAGUCUUUGUUUCCUAUUUCACUUGUGACCAAUGCAAGUGUGCAUGUGAUCAUGUACGGGUACUAUCUAUUGUGUGUGAUGGGGUUGAGGCCAAAGUGGAAGAGAUUGGUCACUGAUUGUCAGAUUGUUCAGUUUGUGUUUAGUUUUGUUGUUUCGGUUUUGAUGCUGUAUUAUCAUUUUACGGGAUUUGGUUGCUCUGGGAUUUUGGGUUGGUGCUUCAAUGCUGUGUUUAAUGCUUCUCUUUUGACACUUUUUGUUAAUUUUCAUUCCAAGAGCUACGCUAAAAAAAAGCAGGGAUGAUCAGAACAAAUAGUUUUUGUGAUUGUUUUGUGCGUGCGUGUGUGUGUGUGAUUUUUUUUUUCAAGUUUGAUUUUGUUUAAUUAUGAAGGGUUGUGAUCUGUUCAUUGCAAUUGACAGAGAUGUUUUCAGUUGCCUAGACUUCGUAUUUUCAGUUUUAGUAAUAAAUGUCGUUUUUCACCACAUUUGUUUAGUCUCUCGCUUUUAAAUCCCCUCUCACACACAAAAAAAAUUGGAUUUGUAUCUUGUAAACAAAUAUUUUUCAUUUUGUUAAUGUAUUAAUUAUUGUUAUCUACAUUUAUGUGAUAGGGCACAUGCCACAUCGACUAAAAUUAAGUUAUGAAAUUUUGCAGCCCCUGAGCACUCAAUGUUUGUAGGCACAAGUUCAAGUCCCACCAUUUGUUAGGAUUUAAAUAAAGAACAUUAUAACCAUGCGUCCAAGAACUUAAAGAUAGCUUAAGUGCAUGGAUUCGAGUCCUAGUUAUUGUUGGAAUUCGAUUUCCUUUCUAAUUAAAUUGGGUAAGGGUAAAAUUAUCUCUCAAUUAAUAAGGACAGAGUAGAUAUUUCUCUCGAUUUUCCUCCCAAUUAAAUUAGUUAGAAGUAAAAUUAUCUCUCAAUUAAUAACAGUAGAAUAAAUAUCUCUCUAGUAUUAUGCAAGGGUAGAAAUUUGGGCUGUACCAUGUUAGAAUUAUCAAGGAUAGUUUUGGUAGAAUUCUAAUUGUAAUAUAUGAGUGUAUAAAAAAAAUGAACAUCAAUGAAAGAUUUUAGGCAAGAACUAUCUUGGAAUAGAAUUUUGAUUGUAAUAUAUCAGUAUAUAAAAAAAUUUUAUGAAAAAUGUUUAACAAGGACUAUUUUGAUAUUUUAAUGAAUAGUAAAAAUUAAUGUUAAAAUUUGAUAGACGAGUGUAUAGUAAGAUGUGCAAAGUAUUAGAACAUAUAUAAAUAAUCCUAGCUCUAAUAAAAUUUUGCUACAAAAUUAGUUUAUCCCUUAAAGAAACAUAUCAAAAAAAUAUACAAAAACACAAUGCAUGAGUACAUGUCAAUCACAAAUGAAAGCAAUUAAGAUAAAGGAUAUGAUUUAUUUUAUUUUAUUUUAGUUAUUUUUUUAAUUAUUUUUUGUUUCUUUUGAAACAAGACCAAUUAGAUCAUGCAAGAAGUAAUUUUUUUUUUAAAUAAAAAAGGAGAAAUGAUGAAACCCACGUCCAAAGAUGCCGUUGUCGCGGAGGCCUAGAUCUCACUACACCCCAUCCCCUUCUACCAUAUUUUAUAAUUGAAGAGGCCAUUAUUGAAUUGAAAAAUUAUGAUUCAAAAACCCAAAAAUAGAAAAAGAAAAGCAAUUGUUGGAAACACACUCGGAGUUUUAAAUUGACAUGAGAAAAGAAUAUAUUCAUCAACCUCAUACGUUAAAGAUGCGACGAGUUUGAGAUUAUGAGCCAAAUUCCUAACGUGUGGGAAUUUAAAGAUGUUACUACAAAACAUGUGUUCGUCGGUGGAGUAGAAUCAGGGAAAUUAAAGAUGCUACUACAACCACUAACGUGUGGGUGGGGAUAAGCAUAACUUUUUUCAUCAAAUGCCAAAUCCCCCCAGGUGGAGAGUGGGGACUCCUUCGCAUAAAUGUUGAUAAAAUUUUGAUUAUGAUGUUAUUAGAAAUUAGGAAAAACCUGUGGUGCAACUGUGGUACCGUGUUAUAGUUGCAUCCAGCCGUUGGAUACUAGUGGACCCUAUUGUUAACAUAUAUGUUUCCAUAAUAUUGAUUUUGAUGAUAACAAACAAAAUUAAGAAUGAUUAAUCUUUUAAGCUCAAAUUAUUUAAUAUUCUUUUUAAAUAAAUCAUUAUUUUCACAUUAUAAAUGUUUUAUAUUUAAUGGAAAAAUGAUUUUAUGAAAUUGAUUGUUUUUAUUCUCUUUAAAUAAAUCAUUAUUUUUACAUUAUAAAUGUUUUAUAUUUAAUGGAAAAAUGAUUUUAUGAAAUUGAUUGUUUUUAUUCUUUUUAAAUAAAUCAUUAUUUUCACAUUAUAAAUGUUUCAUAUUUAAUGGAAAAAUAAUUUUAUGAAAUUGGUUGUUUUUCAAAGUUUAUGGUUUAAUUAAAAGAAUUUUGAAAACUUUGAAAUAAAUGCUUGAAAUUUUGGAGGACUUAUUUGAAAAGUGUCAUAGCAUUUUUAGCUAUAUCAUAAUUUCAGAAAGUUUUGGGAUUAGCAAAGCAUUACUUAUAAAUUCUAAAAUUGGACCUAUUUAAAAAGUUUUAUAACUUUUUGGGCCGUAAUAUAGUUUUGUAAAGUUUUGGGGUCAAACUGUAAUUUCAGAAAAUAAUGCACUAUGCAGGUUACUGUAGCAUCCGGCUUACCGGAUAUAAAAAACUAGAAAACCGGAUACGGGGCAGUAAGCAUCCGGAACGCAAACGGCUUAUCGGAUUUCGUAACCGGCAAGCCGGUUAGGCAAAAUUCAAAUUUUUGCCUUAGUGGUAACAUAAAUCCAGCUUACCGGAUUCCUUAAACGGCAAACCAGAUACGCUCAGAAUGUGUAUAAUGGGUAGUUUUUGAGUUCAAACUAUAUAAACUCAAAAUCAAUUCAUUUUUGGUAAUACAAGAAAGCAAGAACAAGUGCACACAACAUAUAUUGAGCUUCAAUUUCGUGAAUCAUCAUUCAUUAAAUCAUCUUUGUUCUUAAAUUUGUAUAUCCACUCUUAAAGAGAGUUUGAUUGUUGUAUUUUUCAUUUCUCAUUAAAUUGUGAGAGUACAAGUGUGAGAAACACUUGGAGUGAAGAGAUUGGAGAGAUAAUCUCUUGUUGUAGAGGUUCAUUGACACCUUAAAGUCAAUUGUAAACAUUUGAAGCCUUGGAAAGGCUUGGAUAGUGAAAUCCUCAAGCCCGGUGUGGUUGGAGGCGUGGACGUAGGCGGGGAUUGCCGAACCACGUAAAAAUCCUUGAGUUUGCUUUCUCUUCCCUUACUCAUUUAUUAUUGUGCUUUCAUUGAAUUUAUUGUUUUCGAAUUUAUUAAGGCAUUAGAUUGGAUUUGUGUGGUUUGCUUUACUUAAUUUUUAAAAUUCUAAUUCACCCCCCUUCUUGGAUUGCCUAGUUAGUAUUUCACAUAUCCAUGCAAGUGUAUCCAACAACUGGAUGCAACUAUGGUAAGGUACCACAGUUGCACCGUAGCCGGACCCUAGAAAUUAAGAUAUUAUCUCUCUACAUAUUUUUGCACGAAAUAAUAUGCAAAUAUAAUAUUUUAGUUUAUUAUUAAUAGUUUUACAAUAAUAAAAAUCAUUUUGAUAGACUGGAAAAUGUCGUAUUCGCACUUUAUUUUGUACGAACGUCUGCGAGAAAGAAUAUAUCUAUAUAUAUAUAUUGGAACAUGUAUUUAAGAUUUAGCUAGUGUGAAGUUGGGAAAGUUUUUUUUUUUUUUAACCCAGGCUAAAAAUAUUUCAAUAAAUUUUGAUCAUGGAGACUAAUAAGAUUUUUUUGGUUAUAUUUAUUAAUUUUUUAGGGACUGACAUGAAUAUUAAUAUUUUUAUUGAGAUUAUUAAAAAAAUGUGCUAUUUUACAUCUAUGACUUUUCCAAUCUUUUUUUCUUUCGUUAUUUAUUCCUUUGUGAAUUUUAGUUAAUGCUUGAUAUUAUUUGUUUGCUCAUUUUUUAAAGCAGUAAUUAAAUCUGAACCCUUACAGUAGAAGAUUAUGAAAAAGUAAAGACACAAAAAUCAUAAAAAUCAUUGUAGGUCCAAAUUUGUGCUAUUUUCAUACAUAAUUUGAGAAUAUUUAUAAUUACGCAUCACAACUAGUGGAGUAGAAUCAGGGAAAUUAAACAUUCUACAAUCAUUGACGUGUGGGUUGGGGAUAAGCAUAAACCUUUUCUAUGCAGUAUAAAAGAAUGCAAUAACUCCUUUUCUUUCAGCAUUUUCGCAACAAAAGCACAUCUAAUAACUCUUCAGAAUUCUCGUCUUCUUUGUCAGAAUGGUUGAUGCGAUCGUUUCCUCUCUCCUGGUGCAGCUGAGCUCUGUUGCGGCUGAUGAAGUGAAACAACAGGUGAGGCUUGUGACUGGUGUCGAGGAAGAAGUGAAAAAGCUCACCCGCAAUCUUCGAGCCAUUCGAGCUGUGCUGGAAGAUGCAGAGAAAAGGCAAAUGCAGCGCGACAAUGCUGUUACUUUUUGGCUGGAUCAGCUCAAAGACGCAUCUUAUGACAUGGAAGACGUGUUGGAGGAGUGGACCACUGCAAGGCUCAAAUUGCAGAUUGAGGGCGUUGAUGAUGACAAUGCUCUUGCUCUUGCUCCUUAUAAGAAGAAGGUACGUUCCUUCUUUUGUGCUCUAUCAAACUGCUUUGGUAGUUUCAAAAAACUCAGUCUUCGUCAUGACAUUGCCGUCAAGAUUAGGGAAAUCAAUGGAAAGCUAGAUGAUAUUGCCUCCCAAAAAGAUAGGUUUAAAUUUGUUGAGAAUGUGAGCAACAAUGUUAAGAAACCAGAGCGAGUGCGAGCCAUCCCCUUGAUUGAUGAGAGAGAGGUUUGUGGUAGAGUUGAUGAGAAAAAUGAUCUCUUAAGCAAGCUGCUGUGUGAAAGUAGUGAACAACAAGAAGGCCUUCAUGUCAUCUCACUAGUUGGGUUAGGGGGUAUAGGUAAAACCACUCUAGCACAACUGGCCUAUAAUAAUGAUGAGGUGAAAAGAAAUUUUGAAAAAGUUAUAUGGGUGUGUGUAUCAGACACUUUUGAGGAGAUUAGGGUCGCCAAAGCAAUCAUUGAAGGUCUAGGCGUGUCAGCUUCUGGUUUAAGUGAAUUCGAAUCUCUUAUGAAACAGAUUCAGGAAUAUAUUACGGGGAAGAAAUUUUUUCUUGUUUUAGAUGAUGUGUGGGAUGGAGAUUACAAAAAAUGGGACCCAUUCUUUUCUUGUCUAAAGAAUGGCCACCAUGAAAGUAAAAUUCUAAUUACCACACGUGAUAGGUCAGUUGCACUACAGUUGGGAUCAAUAGAUAUUAUCCCUGUCAAGGAGUUGGGAGAAGGGGAAUGUUGGUUACUGUUUAAGCAGAUGGCAUUUCUACGUAGGUCCUUUGAGGAUCGUGAAAAAUUAGAACCAAUCGGGCGAAAAAUUGCACACAAGUGCAAAGGCUUGCCUCUUGCUGCAAAGGUAAUAGGGAAUCUUUUGCGCUCUAAAAGUACAGUAAAAGAGUGGCAAAGAAUUUUAGAGAGUGAAAUGUGGAAAGUAGAAGCAAUUGGGCAAGGUCUUUUAGCUCCUUUGUUGUUGAGUUAUAAUGAUUUGCCCUCCAAUUCUAUGGUAAAACAAUGUUUCUCAUAUUGUGCUGUCUUUCCAAAAAACUACAAUAUGAAUAAAGAGGAACUAAUUUCACUAUGGAUGGCUCAAGGUUAUCUUAAUACAGAAGAAGACGAAGAGAUGGAGAUGAUUGGGGAAGAGUAUUUCAACAUUUUAGCAGCACGCUCUUUCUUUCAAGAGUUUAAAAAAGAUGAUGAUGAUGAUAUUAUGAGCUGCAAGAUGCAUGACAUAGUACAUGAUUUUGCCCAAUUUGUAAGUAGAAAAGAAUGUUUGUGGGUAGAAAUUAAUGGUACCAAAGACUCAGUCAUAAACUCUUUUGGUGACAAAGUCCGUCACUUAGGGUUAAAUUUUCAAAGAGGCAUUUCAUUUCCUAUGUCCAUUCGUGGACUUAAUAGAUUGCGUACCCUUUUAAUUUAUGAUAGAAGUGAUUUCAAUCUGUCUCUUAGUAGCAUCCUUUUGUCUUUUAGUAGUAGCAAAGAAUGUUUAAGGGCAUUAGUUAUAAGGCUGUUGCGCCUAUGUUUUUGUCCAAACACAUAUAAGAUUAGAGAAACUCGAAAGUUAUUUAGUAAAUUGGCCUGUUUGAGGGCAUUAGUUAUAAGGGAAUCAUUAGUUAUAAGGCUUUCAUCCACGCCUGUUCGUCUUCACUCAAGUUUGAUUAGAGAAAUUCCAAAAAAUGUCGGAAAAUUGAUACAUUUAAGAUAUCUUAAUUUGUCUGAAUUAGGCAUAGAGAGACUACCUAAGACUUUGUGUGAAUUAUAUAAUUUACAAAAGCUAGAUAUUAGGCGGUGCCGAAAUCUUAAAGAAUUGCCAGCGGGGAUUGGGAAGUUAAAGAACAUGAGGAGUUUACUGAAUGGUGAAACUGAUUCGUUGAAAUACAUGCCAGUAGGGAUUUCCAAAUUAACCAGUCUUCGAACAUUAGACAAGUUUGUGGUGGGUGGAGGUGUUGAUGGUAGCAAUACGUGUAGGCUUGAAUCUCUGAAAAAUCUUCAACUCCUUCGAGAAUGUGGAAUAGAAGGGCUGGGUAAUGUGUUAUAUUUAGAUGAGGUCGAGAGAUUACAACUUUACAAUCAGCAAAACCUCCUUCGUUUGCGUCUUGAGUUUGGUAGAGUCGUAGAUGGGGAAGAUGAAGAAAGGAGGAGGAAGAAAGAGAAAGAUGAACAACUUCUUAAAGCCUUACAACUGCCUUUGAGUGUAGAGAAAUUAGGGAUUAUAUUAUAUGGAGGCAACAUUUUUCCCAAAUGGUUGACUUCACUGACCAAUCUAAGGAAUUUAUAUCUUCGCUCGUGCGUUAAGUGUGAGCAUUUGCCUCCUUUGGGAAAAUUGCCUCUGGAAAAACUCGUAAUCAUCCACUUGAAAAGUGUAAAAAGAGUGGGUAACGAGGUUUUGGGAAUAGAAGAAAGCAGUGAGGAUGGCCCGUCUUCAUCUUCAUCACCACCAUCAGUUAUUGCCUUCCCCAAAUUGAAAUCACUCAUAAUUGGGGCAAUGGAAGAAUUGGAAGAGUGGAAUUACAGGAUUACGAGGAGGGAAAACAUCUCUAUCAUGCCACGUCUUUCUUCCUUGGAAGUUCGUUCUUGCAACAAAUUGAAGGCGCUGCCGGAUUACCUUCUUCGAACGUCGACGCUGCAGGAAUUGACUAUUGACAAAUGUCCUCUUCUGGAAAACCGUUAUAGAGAGGGGAAAGGAGAAGACUGGCAUAAGAUAUCUCGCAUUCCCCACAUCAAGUGGUCGCGGUAAUUUAUCACUCGCCGGUAAUUUCUCCUGCUCCUCUGAUUUACUUCGUUGUUGCUUGCAAUGAAAUUAAUAAAAAUAAUUAUAUUUUGAAUUAAAAUUCUAUAUAGAAUCAAUCAUGGUAUAAAUACGUAAAACUUCCUAGUUAUCAAAUCUGUUAAACUUGUUUUCUAAAGAUUAAAUAAAAAAAAAAUACAAGUGUAGUCUGUUUAAAUUUCUAUAUUUAUUUGUUUUUAAAAAAUAUGUGCUCUUUUGUAAAAUUUCAUGCAAUGUAAUUUAUUUUUUAAUGUACGAAAAUUUGUUAUGUGUAACAAAAUCUCUGUGAUACGUUUGCAGUAAUGUUGAAAACUAAAUUAUCAAUUUUAUCUUAUAUAAUGAUAAUCGUAUUUUUUUAUAUAUAAUAUACGUGACAUUAAUUCUUUAAAGUAAUUGUGUAAUUGUUUUUAGUAGUACAUUAGCCCACUUUGUUUUAUUUCAUACUUGUUUAAUUAUGUUCACCAGGGAUUCGAGGAAAUGUCAGAACUACACUAGCAAUUCACAGGUCCAAUCUAAUUUGGUUUUAAUGAUGCGGGCAGGAGAGCAAGACUAUGAAAAUGAGAAGUUUAGCCAAAGGAUUGCUAAAAUGUUCUGCUGGUAAUUCACUUGCUUUAUUUUAUAGAAUUUCAUUUCCAUCUUCUUCUAUUGAUAUCUUGUUGUAAUAAACAAGAACAGAGAAGUAAAUAUAUAUAUCAAAAUUUACUAUUACGAUGAUGCUAAAGCAAGCUCAAGCUCAAGCACUGCAUUUUUAUUUUAUUUAAUUUAUAGAAUUUUCAUUUCCACCUGCAUUGCAUUUUUAGGUUGACUUUGAAGACUCUAUGGAGAAAAUUGGGGUAACCAAGGAUUAUCACUGUGGUUAUUGUGCAACGUUUGGUUGCUGGACUUUGAAGAAGGAAGUGAUGGCCGGGUCUGCUCUGUUUCAAUUGAGGAUGGAUAGCUGCCUGAAAGACAUGAUGAUUAUUAUCAUUGCAUGAUGUUAAGGUGCUAAGAUCAUCAUUUCGAUCUUGUUUCAUUCUUGGAAUCAUUUAUCCUGUAUAAACAUUUGUUUUAACAAAUGUUUCAAUGCCUGCUGUAGUAACAAUUUCAUCUCUUGCAUCUCUCGGGUGCAUCAUGAUCACGGGUUUGAGAAAGCAUUUGUGGUAAAGCUUCAAAGCUUGUACAAUGGCUGUGAAAAGGCACAUUCAAUUCGGUACGUUUGGUGCGGUCUCCUAAUGCUACUACCAUAUUUUGUAUAGCAAUUAAAAUUCAGGUAUACAAUCUUAAUAUGCAAUAAAUCAUUGAGUACAAAGUUAUCUAUUAAUUAUAUGGUAACUGAAAUUUUCAUUAUAAUUUUAAUUAUCAUAUUAAUAUUAAAGUUUUUUGUAACCCUCUUUUACUUUGCUUGUACAGAGUAUCUGUUUUGGCUGAUAUGUCUAAUUCGUAGCAAUUCAUUUCCAUCGGUUUCCAUUGGUUUUAGCACAAACAGAAACAAAAAUCUGGGGAAAAAGUUUUACUUCUUCUGGUAUUAUGCCUUUAUUUAUUCAUUCAUCAUAUUUGUUCGAAUUCAUGCUCUCAUUCAGAGAGCAGCCUUUUCCAGGCUACUUUGUAGCCAAAUUUUCAUGCCAUCGAUGCAUGAUUGUCAUUUAGAUUUUCCAAAUAAUUGUUAGAUUGAAGAAGAAUAAGAAGAUAUUGUUAAAAGGGUAUUUAAUUAGCACCCUCUGAAUUUAGUUGCCAAUAAUGCAUUGAAAUGGUUGGGGAAAGUUAUUGUCUCAAUUAAAUUACAGGUGACAAGAUGCUGCUCCAAUUUUGCAAGCAUCUCGUGUUUCGAGAUUUUGCCCACAUGAGAUGCUAUGAUUUUUGACAUCAGGGUAACAAAGGUCAAAUUUUAGCAUCAAUAGAUAUCAUCUUCUUUACUGUUCUGCUCGAAAUAUUAAACUUUAGGCAAGUUGUUUUUGUUUGUGUGAGUUAUCAGGUUAAGGAUACUAAGCAGCUUAUUAAGGCAAAUGUCAGAAUGAAGAUUUUUCACCGCACCUGGUAUGAAUGAUGGCGAGGAAGAUUAAUUGUUCACAAGCCAAUUUGAUCAGUGUUAGAUUCUUUUGCCUCCCUUCAAGAGAUAUCAUCAUCAAAUUUGAGAAGAGACUUUUGUUUUGACAUUUCACUGUAGUGAAUUUUGGGAGCUUGAACCCACUUGAGUGAAAUAUUAGGGAAUACUGGGGAUAUGGGUUAUGAGUGAUCGUUAUCCUUCAAAUAUUUGUAAGCUCUCACUUGUUAGUAAAAUCAUCUUCGUAUAUUGACUUUGUUUCUUUGUUGUCAGGCCGAGUGUGAUCUUCAAGGUUUGAGAAAGUCUUCGCAGUAAAAUUUCCACCACGUGCAAUUGCUGUGAAGGGGCAUAUACAUUUGAGUAAUUCAGUUUCAGAUUUUCAAGGCGCGUUUGUUUAAUUAGUUUCGAUUAUAAUAUUUAGUCACUCAUUCUGAAUCUUUUCUAAUUUUCAAGUUCUUUAGGGCCGCCAACAGUUUUUCAAGUCUACAUGUGGCUGCAAAAAGAUUGAUGGUCAUCAAAUUAUCUUGAGCCUUGAGGCAUUGCGUUCGAGCACAAAAGGAAACAGAACUAAGGGAAAUGAAGACAGUAGGAGAUGCUCUGAAUAUAACAAAAGUAUAUUUCUACUUCUUGUGGUUAUUUUAAUUUUGUUUAUCCUGUCAUCAUAUUUAAUUAAUUCGUUUGAAUUCACACUCUCACACAUUAUUUAAAACCAUCUGCAGGUGGUUUGCAAGCUAGCUAAGUUAAUGCAAAAACAAUACUCUAGACAAAGAUGAGCAAAUUGAAGGCGACAAAUGCAAAUUGGAUUUCAAUGAAUAAUUGUUAGGCUGGUGGAGAUAUUCUUAAAAGGGCAUUAAGCUAUCUUAUGGAAUUGGAAAGUUAUUAUUGCUUGAAAGCAAGCAGCAUCUUCGUUGCGAAGGCUUUCCCCACCUGAUAAAAUGCUGAGAUUGUUACCGGCCCCUUAAUUAUUUAUUAACUCAGGUAUUUAUUAUCAAUACAUCAUCUUAUUCACCAUUUUGGCUAUAUAUAAAGAUUAAAAUUUCUAACAGUUGUUUCGGAUUCUUGUGUACUCAGGUUAAUAGGGCAAAUAUCAGAAUGAAGAUUGCUCAGUGCAACCGAUAGAGCAAGGAUGAUAGUUGUGAGAAAGAUUGUUGGCAAGACAAAUAGAGCCCUCCAUUUGGAGAAAUAUCAUCCUCAAAUUUGAAUUGUCGAGCAUGUGAGGUGAAUCUAAAGCCUUAAUAAUGAGACCUUCCUGUGGAAGUUUCAUUUGAAUGAAUUGAACGUUCUUACUGAGUGAGAAAUUAAGUAUAUAUCAUCGAUUUUGGUCGUCUGUGAAUGUUUUCCUUCAAUAUUAAUACACUAGCAUUUCUUAGUAAAUUCACUUCACGUCACUUCCUCCUUGUUGGUGGGACUAGUAAACAAAUGUCAUUUCUUAGUACAUUUUGAGAAUUUUGAUUCCCAAAUAAGCCUGCAGAACGGUGUAUGGUGGGAUUAGCUGCAGGAUUCUUUGCCAAAAUUCCUUUUUAUUCCUUUGUUCACUUAUUCGUUAUAAAUAAAGUAAAAUUAGAAUAUUGUUCCGUUUACUGUCUAAGCUGGUCUAACAUUUGUUUAAUUUGGGCAAUUUUUAAUGCCUAACAGGUUAUCUGUGACAAACCCAUCGGUGAGUGUAUGCAACUAUUGGAUGGAUUUGAUAGAGCGGUCACCAACAAUUUUGAAGUUAUUGGAGUAGCAUGGCUUGGAGGUCUCUCCCUCCCUCUUUUACGUAUUUGUCUAUUGAUUGACAUGUCUAUAUAUACAUUGAUAGACCAACCUACUCUGGUUUUAAUGUUUUGUUUGUUAAACUUUGACUGGGGAAUGUUUAUUUGUCUCAUAUGAUGUCAAUGUGGUUCCUAUUGAAGUGUAUAGAUCUGUCACCUCAAAGUCUGAUUUCAAUUUUCCUUUACUUCAUCAACUAGCAUCGUUUCCAAGUCCAGAUACUUACCAAUAGUGAGACUUUUCUACGGAAGUACAAUUUCUCUUGUUUUACAGUUAAUUAUGUAAGAAAAGUUUUACAUUUACAGAAUUCUGGUAUAGCUCUCUUAAGGAAAUGCGAGUGGUGAAUAUGGUUCCAACUUUUAAUAGGCUUAAUAGGCCCAUUUGUUAAGCCACAGUGAUUGCGGUCUAAAUUCUUCUUUACUGUCUAUAUGUGUUGGAGUUUGUCUAUUGUCCAACUUCUCAAAUCGAUUCCAUGCAGGGUUUUGAAUGUCUAAUUAGGAGAAAGAUUAACGGAUGACCUUUUGAAGAAGGCUUACACAACAGGCCAUCUCAGGAUGUCAUGGCUCAGCUCAAAAGUCCCCAGGUGGUUGAUAUCAAAGAAUGCCAUUGUUUCUGGGCUUGGUCUCCUUGGCAUCAAACAAGAUAAUGUUGACUCUAUUAAAGGGGAAAUAAGGGCGACUAAAGCGCGAAGAAAGAGGAUAGUCCGGAGGAAGGUGACUGCAUAAAUUUGUUGGAGUUAAUGUAGUCAAUUGCCCAAUUUUGCUGCCUGUCGAAGAGACACAUCAUGGAAGUCCUCAUCAAACUCUGAGACACCUAAGAAAUAGUAUGAGGUGGUGGUAUUCCCCUGGUGUUAAUUUCCUGGCAAGUGUGGUUCACAGAUAGAGGGAUUCUUUUCUUGAUGUCUAAAUACCGUAUGUGAUACAACGUCGUAUAUUCUAAUUUUCCUUGAGUUAAAUUCUAGUCAGUUAGGAAAGUUAAUUUUGUUUUCGCUAUGGAUUGUUUCCUAGAUAAUAAUAGUUUCCAUGUUUCUUUGGGGUCUUAUUAACUCUCUGUAACCCAGUUCAAGUUUGCAAAUUCUAUUUCAGAUUUCUCAUAUAGUGUGCCUUUGUCACUUCUGUGAUACACUUUUGAUCACAAGUUUCCAUUUGAAGUAACCAAUAUUCUUUAUAGACUAAUUAUCUAAGGAUUAUUUUAUACAAAAAAAUCAAAACUUUAAUUAAUUGAUCAUACUUAACUUGGCUUUUGUUUGAUAUUACUAGCUGUUGUGAGAACCAAAAAAAUAGCAGAAAGUUGACAAUGUGCAGUAAAUGUAUGACUUUUAAAUAAUAAUUUAAUAAAAUUAAUAAAGAUAUUAUAAAUUUUUUAAUAAUAAAGUAUGAGAUCAAAUCAAAUUAAUUUUUAAGUCAAAAUUGUUUAAUUAUGUAGUUUAAAAGUAUAGUUAUCCAACCUCAACACAAUAGAGAGAUUUCUAUUUACCAAACUCUACCCAACUUUGGUUGUACUGACUCGAUCAUGCAAGUCCAUACUCGACGCGUUGACCAUACAAGAUGUUACUCAACUUUAACAAAUCUUACUCAAACUUUGCACGUUUAGCAUGCCGAAUGGAAUAUGAUAGUAGAUGAUGUGAUAGAUAUUAUAGGAAUAGUCGUAACAAAAUUAUAUUUAGUACUUUUUUAUAUUUUAUGUGAUGAACAGAUGUAGUAUAUGAAUGGAUUAUAUUACAAAUUUUAGUGUUAUCAUAAUUAAAAAAUUGAAUUAUUUUUUAUUAUUGAAAAACUGUAAUAUGUUAAAUAACAGUUAUUUUUAUUAAUUUUUUUUAAUGAAUUAUACUUUUAAAUUGUAAUCGAAAAUUCUUAUUACUGAACUAAUAAAAAAUUAAUUAGCUCAAGAGAUAAAUUCACUUAGUGUAGAACGAAAUGGUGUGUUAUUUUUAUGUGGGAUCCACAUCCUUUCCACAUCAACCUCAACAUCCAAACAUGAAAUUGGACUAAAAAUAGUUCUUUCCCAUGUAUUUACGUAACCUCCUCCCACUAAACGCAAAUAUUUAUUCUUGAUUUUACUAACAUAAUUUUCUCCCAUUUCCAUAUUGUCCGCGUUGAGUGCAUGUAAUCCACAAGUUUAAUUUUUUUUUUUUUUUUAGAGAGGUAUGUUAAAAUGAAUAUAUCACUUUUUUUUCUUUUUUCCUUUUUUUUGUGUGAGUGAUGGCUUCGUUGAAUGACAGUUGGCUGAUAAUAAGUUAUCUUUUAAUUUUGUUUUUGAUUUAAUAGAAAAUAUUAAUUUUUGUAGUUUCGGUAGAUGAAAUUUCGAAUCAAAUAUUAAUAUUGUUAAAGUACGCAACCCAAUAUUUGCUUAAAUUACAAAAAAGAUUAAUUGCUUUGCAUAAAAAAGAAGUGAUCACUUGAUUUAACUUCCUUUACUAAAUUUACGAUUUAAAAUCCAAAAUAAAAAAGAGAGUUUAUUAUUGAUUAUCAUUUUCCCAAAUUUAAGCUAAGACAGUAAUAUGUCCAAAAUACCCUCCACGUUAUCCUAAAACUUUAUGAAUUCCCCCGUUCCUCUCAACAUCAUCUCUUCCAAAUCUUUCUUCCCCAAAAAACCAGCCAUGGCUUCAUAUUUAGUUACCUCAACACUCCAAUAUUGGCUUGUAAACAGCAGCGGUUCAACCUCUAGGCAACUUAGGUGGUUGCAUAGGACUCCGCUUUAUAUGAAAGCCCUACAAGAUGAUUAUUUUGUAUAUAAAAGAGGAAAAUGAAUUUAAAAGUCAUUAUUAUUCAUUUAAUUUAUUAUUAUUUUGUAAUUAUCUUUUUCUAAAUAAACUAUCAAAUUCUUAUCAAGUUUAUUUAAUGUAGUACUUAAUUGUUUUAAUUUCUACAAAACCAAUAAAUUAAUAGUUUCAAUCCUAAAAAUUCUCUAUUUCAUUGUUAGAAUUAAUAAGUUAUAUUUCAAAAGUUUUAUAUUUAUUUUAAACCUCUAUAAAAACCCCACAUUUUAUUACUUAUCCAUUAAAUUUUUCGUUCAACAAUCAAGACAUCUUGGUGUUUGAGAGAAAGAAAGAGAGAGGGAAAAAAAUCUUGCUUCCUCUACUUUCUACUCUAGAAGAAAAAGAAAAAAUCAAAUAGUUUUCUCUAUUUUCUAUGACUAUUGGUUGCUACUCAAAUUUUCAAACAACAGCCUUAAUAUAAACAUAAGUUAAUUUAUGAUUUCAUCUCAAAUUUCUGAUUUUAUCUUUUUAUUAUUCUCUUAAUUAAUUGUGUUGUUAUUUGUUCUUAUUUCUUUUUAUAUAUUCUUUUCUUCAUCUACUUUUUUUGUGCUUGUUUUAUCUAUUUUGAAAUAAAACUAUAUCAAAAAAUUUUAGACAAUAGGAGAAUAAAAAAAUUAGAUUAAUUUAAAAAAAUAGUAAAAAAGAUAUAAUUUAACUUAAAAAAAAGUGAAAAUGUUAUAAUUGAAUUAAAAUUUUAUGACUUAACAACAAUAGAAUAAAUUUGUAUUUAAUAAUUUUAUAUUUUAAAGUAUUUAAAGAAUUAAUUUUUAAUAAAUAAUAUUAAUAUAUAUAUAUAUAUAUAAGUUACUUAUCUCUCCAUCCGCACUUAUCUCUCCCUCACAUUCAUCCUCAACCACACAUCAACAUCAACAUCAACAUCACCUCUCAUUGGACCCCACAUCCUCAAGCCCAUCACAGCCGUCCAUAACCUCACCCUCCUCCUCCUCUCCCUCAUCAUGGCCGUUGUUUGCCCUCUCUCCAUCAUCCUCCAUUUACCGCACCUCCGUUACACCCUCUGUUUCCUCCUUACCAUUUCUCCGUCUGGCACGGCCUAAUUCCGACGGAAUCAACGACGGUCGUGAUGGGUUUUGGCUGCGACUAUUCGCGCUUCAAACGGCGGCGUUUCGGUUGGUUUUUGGCGACAGUGACGGUGGGAAAGUGAUGGCUGGCUCAGGAGCUUUCUUUGCUACCAUCCAUGGCCGGUGAGGUGGCCGAAAAUCGGAUAUAUGUCUGCGUCGGGUUCGCAGUUUUGGGUCGGGUUUUCCGGGUCAGUUUGACAGCUUCCUCUAUCCCUCUCCCCCAUAAAACAUUACCCAGCUUCCUCUUAUUAUUAUUUUUUUUUUCACAUACGUUACAGAACAUUAAUGAGAGAUGUUUAGUAGUAAGGACUAUUUUGAUAUUUCGAUGAGUAGUAAAAACUAAUGUUAAAAUUUUAUAGACGAAUGUAUAGUAAGAUGCUCAAAGUACUAGAACAUAUAUAAAUAAUCCCAGCUCUUAUAAAAUUUUGCCACAUAAUGAGUUUUAUCCCUUAAGCAAAACAUAUCGAUAAAGUAUACAAAAGCACAAUGCAUGAAUGAUGGUCUUACAAAGUUCGAAUAUAAAGUUUAAGAUACAGAAUAUGAUUUAUUUCCUUUUAGUUUAGUUUUUUUUUUUUUUUUUGGUUUCUUUUGAAAGGAGACCAACUAGAUCAUGCAAGAAGUUAAUUUUUUUCUAAAAUAAAAAGGGAGAAAUGAUGGUCUUACAAAGUUCGAAUAUAAAGUUUAUAAUCUAAAAUUAAUGAUGUGACAAUUAACCUAAUGGAGUAAGAAGUCCCAAAUAGAUUAUAUUUUGCUAAAGAAGUCAAUUCUACCAAGAAUACCUCUUUCUAUUGAAUUUAAAUGAUGAUUAUUUGUUUAUAUCAUAAAAGCUAAAAUAAUUGUGUGAGUAAUUUGAUUCUUUUACAGUAUAAAAAUAAAUUCAGAAAAUGUUAGGGAAAGGUCUUACACUAUAAAUGACCAAUAGAAGAAUAGAAAAGAAUUUUAGAUAGUGGAAUGUGGAAGGUAGAAGAGUUUGGGAAAGGUCUUUUGGCUACUUUGUUGUUAAGUUAUAAUGAUUUGUCAUCCAUAAUAAAACAAUAUUUCUCACAUUGUUCUAUCUUUUCAAAAGGUUACAAUAUGUGUAAAGAGAAACUAAUUACACUAUGGAUGGCUCAAAGUUACCUUUAAAUGUAGAAAAAGGCAAAGAGAUGGAGAUCCGAUCCAAUAUGAUAAUAGUAGUUUAUUUUAAUUUUUAUUAAUUUGAUUUCAUAGGAGUAGUUUUCAUUUUUUGUUGAAAAUUGGUAAAAAAAAACUAAAAUGAGAUAAUUACUUUAAAACAAUCUUCAAGAACUAAAAUAAUUAAAAAAACUCAAAAUAAACAAAAAGGCUUAAAAAUAACCCUAAUCCGAAAAUUGUUUGAAUCCAUCCUAACUGGCCCGAAUAUGAUUUUAACCCAAACCCAAUCUAACUCGCUUAUAAUUAUAACCUAAUGCGAUCCAAAUUCAACUUGAAUUUUUGAUCCGAUCUAAUCCAAUUUGAAUAUUCUAACCCUAUCAACCAGAAACCCAAUUAGGUUGAUCUGAACCUACAUUUGUCCACUCCUAGAGGGGAUCAUGACCCUACAAACUUUGAAAGUUUUUUGAGAUUUCUAAGUGAAUAUUAAAAAUUAUGUAUAAAAAGACUGAUUUGACCCCUAAACACUUGAUAUAGAAACUUUAUACAUAUAAUAGAAAUUAAUUUUAUAUUUUGUGAAAUAAAAUCAAAGUAACUGAAUUUUUUAAUUUUUAUUUUGUUAAUUAUUUUUCUACUAUGACAAAAUGACUAAUAGCCUGGUGCCUAGCUCUUUGACUUUUAUUUUGCUAAUUAUUUUUUUUCAUUUCUCUUGCAACAGUAAAUUCAAUUAUCAAUCAAAGUCGCCAAAUCAAAAUCUCUGCAGCCUGCAGCUACAAGCAAACUUCUCAAAUUUCGAAAUUCCUUAUGACUACAUAAUAGCUAUAAAUAGAAAAAGCGUCUAAAAUAACUAUGUUUUCCUAAGUUUGAGCUUGAGCCCCCUGAAGAUUUACUCCAUAUGUAACAAAAUAUUAGUUUUGCUAGUAAAAUUGCUAACUAUGUUUUUCUUUGUAUUUCCGCUCAAGGAUGAAGAAAUUUCCCUAGACUUUUGUGGUGAAUAUCUUACGAACAUAUGACAAUUUAAUCUUUGGCUGAGACUUGUUUAACAUAAGAGAUGACACUUUGAAGCAAUAGGAGAGAGAGCUGAUAAGCUUUGUUCCUAAAAAAAAAACUAUUACUUCUUUCUUUGAACAUAUGCGCAUUCUCUCUAAUUGUUGCAAUGGAGGAAUUUCCCAUCUAAAGAACACUUCAAUCAUCCAUUGCUUUGUAAGAUGUGAAAAGGCUACGAUUCUUGUACACAUACUUGAUUGCACCGGAAUCUAUUCACUAUGCAUUAUCAUGUUUGAGAAUAUUAAUCUCAGAUAUCAUGACCAUAAAUUUUGUCCACAAAAUUUGUGUUCAAACACUUCUUUUCUUUCUUAAGAAGUUGACAGUCUUUUUUAAAGUGGCUUGGCUUUUCACAUUGGCCACAUGUACACUUCUUUUUUUUAUUCUGUUGGUUUGAUUCUAUUUGGAAUCAAACUUUUGCUUUUGGUUAUUAAUGCGGUCAUUAGACUGCUUAAGCUCCUUCUCCUCCUCCACAACAUUAAUUUUAGAGGACAUAGCAGGCUGUUCCUCAAGACUAUUAAGUCUAAGUUUCUAUUCAAUAUGAAGACUUUGCCAUGCCUUCCAAGCUAAUUUCCUCUUUGCUAUAUUUAAGACUUUUUUCAUAGUCUUUUCAAGAGGGGGGAAGUUUAUCAAUAAUUGAAGAAGUGGUGCAGUCAAUUAAAUGAGCGAACUCGAGAAUCAUAAGAGUACAUACAAUAGUGGCUACAAUAAUUAGGCCUGCUUCCUCUCUCACCAGAACAGAACUGACGGCCCGAUCCGAUACCGCCAAAUACAUGACACAACUUAAAAGUAAAUUUUAACUCCCAAGUAUAAGAGUGUCUUGUUGUAUUAUAACUCGGUGAGUCCGAGGUCGAUCCACAGAGAAAAGAUUUAAUUAGUUUAUUUUAUUUUAUCUAAAAAUUGAAAUUAAAACUUGAAUAUAAACAACUUAAUUUAAAUGAAACUAUGGAAUUGAACUAGUUAGGGUUAUGGAUCCACUCUUAGAAAUAAAUAAAACUUAAUAAAUUCUUUUUGCCAAUUUGUUUUAGAUUUAUUACUCAAAAGAUUAAUUAUACAAAUUAUUAUUAUUUUCCCUUUAAUUUUAUGAUGGAUUAAGUAUUUAUUGUGCCAAAAUUUAAUUUGUCUACAAUAAGUCAAAAUACCAUUUCACCAUGCCUUAUAUUAAGAUCUUAAGAAUUUAUUGUGCCAAAUUCAUUUGUUUGUCUACAAUAAAUCAAAUUUUCAAAAUAUAAAACAUGUAUAAAAUUAAAUAGAAAAUAAUUUAAUUUAUAAAAUUAAACAUAGAAUUUGAUUAAAUCAUAUUUAUUUCUUAAGAGUUUCACCUUCCCCUAACUAAUAUUAUUUAGUUAAGCAUAAUUAAAAUAAAAAGAAGUAGUAAAAUUGAAUUACUUAUAAUUAAAAGAAAUAAAAACAACUAAAAUUGGAAAUAAAACUAAUUUUAUUAAUGAAAAUAAUUAUACAAAAUAUUAAAAACACACCUGGAAAUCAAGAUUAUAAGGAGAUGGAGAGAAUUUGAGAAGAAGAGAGUUGUAGAGAGAUGAUUAAAACAUAAAAAUGAGGCUCUAUUUAUAGAAAAAUAAAUUCAUAAUCCAGUGCUUUGCGGUCCAUCAUAGGCUUCAUGCAUGUGCUCCUCACAACCCUUAGAUCAAGAUCCAAUGGCUGGUCAAACUUCAAAAGUCAACAUCACACAUGGCAUCAUUUGACUCGUCCGAUUUACCCAAAGAACGGUUGAGAUUUGGCGGGUUAAUGGAUGGAUCGGGUCGACCCGAAUACAAAGAUUCGGAUCCUCCAACUUGCUUCACCAACCAUUGCCACGUGGCACAAUCAUGGCCAUUGAAUCAUGAACGGUUGAGAUUUAGUCAAGAUUGCCAAUUAUCCCAUGCACUCAUAUCUAUUGUAAGCUCAUUUCAUCAUCCAAUCAGUGCUCGGUCAACAGGAAAAGUCAACUUUUUUUACACAAGCCCAAUUUUAAGCCGAUCUUGACUGAUCUUAAGGUUUUCGGACCUCCGGAAUCCAAAUUUGACCUCUGUUUAUCUGUUUGGAGCCUCGAAAUACGUGAAAUUAAUAUUUUUCCUAAUAAACACAUAAAAAUACACAAAAUUAAAUAUAUUUAAAACAUAAUUAAUAAUUCAUAAUAUAUUACAUAAACGCAAAUAUAAAUUAUAACAUAAGCAUAAAAUAACAUAUUAUCGCUUGAUAAUUAAACAAUUUUUAAUACUAAUCACACCCCCCAACCAGCUUAUUGCUAGCCCUCUAGCAAUUAAAGCGUUAUAUUAAGAUUUAUAAAAUUCACAUGCAAGUUAAUAGUUGUUCAUCUAUCCUCUAAAUUACCAAAUAAAUGAACUCUCCCAAAUUCCUUUACCACAUUGAUGUUCACUCAUUAUCCAGAAUAUCAUCAAACCUUCUUUUGUGCUCAAGUAAUUAACACAAUACUUAUGGGGCUUCAUUAAAAGAAAAACAACAUUUUCGUUCUAAAAUUCAUUAGAAAUUAUAUCUUUAGGCAAUAGAUUAUUCACACAUUUUUUUUUUAUAUUACAUUUCUAACCCGUGUAGCGAGCUUUAGGUCAAUGACUCCCAGACCAGUUGGCCUUAGGGCACUAGGUGUUGAAGCACCCCUACGGACUUAAUUACUCGGGUUUCUAAUAAACAAACAAUAUAUCUAUUACCCAUGUAGCGAGCUUUAUGCCAGUGACUCCCAGACCAGUUGACCUUAGGGCACUAGGUGUUGAAACACCCCUACGGACUUAAUUACUCGGGUUUCUAGAUAUAACAAAAUUAAAAACAUUUUUUCUUCUUCUUUUUUUUUGAUUUUUUUUUUUUUUUGGUUUUUUUGUUUUUGGAAAUAUACACUUUCUACUACCUUAGAUACUAUUCCUAAUAAAUCAAAAGAACUAAAUGCUGUAAAACUUUAACUUACAACCCACUAGUAUGUGUCAUAGUGUGUGUGUGAAGAAUGAUUCAAUAAUACCUGUUAAAUGAGUAAACAAUUAAAUAACUUAAUAACCAAGUGGAGAGUUCACAAAUUUGAGUAAUUCAAAGAAAAGGGAACAAAAACAACUUACUAUGAAUCUCAAAAUCAAAAUAUAAUACAACAAGACUAUUAGGAUGCGUCUCAAAAGUCGUGACUCUUUACACGGCCAUCCUAGACAAAAAACAAAUUUUUUUUUUUUGGUUUUUUUUUUUUUUUUAACAAAGAAAAGAAAAGAGAAAAGAGAAAAACAACACACAUAUUUAAAACAUACGUCAAUUAUCCCCACCCCACAACCUAAUCUAAACAUUAUCUUAACAUUUUAUAAUUUUACAGAUAUGCAAAAAAAUAAAAAUAAAAGAGAAUAAUAAAAGAAGAAGAAGAAGAGAUCUCACCUGAACUUGAUGCAGAAGCUUAAAAGCAAAUAACAAAGAUGAAGAAAGAGUCAAUUUUUUUUUUAACAACACCCUUAAGAUUAAGAAGAUGCGUUUCUAGAGAGACUACAUUCUCUAUAUCCUGCCAUCUUCGACUCAAAUUUGUCCUAAGUUAGUCUUUACAGAAAAAAAAAAUUUUUUUUUUUUGUUUUUUGUUUUUUUUUUUUUUUUGUAAACACAUAACCAGGACUAAGACAUUCCACAAUUAUCAACUAUUCCCUCCCCCCAACCUGAAAAAGACAUUGUCCUCAAUGUUUUAAAAGGAAAGAGAAAGAGUGUAGAAGACAUCACAUGAACACUACAACAGAAAAUAUUUACAAACGGAGAGUUAAAUCUAAAUCGCACUUCUUAUUACUGCUACUGUUACCGUUACCGUCAUUAGUCGACCAAUUCAGUGCAACAGUCUGUGGAUCUGGCUCUGGUGUAUAAGCUUGCAAAAGAUCAAGUAACUCAUUAGCAGUAGAAGCAGAGAUAAAGAGUUUUUUUACAGAAUGUGGAACAAAAUGAUUCUUUAUUGCAUGGUUAAUAAAAGUUAGCAAGCCGUCAUAAAAAUUAUUAACAUUUAACAAACCGAUGGGUUUUUGAUGAAUGUUCAAGUGGGCCCAAGAUGCAAAUGUAAUUAGUGCCUCAAAAGUUGCAAGAUCUCCUGGCAAGAAAAUAAAAGCAUCAGCAUGAUUCAUCAUUUCAGAUAUUCUCUCUUGCAUACUUGAUACCACUAAUUCUUCUCCAAUUGGUGGGCCAGACAUGCACACUAGCGGUUUCAUGGGUUUUGGGAUAAUGCCGAGUACUUGGCUUCCUCUGGUAAAAACAGCUUCUGAGACAAGUCUUGAUAACCCUCGUUCACCUCCUCCAUAUACAAGAUGCAGUUUCCUCUCUGCUAUGACACGACCAAGAUCUACAGCUGCCUGAACGAACUCUUUGUACUUUCCAUAGUGAAACCCAGAAAGCACACAAAUAUUUUUGAAUUGUUUACUCGAAGAUGAUGCCAUUGGACUAAUUUUUCAAAAACAAGUUGUGAGUGUUUGAAAAAUGAGCUCAUAUUUAAAGAUCUUGGUAACAUAAAUAAUGAGAAACAGCUGUAAAUGGGUUGGCAAUAUUUGUCAAAUGACGAGUAAAGCUCGUGGCUCAAUAAUUCAAAAACAAACAGUAAAAAGAAAGUAAUGAUUAGAAAAAGCAAACAGUAAAAGAAAACCAAAUAUUUAUUAAAUACAAAAUCACAUCGCUAAAUGCAAUAAUGCAAAUGAUAAAAUAACAGUAAAAUAAAAUAACAGUGAAGUGAAAGGAUAUUUACUGGUAGUUGUGAUUGUGGCUCACAUCUUCCUCUGGUUUUACGUCCAGUAACGGCUUGAACGCCCUCUAUGGGUCGAGGAUCGGCUUCCCAUCCAGUUUUCUUAUAAACUGGCAAACAGGGUCUUUUUGAGUCAGAUUCCCAAGACUUAACUGUGCACUUUGUUUUUGGAAUAGUAUCCACAAAUUGUAAAUCUCACGUUGCACAAUUCCGCUUCGAUGCGUCUCAAGAGAUCGUAAGAUAUCAUCCAACGAUUCUUUACUCAUGCCAUCUUUAACGAAUUUAAUUUUAUCUUCACGAGUAUCAGAAACCAUUCCUAAAGAUUUACAAUCUGGUCGUUUGCAACCAAGUCUCACACAGUUAUGACAUUUUGAGCCAAGUCGUUUAGCUCUCCUUUUCUUAGCAAACGUACUUUUACCAAAACCAGGCAUGUAAGAAACAAAUUGACCAGAAAAUUCACCUGCUAAUCGGACCUUUGCUUCAAUUAACCAACGAAUGUCAGAAGGAAUGCCAUUGAUCAUUAACAAACGCAGUCGUUCACAACGAGCUUUGUAAAUUUUCCUGAGGGCAUUCUGAGGGAGAGAGGGAAAAUGCUUAUGGAGUUUAUGUUGUAUUUCUUCCAUGUAUGAUUUUGGGGUUUCAGUUAUUGUGGGAAACUGAAGAUACCGACUUAAAAAGUCACGGAGUACCGUUAUCCGCCAUUUAUACGGGAAAAUAAAUCAAAACACACCAAAAUCAAAUCUGCAAAAUCAAAUCAAGCGUGAAAGCGAGCAAAAAGAAGCACACAAUAUAAAAGGAAAAUGAACUUACAUUCGUCCUCUCAUUGAGUUAACCUCAAGCUCCAUUUGAAAUUCAUAUAUGCCACUCUCUACUGUUCUGAGUUGUCCCUCUAGAUCCUCAACAUAGGACACGAAUUCUGGUGGUUGCAGAUCCCAAAGUGGAUGUGAUUUACAGCUUUGUAUCAGGCCUCUUAAGUGAAAUUUUAUACGCCGAAAUCUUUUAAGAUGUGCGAACAGGUAUUUUCUCAUUGAGGUGCUCAUGAUGUAAAAUGAAAAUUGAUGAGAGAAUGUACAACUGUCAAACAAACACGCUUACACAAGAAAAACAAUGUUAAAAAAAAACUAUGUACAGUGCAUCAAUCUAAGGAAAAAAAAAAGUCAAACAAUGAAACGGUAAAAUAAUAGUAAAACAAAAAAAAAUCAUUAAAAACUUAAUCAAGAACUGGUGGGUCAUCCAAAUUAAUUUCGGUGUCCUCGUCACGUGGGUGAUGUUCCAGAUAUGGUUUUAAUCUUUGACCAUUAACUUUAAAUGUGACACCAUUAUUUGGAUUCUCAAUUUCUAUGGCCCCAUAUGAAUAUACAUUUUUUACAACAAAUGGGCCACUCCAUUUUGACUUUAACUUUCCUGGAAAUAAAUGAAGACGAGAAUUAUAAAGCAACACUUUUUGACCAAUCUCAAAUGUUUUUCGAAAAAUUCUUUUAUCAUGAAAUGCUUUUGUUCUUGCCUUAAUAAUUCUUGAAUUUUCAUAUGCAUCAUUCCUUAAUUCCUCAAGUUCAUUCAAUUGCAAUUUUCGCACAUUACUAGCAUCAACCAAAUUUGAAUUAAAAGCUUUAAUAGCCCAAAGUGAUUUAUGUUCAAGUUCAACAGGUAAAUGACAAGGUUUACCAUAAAUUAACCGAUAGGGUGACAUUCCUAAUGAUGUUUUAAAUGCAGUGCGGUAAGCCCAAAGUGCAUCAUUAAGUCUAAGAGACCAAUCUUUUCGGUUUGGGUUAACCGUUUUUUCCAAAAUUUGUUUUAUCUCCCUAUUUGCUAAUUCAACUUGACCAUUUGUUUGAGGAUGAUAAGGGGUAGCAAUUUUAUGUGUAAUUCCAUAUUUCUUCAUUAAAGACUCAAAUGACUUAUUACAAAAAUGCUUACCUCCAUCACUGAUAAUGGCUCGAGGGAUUCCAAAUCGACUUAAAAUGUUUUCUCUUAAAAAUUUAAUCACAGUUUUACUGUCAUUAUUUCGACAAGAAAUUGCUUCAAUCCAUUUUGAGACAUAAUCAACUGCAACUAAUAUAUACACAAAUCCAAAAGAUGAUGGAAAUGGACCCAUGAAAUCAAUUCCCCAACAGUCAAAUAUUUCAAUUUCAAGUAUGGGAUUUAAGGGCAUCAUGUUUCUUUUUGUAAUUGAUCCCAAUUUUUGACAUUUUUCACAACUUUUGCAAAAUUCAUAUGUGUCUUUAAACAUGGUAGGCCAAUAAAAUCCACACUGCAAAAUUUUAGCAGUAGUUUUUCUUGAAGAAAAGUGACCACCACAUGCUUCAGAAUGACAAAAAUUAAUGACACUACUUACCUCAUUAUCAGGAAUACAUCGCCGAAAAAUUUGAUCUGGGCAAUAUUUGAACAAAUAAGGAUCAUCCCAAUAAAAUUUCUUUACUUCAACAAAAAAUUUCUUCUUCUCUUGAGCAUUCCAUUGCAAAGGCAUUUUACCUGUAACAAGAAAAUUAACAAUAUUAGCAUACCAUGGCAUUGAAGUAACAGAAAAUAAAAAUUCAUCAGGGAAAGAAUCAUUUAUGGGUGUUAUAUCAUUGCAGAAUUCGGAUGUGAGUCUUGAUAGAUGAUCAGCAACAACAUUUUCAGCACCCUUUUUAUCUUUGAUGGUAAGGUCAAAUUCUUGUAGUAACAAAAUCCAACGAAUUAGUCUCGGUUUGGCAUCCUGUUUACUCAUCAAAUAUCUCACAGCAGCAUGGUCAGUAAACACAACAGAUUUAGAGCCAAGCAAAUAUGAACGGAAUUUGUUUAAUGCAAAUACCACAGCAAGUAAUUCUUUUUCAGUUGUAGAAUAAUUCAUUUGAGCACUAUCCAAAGUCUUGCUCGCAUAAUAAAUCACAAAAGGCUUACCAUCCCUUCUUUGUCCUAAAACAGCACCAACAGCAAAAUCACUUGCAUCACACAUUAAUUCAAAUGGCAAAGACCAAUCAGGAGAUUGCAUAAUAGGUGCAGAUGUUAAAAGACAAAUUAUUUUUUCAAAAGAUUUUUGGCAAUCAUCAUUCCAUUCAAACGGUGCAUCUUUUAAUAAGAGGUUACAAAGUGGUUUAGAUAUGGCACUAAAGUUUUUUAUAAACCUCCUAUAAAAUCCUGCAUGUCCUAAAAAGGAUCGCACAUCUCUAACUGUUUUUGGUUGUGGCAAUUUAGAUAUGACUUCGAUUUUUGCUUUGUCAACUUCAAUUCCUUUAAUAGAAACAACAUGACCCAAAACAAUUCCAGAAGUAACCAUGUAGUGACAUUUUUCCCAAUUCAACACGAGUUCUUUUUCAACACAUCUUUUUAAAACUUUCUCCAAAUUAUCAAGGCAAUCAUCAAAAGAAUUCCCAAACACAGUCAAAUCAUCCAUAAAGACCUCUAAACAAUGUUCAACCAUAUCACAAAAAAUGCUUAACAUACAUCUUUGAAAUGUUGCAGGAGCAUUACAAAGCCCGAAUGGCAUUCUUUUAAAUGCAAAUGUUCCAAAAGGACAUGUGAAUGUGGUCUUUUCUUGGUCCUCAAGUGCUAUAGGAAUUUGAUAAUAACCUGAAUAUCCAUCUAAAAAACAAUAGUAUGGAUGUCCUGCUACUCUUUCUAAGAUUUGGUCAAGGAAUGGUAAUGGAAAAUGAUCUUUUCUAGUGGCUUCAUUUAAUUUUCUAUAAUCAAUGCACAUGCGCCAACUAGAUGUAAUUCGUGUUGGAAUUAAUUCACCUUUUUCAUUUUUAACAACAGUGAUUCCAGAUUUUUUAGGCACUACUUGUGUAGGACUUACCCACUUACUAUCAGAAAUAGGGUAGAUAAUUCCCACAUCAAGUAAUUUAAGGACUUCUAUUUUGACUACCUCUUUCAUGUGUGGGUUUAUCUUCUUUGAGGUUGUUGACAUAUUUUAGCAUUUUCUUCCAAAUUAAUUCUAUGUGUGCAGAUUAAGGGAUUAAUGCCUUUAAUGUCAUUUAAAGUCCAUCCUAUUGCAUUUUUAUGCUUUUUAAGAACAGUAAGUAACUUACCUUCUUGGUCGCUUGUUAAAGUAGAAGAAAUCACAACAGGAUAAGUUUGUUCUUCUCCAAGAAAAGCAUAUUUCAAUCCUUCAGGCAAAGGUUUCAAUUCCAUUUUAGGCGCUUCUUGUUGUUCUAUCUUUUCAAUACUUCCAAGCUCCUCAAAUUUUGGCUCGUCAUCAUAAUUUUGCGAAGUCUGCAUAGAAUCAAGCAACGAAUUUAUAUUAGAAAUAUCAAGUUUAAGUUGCUUAUUUGACUCAAUUGAAUUAACUAAACAAACAUUAGAAAGUUCAGAAAAAUCCCCUUUUUGAAUAUUUUCCUCGAUACAAGAUUCAAACAAUUCCUUUUGUUCAUCAGUAUCAUCUUCAUUCUCAUUUUCUUCAUUAGGUUGCCUGCACAUGUUGAAAACAUUCAAUUCCAAAGUCAUAUUCCCAAAGGAUAAAUUCAUUAAACCAUUCCUACAAUUAAUCAAAGCAUUAGCAGUUGCUAAAAAUGGUCGACCUAAAAUUACAGGAAUUGGUUUGUAAUUAUUCACAACAGGUUCAGUUUCCAAGACAAUAAAAUCCACAGGAUAAAUAAAUUUAUCAACUUGUACUAAAACAUCUUCCACUAUUCCUUUUGGUACUUUAACUGAUCUAUCGGCAAGCAAAAGUGUAGUUGAAGUUGAUUUUAACUCACCAAGAUUAAGUUGAAGAUAAACUGAAUAUGGAAGCAAAUUAACACUAGCACCAAGAUCUAGUAAAGCAUGCUCAAUUCUGUGGUUACCAAUAAUACAAGAAAUGGUAGGACAACCAGGAUCUUUAUAUUUCAACUUAUUAUUAGUAGACAGAAUUGUACUUACCUGUUCGGCCAUGAAAGCACUCUUUCUUACCUUCAAUUUCCUCUUAACAGUGCACAAGUCCUUUAAAAAUUUGGCAUAUGAAGGAACCUGCUUGAUUGCAUCUAAUAGAGGAAUGUUAACUUUCACUUGCUUAAAGAUUUCAUAAAUUUCAGAAGAGUGGUUUGAUUUCUUUGGUUUAUUCAAUGCAUGCGGAAAUGGUGGUUCAGGUGGAACACUAGUUAUUUCUUCACUAGGUGUAAGUUCAUUUAGUCCUUCCUUACCCUUUGAAUUUUCAUCAUUUUCAUAAGGUUCAGGCAUAGGUCUAUCAACAACCUUACCACUACGAAGAGUUAUAACUGACUUGACUUGGUCUGUGGGUGGAUUUUGUUGAAUUUUAGGAUUUGGUUGUGGUUGGGCUGGAAAUUUUCCUUUUUCUUGAAUGGUGAGUGCAGAAGCAAUUUUAGCAAGAGUAUCUUUCAAAUCAGAAAAAGUUUGUGCAUUUUGAUUGUUAAUAACAUCUUGCUUUCUGAUGAAUGAAUGCAUUGUGUCCUCCAGAUUUUUCCAAGGUGGUGGAACAUAUGGUGCAUAAGGCUGAGGAUUUUGAAAAUUUUGUGGAGGUGGUGCUUGUGAAGAUUGUGCAUUAUUAUUAUUCCUCCAACUGAAAUUCGGAUGAUUUUUCCAACCAGGAUUAUAAGUCUGUGAAUAUGGGUUUGGUUUAUUGAAAGUGUUAAUAACAUUAGCUUGAUCAUUUAGACAUUCUUUAAGUGCAGGCAAAGUGGGACACUCUUGAGUGAAAUGAUCAUUCGAAUUACAUAUGUUACAUGCAAUUUCUUGAACAGAUUUUACUUGAUCACUCUUUUUAUGCUCCAAAGCUUCAACUUUCCUAACUAGGGAUGCAAAUUUUGCUUGUAAAUCAUGAUCUUCCCUAAGGUUAUGGAUUCCUCCACUAGAUGGAGAUGAUUGUUGCUUAUUUGUCAAUUCAAAAGUUCCAACAGUAUCCCAAUGUUGUGCAUUUUCAGCUAAUUGGUCAAGGUAAUCUAGUGCAUCUUCAGGAUUUUUAUCCCUAAAUUCACCAUUACACAUCAUUUCAACAACCUGUCUACUUUGGGGUAUUAAGCCUUCGUAGAAAUAAGUGACCAAUCGCCAAGUUUCAAAACCAUGAUGUGGGCAUAUGUUAAGCAACUCUUUAAACCUAUCCCAACAUUGGUAUAAUGUUUCUCCAUUUUUUUGAGUGAAAGAAGUGAUUUGCCUUUUAAAAGAAUUUGUUCUAUGAGGUGGAAAGAAUUUUUUCAAAAACUGUUCUUGCAUGUUAUUCCAAGUUCUUACUGAUCCAGAUCUAAGGUUUUGUAGCCAAGUUUUAGCUUUAUCUUUUAAUGAAAAAGGAAAAAGCUUUAAUCUAAUUAUGUUCAUGCUACAAUUUUGGUCCGUGUAUGUAUUACAAACUUCCUCAAAAUCUCUUAGAUGCAAGUACGGAUUCUCAGAUUCUAAACCAUGAAAUGUUGGUAAAAGUUGGAUAAUACCUGGUUUAAAAUUGAAUCGAGAUGCUUCUGGAGGAAAUACUAUACACGACGGUGCUCCGGUUCUGGUUGGAUUCAUGUAGUCUCUCAGAGUCCUUGGUUGAUUCUGAUCAUGCCCAUGUUGAGAUUGGUUGUCUCCCUGAUCAAUUUGAGGAUUAGGUUCGCCCAAAACGUUUUCGCCUUGAUUCUCAUCCAUGAUUGGUGGUGGAGAUUGAGAUCUACGAAUUAACCUGCCACUUGAAGAUCGAGACCAAUGUCUCAUGCAAGGGUUAUGUUAUAAAGAUAAUAUUUACACAAAUUGAUAACAAAAUAAAAUAAAAAAAUAAAUAAGUAAAUAAUAUAAGUAUACAAAAGAAAAUUAAAUAACAAAAAUGGUGGUUGAACCCACCAAUUAAAAAAAUAAAAAAUGCAAAAUUAAAUAAAUACUGAAAAUUAAAUAACUGAAAAUAAAAGUUAAGGGUUAGUAGUUAGUUUGGUGGUUAAACCCACCAAUAAAGCAAAAAAAAAUAAAUAAAUAAAUAAAUAAAUACGAAAUAAAAUAAAUGCAGAAAAUUAAAUAACUGAAAUUAAAUAAAAGUUAGGAGUUAGCAGUUAGUAAGUUAAGAGUUAGUAAUUAGAGUUAGUAGUUAAAGUUAGUUUGGUCCAAAAUAAGUCCAAAUAUGUCCAAAGUAUGUCCAAAUAUGUCCAAAGUAUGUCCAAAUAUGUCCAAGUCUUGAUUAUGUUGAGGAAUUUCGUCUAGGGAUUCUAUUGCAAAUUAUUUUUAAUUUUAUGGUCAAACUAUAAUUUUUAGAAGUUUAGAAUUAGCAAUUUGGGAUGAAAGUGAAACAAUUGAAAGAUAUCGCGGUCCGAACAUAAUUACCAGAAGAUUGGGCUAGAAACGGAAAUUGUUGGGGUGAAAUUAGAAUUAUGAAAGAUAUGGGGACAAAAGAGAAUUUAAGAAAAGGAAAAGGGGGCAAACGAAAUUUUACAUAUAAGAGAAAAAUAAAAACGGAAAAACAAACCAAAUAAAAAACUUUUCCCCGGCAACGGCGCCAAAAACUUGACACAACUUAAAAGUAAAUUUUAACUCCCAAGUAUAAGAGUGUCUUGUUGUAUUAUAACUCGGUGAGUCCGAGGUCGAUCCACAGAGAAAAGAUUUAAUUAGUUUAUUUUAUUUUAUCUAAAAAUUGAAAUUAAAACUUGAAUAUAAACAACUUAAUUUAAAUGAAACUAUGGAAUUGAACUAGUUAGGGUUAUGGAUCCACUCUUAGAAAUAAAUAAAACUUAAUAAAUUCUUUUUGCCAAUUUGUUUUAGAUUUAUUACUCAAAAGAUUAAUUAUACAAAUUAUUAUUAUUUUCCCUUUAAUUUUAUGGUGGAUUAAGUAUUUAUUGUGCCAAAAUUUAAUUUGUCUACAAUAAGUCAAAAUACCAUUUCAUCAUGCCUUAUAUUAAGAUCUUAAGAAUUUAUUGUGCCAAAUUCAUUUGUUUGUCUACAAUAAAUCAAAUUUUCAAAAUAUAAAACAUGUAUAAAAUUAAAUAGAAAAUAAUUUAAUUUAUAAAAUUAAACAUAGAAUUUGAUUAAAUCCUAUUUAUUUCUUAAGAGUUUCACCUUCCCCUAACUAAUAUUAUUUAGUUAAGCAUAAUUAAAAUAAAAAGAAGUAGUAAAAUUGAAUUACUUAUAAUUAAAAGAAAUAAAAACAACUAAAAUUGGAAAUAAAACUAAUUUUAUUAAUGAAAAUAAUUAUACAAAAUAUUAAAAACACACCUGGAAAUCAAGAUUACAAGGAGAUGGAGAGAAUUUGAGAAGAAGAGAGUUGUAGAGAGAUGAUUAAAACAUAAAAAUGAGGCUCUAUUUAUAGAAAAAUAAAUUCAUAAUCCAGUGCUUUGCGGUCCAUCAUAGGCUUCAUGCAUGUGCUCCUCACAACCCUUAGAUCAAGAUCCAAUGGCUGGUCAAACUUCAAAAGUCAACAUCACACAUGGCAUCAUUUGACUCGUCCGAUUUACCCAAAGAACGGUUGAGAUUUGGCGGGUUAAUGGAUGGAUCGGGUCGACCCGAAUACAAAGAUUCGGAUCCUCCAACUUGCUUCACCAACCAUUGCCACGUGGCACAAUCAUGGCCAUUGAAUCAUGAACGGUUGAGAUUUAGUCAAGAUUGCCAAUUAUCCCAUGCACUCAUAUCUAUUGUAAGCUCAUUUCAUCAUCCAAUCAGUGCUCGGUCAACAGGAAAAGUCAACUUUUUUUACACAAGCCCAAUUUUAAGCCGAUCUUGACUGAUCUUAAGGUUUUCGGACCUCCGGAAUCCAAAUUUGACCUCCGUUUAUCUGUUUGGAGCCUCGAAGUACGUGAAAUUAAUAAUUUUCCUAAUAAACACAUAAAAAUACACAAAAUUAAAUAUAUUUAAAACAUAAUUAAUAAUUCAUAAUAUAUUACAUAAACACAAAUAUAAAUUAUAACAUAAGCAUAAAAUAACAUAUUAUCGCUUGAUAAUUAAACAAUUUUUAAUACUAAUCAUUUCUUACUUGUGGUGUCUUCCUUAAUGUACUUAGACUCCAAUAAGUCCUCUAUUUCUUUUGCUGUGGAUUUUGUUGUGGUACUUAUCAAAACAAAGUACUAGCAAUGGCAUUGUAAAUGUGUCCUAUGCACAGGUAGACAUCUUGCUUCCACUUUUGCCACACUCAAGUUUCUCAUCCUCACGUUCUUCAGGCUUUCAUAUUGUAAGAACAUAAACAACAUUGAGGCUUGUCAACAAGAAAUGUAAUGUUUUUUGCCAACGUAUAAAAGUUGUGACUAGGGGUGGGCAUGGGUUGGUUUGGGUUGGUUUUUAAGUCAAUCCAAACCAAACCAUAAAAAUUUGGAUCCAACCCAAACCAACCCAAAUAUUUUUAACCCAAACCAAACCAAACCAUUUGGGUUUGGUUUGAAUUUUAUUAUCAAAAUAAUUUUUAUUUUAAUAAAAUUUAAUUAUAUCAAAAUUAUAAUAAUUAUUAAUUGUUAUUAAUUAUUAAAUUGAUAUUAAAAUAUAAAAAAAUAUAGUGGAUAAAAAUUAUAAAUUUUACAAUAACUUAAUCCUUAAAUUAAAGAAUACUAGAAAAUCAAAAUAAAGUUUAAUCACAAAAAUUAUUAUUUCUCAAUAAAUAAGAACAUACACUUUAAUAAUAAACUUUCACAAACAUGACAUUAACAAUCUAAUAAUAAAUUAUUUUUAACAUAUAUUAUUUUUCCCCCUUCUCCUUUUAUAAUGGCCAAAAACCCCUCUAAUAGUAUAAGUUUACAAUAUUACCCUUAUUUUCAACUACUCUUUUAUUUCUAUUUAUUCUAAAUUAAAUAAAUCAUAUGAAUAGAAACUAAAUAAAAAAUAAAGCAUUAAAAAUAAGAAAUAUAUGUUUUGAUAUGAACAAAAAAAUUAAUAAUAAAAUUUUUUUAUACUUAUUUAUUUUGUGAAAAUUUUCUUAUAAUAAAUAUAUAAGAAAAUUAUUAGUCAAAUGAUAAAAAAAUUUUAUAAGAAAACUUGAAUGACAAAUAAAAAUUUAUUAUAAGAUAAAUAAUAAAAUAUUUUACCUAUACUUUUUACAUUUAAUUUUAAAAUAUUACAAAAUAUUUAUUAUAAGAAAAUGUUCACAAAAUAAAUAAUUACAAGAAAAAAUUUUAUUAUUAAUUUUUCUGCUCAUAUCAAAACAUAUAUUUCGUGUUUUAAUACUUAAUAUAGGCAUUACAUUCAAUUAUUGACCAAAAAUUAGCCGCCAUCUAGCAUAUCGGACCCAGUCCAAGCCGAGUUAUUAUUGAUCAUUAGUAGAGUCUCCUGCUCUUUCUAUGAUGAUCCUUCCAUGUGGGAGGAAUUAUUUUUGUAAAUAAGAAAAAAAAUUAUUUAUGUUAUUUACAAUAAUAUUUAUUUAAUUUAAAUUUAUUUUUACUAUUAUUUUCAUUUUCUAACUGUUGACAAUUGAUCACGCUGUAAAAAAUUUAAUGGUGGUCUUUCACUUAUUUGUGUUCAUUUAUUUUGUUUUCAUUUAUUUCAUUUGAAAAAUUUGAGUGUUGGGGUUUUGUCAAUAACCCAUGGGUAAACCAUACCCAAACCAUAAUGAAAUGGUUUUCUACAUAAAACCCAUAUCUAACCAAUUUUCAUGAUUUACCCAACCCAAACCAUUUAAUUUGGUUUGAGUUUGGAUAAACCCAUGGGUUGUGGGUUUAUGCCCACCCCUAGUUGUGACCAUCAACUGCUCUAAUUUAACAAAAUCUACUGUGAAUUGCGGAUGAGAUGAGCUCAGUGUCAUUGUUACAGAAAGAACGUCUUAUGAAUGUCGGGAAAAUAUAUUUUUAGGGAAUGAAAAAUGUAAUAAUGGCAAACGUAGAGAGUUACAGUAAUAAUGAUUAUGCCACAAAGAUAAUGAGUCAAUUAUGUAAUAAUGACAAACAUAGAGAGUUGCAGUAAUAAUGGUGGAAUUUUUUUCUAAUAAAAUAAUGAGUUUACUACUCUGUAGGUACAACGAAAAUAAUAGUAAUAAGUAAAUUGUAGAAAUUAACGUGUAUUUCAAGGCACUUUACAAAUAUUACUUUCUUUAGACGUUAUUCGCCCCCAUCAAUUGAGUGAUGAAUAUGGGUUAAACAAAUACGCAUCUACGAUACAAUGAAACACUUAUUUAUUUGUUUGCAUUGGGUAUCGACAAAAGCAAACCUAAAUACUCUUGAAUGUUGCAAGCUUGUCAAGAAUCAAUAUAAUUGUUCCUGUAGUAAACAAUAUGUUGGAUAUUUAAUGCAUAAAAUAUAGAUGUUAUAUGAUAAAAUUCGUUUUAGAAAGGAGAGUUUAGAAAAGAGUGUUAUAAGAAUGUUAUUUUCAUGUCUAAAUGGCCUAAACAUGGCCUCUAUUUAUAAAUAUAAUUGUGCCCUCCAUUUGGAUUGUCAUUUUUCAUGAUACCCAUUCGUUUAUGGUCAUUGGAUCAAGAUUUGAUUUUAAUCAAUUGUCUAAAUAAGUACAUCACCAUUUCAAAUGAAAUGACAAUGUGAAAUGAUACAUUUUUAAGUGGAAAGAUACCUUUUAUAUGGGACAAUUACUAGGACAAGUUUUUAUAAUAAAACAUCAUUUAUUUUGAAAUUGUUACAGCCCUAAGAUUAUUCUAGGUUAAGUUAAUCUAUUAUGUAUAACUUCAGAAGGUUCAUCGGUAGAUUGCUUUAAGUUUUUGUCAUAGUUUACAAAUAUUUUGUUACUUAUAAUGUAAGAAAUUUUACAAAUGUUGGUGCUGAGUAAUCUGCAUAAUUAUUAUGAAUCAGAGAAACAGGGCAGAUGUUGUACAAUUAUUGUUGUGGUGGAGCGGAAAGUUAGCCCGGACGGUGACUGCUAUUGGGAUUUCUUUAAUUUGCAGCAUAAAAGCAUUUACAUUGACAUCGACUCAAGGGUAAAAAUUAAAUAUCUCAUGUAGCAUAAGAAGAAUGCAAAAAUGCUUGAAUGAGCAUUCUCACUGAAUACACAAAAGCUACUUUCCCUUGAGCACUUUCGCAACAAAAGCAAAUGUAAAAUGUAGCAUUUAAUUCUAACAUCAAAUGGUUGAUGCCAUCGUUUCCAUCCCUUGGGGAAAUUGAAUUCCUCUAUCUGAUAUUACAGUCUGGAGCGGCUCUUAAGUACCUCAGGCAACUUAGGGCAAUUUAGGCGGUUGCUCAGGGCCCCACAUUUAACCUAGGAUCCCAUUAUAAAUGAAGGUUUCUAAGUUAAUUCUUAAAUUAUAGUUAUUAAUUAUUGAUUUAUAUUUAUUAUUUAUAACUAUAUUUUCCAUAAACAAACUACUAGAUUCUUUCAAAUCCCCUUUUAAUAUUAUAAUUAACAAUUUUAAUCCAUUUAUUUCCUCCGUAUAUUUCAUUUAAAACUCUAUAAAGGCCACACCUUUUUUAAAUUAUUAUCCAUUAAUAUCUUUUUCCAAUUAAAGAAAAAAACAAAACCUUCAUUACUUUGGUGAAAAAACUACUUUCUCUACCUUACUUUUUGCAUAAGGAAGAAAAGAAAAUCAAUCGUUUUACUUUCUUUUGAUCAUUGUUGCUCAAAGUCUCAAUCCAUCAAAGUUAAAUUUCUCAAAUUUUCAGGUUUUAUCUUCCGAUUCUCUUAUUAAUUAAUUGUGUUAUUUAGGUGUUUUUGUUUCUUUGUAAAAAUAUUAUUCUGUUCAUAGGUUGUUUUCUUUUAAUUAUCUAGCAUAAUAGUUUGCAUGAUUACUCUUGUUUCAUUAGAAAAAAAAAAUGUCUACUAAAAACUAUGCAUCAUGAUACAAAAAACUUCAUAAAAGGAGAAGAACAGAAAAGUUAGUUUAAUCUAAAAAACAAUGCUAUUGAUAAAAAAAUAUUUAAGAUCACCCAUUUCAUAAGAAAGAUUAAAUAGGUUAACUAUAUUGUCUAUUGAGAAAGAUAUAUUAGCAAAAUUAGAAUAUAAAAAGUUGACUAAUAAUUUUGCAUCUAAGAAAGUUAGAGAAAUUGAUUUUAAAUAAAUAAAACUUUAAUAAAUUAAUACAUAUAUUUCACCUCAAUUUUUUUAGAAGGCCUAAUUAAAUCAAUUUAUUUAAGACCUAAAAUAUGAUUGAGCCGCCUUGAAAUUGCAGUAAGAUAGAAAAGUGAAAUAGACAGAACACUUGCUCAUACGUAAAGAUGCGACGAAUUUGAGAAUACUUAUUAUUAUGUGCCAAAUUCCUAAUGUGUGGGAAUUUAAAAAUGUUAGUGCAUAACAUGUGUUUAUCGGUGGAGUAGAAUCAGGGAAAUUAAAGAUAAGCAUAAUUUUUGCAUCCAAUGCCAAAUUCCCCCAGGGAGAGAGUGGGGACUCCUUUGCAUAAAAGUUGUUAAAAGUUUAUUGUUAAUAAUAAAAAUAACAUGCAGAUACAGUAUUUUAGGUUAUUGUUAAUAGUUUUACAAUAAUAAAAAUCAUUUUGUUAGAUCGUAAAAUGUAGUACUCAUACUCUAUUUUGUGCAAAAGUCUGCGAGAAAGGAUUUCAGAUUUACCUAACGGGGAAGUUGGGAACUUGCUUUUUUACCUAGGCUAAAAAUAUUUCAAUAAAUUCUGAUCGUGGAGACUACCUGAAACGACCCGCCCCGAAACCCCCCAGGCGAGUCUAUCUAGUUACAUCAAAACAGACUUAAAAAUAAUAUUAUACGUAAAGAAUCUGCUGAAAAUUCGACAGAGUCUCCUUUAUAUAUAUAACACUCCCAAAGUACAAAUAUGAAUAUACAACAAACUCCAGUGCUCAACAUACUCAACCAAAAAUACUGAGUUAUAUAAUAUACAACCCCAAAAGAACAAGAUGACCAAGAUGUCCCAACAGAAACAUUUAUAUACUCUAGCACCAUCACGUGGCCAAGACUCAAAAUAUAUACAGUCGCUGGGUCGGUCUGGUGUACCUGCAACCUCCUGGUGAGGGGGGGAAAAUAUAAUAAAAACGGGGUGAGUUUAAAACUCAGUGAGAUUAGUGAGUGGAUAGUAGGUUUGAAAAUUGAUCUUUACUUUAAAAGAAAUAAGCAUAUCCAAACACGGUUUCAUUAAACCAUAAGUGAGAAAUCAGAAAUAAAUCAUUAAAUAUUUAAAUCAGAUUACCAACCAUAGAAAUCAUAUCACCAAAUCAUAUCGAUUUCACAAAUCUGAAAAUCAUAUCUCAUCAUAUCUCUGCAUGCAUAAUCUAGUCCCCAAAGGACAAAAGCGCCCAAGCACACGGCCCAAAGCCUCUGUGUGUACUCAGACGGGCCCCAAAGGCCUCCUUACAAUCAGAGCGCGCACCUCCCUUAUUACCCCUCAGUUUGGCGGGCCUCCCUUAUUACCCCUCAUCUAUAUCACUGUACUCAUAUUCACAUACCUCUUUACCACAUUUUAAAUCAUACCACAUUUGAAUCCACUUUUCUUAACUUUCAAAUAAUAUCACACUUUAUUCAAAAUCGAUACGCAAAAUUAUUAACCAAACAUUUUCAUAUAAUAUCAACAAGUGAAUAAAAUCCAUUUCGAGAAAUCAUUAAAUCAGCACAUUUAAAAAUACUUAUUCCGCAACCAUGCUUUACUAUCAUAAUUAACUCUAAAAAUAAGUUUCGUAUAUUCCACUCACAGUGACGGUGUUCAUAGUCGGUUAUCGUCUACGUCCGCGGACCGGUUCUCGCUCGCGGAUCCUCCUAAAUCAAGGAAACGACAUAAUUAUUCUCCGUAAAUCGGAAUUCCGACUAAAUAUAUGCAAUAACUCGAAACGAACAUUUAUCCAUAAUUAACAACUCCCGUGACGAUAAAAUUACUAAAAUGCCCUUGAGUCCGUAAAUCAUUAACAUGCUCCGAAAUCGUAAAUCACCGAAUUAUCCUCGAAAUCGUAAUUACACCCAAUUCACAAUUCUAUGAAUUACUGAAAUAUCCACAGGCUCAGAAAUGACAAAAUUGCCCUCAUAGUGUGAAAUUACCAAAAUGCCCUUGCCGGUCAACGGUCACCGGAAUUUGGUCAACGCUGGCCAGGAAGCUCAAAUCUUAAAGUGCCAAUCACGCUGAGUUCAAUGGUACCGGCGGUGAGCUCCAACGCGCGGCAACGACGCCGGAAUCUAGCUCGACAGCCGUGAGUUCCAACAAUCGACCGGCAGCAAAACGACGACUCUCGGUGCCUAUGAAUGGUCGGAAAUGGAAGAGGGAGUCAUGAGGAACAAAAUCCAACCGGUGGUGUCACUCAAAACCGGCGAAAAUCUCGGCGGAGUAAAGUGAAGCAGUCGCGGGUUUCAAGCUUCGAUCGCCGGCGUUCCGGUUCGUUUUCGGCAGUGAGGAUGGCAGGGGAACGACGGUCGGCUUCUAAGCUUCAGAUCGGUACCAAGCUCGGCCAAAACGGUGGUCGGAAACGUGAAAUCCGUCCGGGUUAAAGUCGCGGGUCGGGUCGGAUCCGGCGGGUCAAGAUCGGGUAAGUUGGCAGCUUCUCUCUCUCUGUUUUGCACGUGCAUGUGUUUUUCCUCUGUUUCCAACAUAUUCCUUUGCUUAUAAACUCUUUCACCGCCUCAUGCCAUUUUACAUUCACAGGUAUUACACUACCAAGAGUUUUUUUUAGUCAUAUAUAUUUAUUUUUUAGGGACCAAUAUGAAUAUUACUAAUUUUAUCGAGAUUAUUAAAAAAACAAUGUGCUAAUUUACCAAUAUGAUUUCUCCAAUCUUUUUUCUUUUCGUCAUUUAUUCCUUUGUGAAUUUGAGUUAAUGCUUGAUAUUAUUUUUGUGCUCAUUUUUUAAAGUAGAAGAUUAUGAAAAAGUGAACACACAAAAAGCAUAAAAAUUAUUAUUAGAUCCAAAUUUGUGCUAUUUCAUACAUAACUUGAGAAUAUUUAUAAUUACGCAUCACAACUAGUGGAGUAGAAUCAGGGAAAUUAAACAUUCUACAGUCAUUGACGUGUGGGGUGGGGAUAAGCAUAAACCUUUUCUAUGCAGUAUAAAAGAGUGCAAUAACUCCUUUUCUUUCAGUAUCAUCGCAACAAAAGCACAUCUAAUAACUCUUCAGAAUUCUCGUCUUCUUUGUCAGAAUGGUUGAUGCAAUCGUUUCCUCUCUCCUGGAGCAGCUGAUCUCUGUUGCGGCCGAUAAAGUGAAACAACAGGUGAGGCUUGUGACUGGUGUCCGAGAAGAAGUGAAAAAGCUUACCAGCAAUCUUCAAGCCAUUCGAGCUGUGCUGGAGGAUGCAGAGCAAAGGCAAAUGCAGCAAGACAAAGCUGUUACUUUUUGGCUGGAUCAGCUCAAAGACGCAUCCUACGACAUGGAAGAUGUGUUGGACGAGUGGGUCUUUGCAAGGCUCAAAUUGCAAAUUGAGGGCGUUGAUGAUGACAAUGCUUUUUCCCUUGCUCCUCACAAGAAGAAGGUACGUUCCUUCUUUCCUGCUGUAUCAAACUGCUUUGGUAGUUUCAAACAACUUAGUCUUCGUCUUGACAUUGCUGUCAAGAUUAGGGAAAUCAAUGAAAAGCUAGAUGAUAUUGCCUCCCAAAAAGCUAGGUUUAAAUUUGUUGAAAAUGUGAGUAACCAUGUUAAAAAACUGAAACAAGCGCGAACCACCUCCUUGAUUGAUGAGGGAGAGGUCUGUGGUAGAGUUGACGAGAAAAACGAGCUCUUAAGCAAGUUGUUGUUUGAAAGUAGCGAACAACAAAAAGGCCUUCAUGUCAUCUCACUAGUUGGGUUAGGGGGCAUAGGUAAAACCACUCUUGCACAACUGGCCUAUAAUAAUGAUGAGGUGAAAAGAAAUUUUGAAAAAGUUAUAUGGGUGUGUAUCAGACACUUUGGAGGAGAUUAGGGUUGCCAAUGCAAUCAUUGAAGGUCUAGCCGAGUCAGCUUCUAGUUUAAGCGAAUUUCAAUCUCUUCUAAGCCAUAUCCAUAGAUCAAUUGAAGGAAAAAAAAAUUUUCUUGUCUUAGAUGAUGUAUGGGAUGGGGAUUACAAAAAAUGGGAACCAUUCUUCCUAUGUUUAAAGCAUGGUCUCCACGGAAGUAAAAUUUUGGUUACUACACGUAAUGAGUCAGUUGCACGUAUGAUGGGAUCAACAAAUAUUAUUUUCAUUGAGCAAUUGACUGAAGAGGAAUGCUGGUCGUUGUUCAAGCGGUUAGCAUUUUUCGGUCACUCUUUCGAGGAUUGUGAAAGAUUAGAACCAAUCGGGCGAAAAAUUGCACGCAGGUGCAAAGGCCUGCCUCUUGCUGCAAAGGUAAUAGGGAAUCUCUUGCGCUCUAAAAGUACAAUAAAAGACUGGCAAAGAAUUUUAGAUAGUGAAAUGUGGAAGGUAGAAGAGCUAUGGAAAGGUCUUUUGACUCCUUUAUUGUUGAGUUAUAAUGAUUUGUCGUCCAAUUCUAUGGUAAAACGAUGUUUUUCAUAUUGUGCUGUCUUUUUGAAAGACUACAAUAUGUAUAAAGAGGAACUAAUUUCACUAUGGAUGGCUCAAGGUUACCUUAAUGCAGAAGAAUAUGAAGAGAUGGAGAUUACUGGGGAAGAGUGUUUCAACAUUUUAGCAGCACGCUCUUUCUUUCAAGAGUUUGAGAAAAAUGAUGAUGAUGAUAUUAUGAGUUGCAAGAUGCAUGACCUAGAACAUGAUUUUGCUCAAUUUGUAAGUAGCAAUGAAUGUUUGUGGCUAGAAUUUAGUGGUACCAGAGAAUCAGUCAUAAACCCUUUUGGUGAGAAAGUCCGUCACUUAGGGUUAAAUUUUAAAGAAGGCGCUUCAUUUCCUAUGUCCAUUCAUGGACUUAAUAGAUUGCGUACCCUCCUAAUUGAUGAUGAAAGUCCUUUCAAUUCAUCUCUUAAUAAUAGCAUCCUUCCAGAGUUAUUUAGUAAUUUGGCGUGUUUGAGGCCAUUAGUUAUAAGGCAAUCAUCCUUGCUUUUUCGUUAUCCCCCAAAUGGGAUUAGAGAAAUUCCAGAAAAUGUCAGAAAAUUGAUACAUUUGAAAUGUCUUAAUUUGUCUGAAUUACACAUAAAGAGACUACCUGAGACUUUGUGUGAAUUAUAUAAUUUACAAAAGCUAGAUAUUAGGGGGUGCCGAAAUCUAAGAGAAUUGCCUGUGGGGAUCGGGAAGUUAAAGAACAUGAGGAGUUUACUAAAUGGUGUUACUCGUUCGUUGAAGUACAUGCCAAUAGGGAUUUCCAAAUUAACCAGUCUUCGAACAUUAGACAAGUUUGCUGUGGGUGGAGGUGUUGAUGGUGGCAGUACGUGUAGGCUUGAAUGUCUGAAAAAUUUUCGACUCAUUCAAAAAUGUGGAAUAGAAGGGCUGAGUAAUGUGUCACAUUUAGAUGAGCCUGAGAGAUUAGAACACAAAAAUAUGGAAAACCUCCUUCAUUUGUAUCUUUUGUUUGAAGUUGUAGAUUAGGAAGAUAAAGAAGAGGAUGAAGAUGAAGGUGGGGAAGAUGAAGGUGAAGAUGGAGGAUAUGAAGAAGAAGGAGGUGAAGUUGUAAAUGUGGAAGAUGAAGAAAGGAGGAGGAAGAAUGAGAAAGAUGAACAACUUCUUGAAGCCUUAAGCCGCCUUUGAAUGUAGAGGAAUUAUGGAUUUUAUUAUAUGGAGGCAGCAUUUUUCCCAAAUGGUUGACUUCGCUAACCAAUCUAAGGAAUUUAUUUCUUCACGGGUGUCUUAACUGUGAGCAUUUGCCUCCUCUGGGAAAAUUGCUUCUGGAAAAACUCGCCCUGCAAAAUUUGAAUAGUAUAAAAAGAGUGGGCAAUGAGGUUUUGGGAAUAGAGGAAAGUAGUGAUGAUGACCCGUCUUAAUCUUCAUCAUCAUCAUCAGUUAUUGCCUUCCCCAAAUUGAAAUCACUCAAAAUUUGGGACAUGGAAGAAUUGGAAGAGUGGGAUUACAGGGUUACGAGGAAGGAAAACAUCUCCAUCAUGCCACGUCUUUCUUCCUUGGAAAGGUGUUGCCAGAUGACCUUCUUCAAACGUCGACACUGCAGGAAUUGAGUAUUGGGGGAUGUCCUAUUUACUUCAGUGUACGAUAAUUUGUUACGUGAAACUUCUUGAGAGACUGAAUUUCUGGGGUACUUUGUAGUAAUGUUGAAAACUAAGUGAUGGCUGGGUCUGCUCUGUUUCAGUUGAGGAUGGUUUGCUUCCUGGAAGACAUGCUGAUUAUUAUUGCAUGAUAUUAAGGUGCUGAGAUCAUCAUUUCUAUCUUGUUUCUUUCUUUGAUCGGUUUAUCCUCUAUAAGCAUAUGGAAUUAUGCUAGUAUUAUCACUUCUUCACUCAAUUUUCACUGUUGGUUGUAAUAACCAUUUCAGGUUCUCAAAAGCCUCAAAGCAAAGCAUCUUUGGGCUGAUCAUAUAUUUCAAUUGACGAAGCAAUUCGAUGUUGGCACUAUUAUGCAGGUAACCAGAGUUGAUAAUUUGCACAAAUUUGCAUUGUCAGAAUACCCUUCAUAUUCACUGUGUUUCUUUGUGUAGGUAUGUAGAGUAUCAUCUUCAAGGGUUGUAAGAGCCUUUGCAGUAAAUUUAGCUGCUCGUGCAAUUGCUCAUUCAUCGGAGUACAAUUUUGGAUUUUCAAGGUUUGUAUGCUCAGUUGUAAUUAAAAUGCUUAGUCACUUAUUCCUAAUCUUUCUGAUUUUCAAGUUGUUUUAGGUCCAUAAACAGUUUUCAAACAUGUUUCAAUGCUUCUUGUAAUGACAAUUUCAUAUCUUGCAUCUCUAACGUGCAUCACGUUUGAAACAGCUUUCGCGGUAAAGUCUUCGAUGCUUCUACAAUGGCUGUGAAGAGGCACAUUAAAUUCGGUACAUUUUGGUACGGCCUCCCAAUGCUGGUAUAAUGUUGUGUAUAUUUAGUUUGCAAUUAAAACUUAGGUAUACAAAUCUUAAUCUGCAAUAGAUCGUAGUGUACAAAGUUUUCUAUUAAUGAUAUGGUGACUGAAAGUUUAAUUAUCUUAAAAUUUUUCUAUGACUCUCUUUUACUUUCUUUGUACAGAGUACCUGUUUUGGCUGAUGUGUCUAAUUCAUAGAAAUUCAUUUCCAUCGGUUUCCAUUGGUUUGAGCACAAACAGAAACAGAGGUCUGAGGAAAAGUUUUAUUUCUUGCGGUAUUAUGCCUUUGUUUCUUUAUUCACCAUAUUUGUUCGAAUUCAUGCCCUCAUUAAGAAUUUAAAGCCUUUUCCAGGCAGCUUUGUAGGCUACCUUAUGAAAUUGGAAAGUUAUUAUUGCUUGAAUGCAAGCACCGUCUUCUGUUGCGAAGGCUUUCCCCACAUGAUGAGAUGCUGUGAUUGUUACCGGACCCUUAAUUAUUUAACUCAGGAUUUUAUCAUCAACCACAUCAUCUUAUUCACCAUUUUGGAUAUAUAUAAAGAUUAAAAUUUCUAACAGUUGUUUCGGAUUCUUGUGUAAUCAGAUAAAUGGGGCAAAUGUCAGAACAAAGAUUGUUCAGUGUUGCUGGUAGGGCAAGGAUGAUGAUGGUGAGGAAGAUUGUUCACAAGCCAAGUAGAGCUAGGGAUGGCAAAACAUCGGGUCGGGCUCGGGCUUGGCCAAACCCGACCCGACCCGAUCAACAAAGAAUUAAAGCCCGACCCUAAAAAAGCCCUACCUAUUUAUAAUUAGGGUUGGGUCGGGCUCGACCCGAAUCGGACCAACCCUACCGAAAUCUAUAAUAGCAACAGCCACCACAGAGCUAUUUUCCAAAUUCACCAAAUCGAACUCUGAAAAUCCAAUCAAACUUUGGCUUAUAAAGCCAAAAUCAUUGCUUAAUUAAACCUAUACAGAAAAUAAUACUUCCACUCGCUGAAGAUUUUCCUCGAGUCCUCAUAUGUUUCUCUGUUUACUUGUCUACGAACAGCAAACAAGAAGUUUGCUAUUUCAUAUCAGUGUCGCACAAUAAAAUAAUUAAUUAAACAAAUUAUUAAAUUUACAAAGAAAUCAAUCCCUAAGCUGGUAUAGCAUCCACUAGACUACUCUUUUUAAUCGUUAAUUAAUAAAUAGUUACUGAUCUAUAACAAAUUCUUUCCAUCACCACAAAAAUAAAAUAAAAAUUCAUUGCCAUCUAAUUGGAUUAUAAGAUACAAUAACAAUUGGCAAUUGUAUUGCCAUCUAAUUUCAUUACCUAAACUUAAUUAUAAGAAACAAAUUGGCUGCUGGAAUAGAGGACAUAAAGAAGUCAAAAAUUGAACUUACAAUUUUGGUCAUAAACUUAAUUUGAACUUACAAUUUUGGUCGGAAAUAAUUACAGAACCGAUCGAGAGUAUUGCUGGUUUUAUGGGUAAAUAAAAAAUUGUAUGCAGUGCGGCGACGGGCGGCUGGCUGGUUCACUCACGUCGCGGCGUCGCGGACGGUCACGAUGGCGGAUUGGCGGUGAGANNNNNNNNNNNNNNNNNNNNNNNNNNNNNNNNNNNNNNNNNNNNNNNNNNNNNNNNNNNNNNNNNNNNNNNNNNNNNNNNNNNNNNNNNNNNNNNNNNNNNNNNNNNNNNNNNNNNNNNNNNNNNNNNNNNNNNNNNNNNNNNNNNNNNNNNNNNNNNNNNNNNNNNNNNNNNNNNNNNNNNNNNNNNNNNNNNNNNNNNNNNNNNNNNNNNNNNNNNNNNNNNNNNNNNNNNNNNNNNNNNNNNNNNNNNNNNNNNNNNNNNNNNNNNNNNNNNNNNNNNNNNNNNNNNNNNNNNNNNNNNNNNNNNNNNNNNNNNNNNNNNNNNNNNNNNNNNNNNNNNNNNNNNNNNNNNNNNNNNNNNNNNNNNNNNNNNNNNNNNNNNNNNNNNNNNNNNNNNNNNNNNNNNNNNNNNNNNNNNNNNNNNNNNNNNNNNNNNNNNNNNNNNNNNNNNNNNNNNNNNNNNNNNNNNNNNNNNNNNNNNNNNNNNNNNNNNNNNNNNNNNNNNNNNNNNNNNNNNNNNNNNNNNNNNNUGUUAUUAGAGUGAGUAGAAAUUAAGCACAUAUCUGCGAUUUGGGUUGUCGGUGAAUGUUUUCCUUUAAUAUUUGUACACACCCAUUUCUUAGUAAAAUUUUCUUCAUGUCUAUUACUAUGACAUAGGCUAAUAGCCGUACCAUAUAACAUUAUCUUCUUAUUUCUUUAUGCUUGGUUUUGCUACAUAUCAUUUCUGUACAUUCAAGAAUGCAAUUUUGUAACUACUUAACUCUGCUUCGGCAAAGUUAAGUAGUUACAAAAUUCUUUUUUUUUUCCUUUUUCUUUCUCCGAUAAAAUUGCCACAAAUGGAAGCGAUUGGCUUGAUUUUUGCUUCUGUAAAAAGUGGUGGGAGCAAUGUCUUGUGUACCCGCAAGUUAUAAAUCGUCAUAGUUUAAAUGAAGAAUCCAGAGUUGCCAUCCAAAACUAAAGAAAUUGCAAAUUAAGUAGUUCAUUACAAAUGAUAUAUUUUGAGUUGCUAAUUAUUAAGUAUUUUAUUCAAAAAUGUUCUCGUUCCCACAAUUCCUAAUGUUUAAAGUGCAUCAUUGCUCUACUUCCGUCAUAACAGCAUAAGAGAAUUUAACAUAAUACUAAGAAAAUGAUUAUUUUACCCUAAAUGUAAAUGAUUAUUCUACCCUUGACAUAAAAUAACUAAUUUGCCCUAAUUUAAUAACGAAAAAAAUAGAUGACUGCAAUAUAGAUAUUAAAUAAUAAAUAAAAUAAAAAAUCAGAAUUAAGCUAAUUUGUUCAAGACAAUAUCUUUAGUUGGCAUGUAAUUUUCAUUAGCCGGCGUCUACUCUUAAUUUAUGUCAAAUUAAGUAAUCGCUUCGCCCCAAUAAUGUUGCCUUUGAUCUCUCAGCCCCAGUAAAAGAAUUGGCUGAAAGAGAAUGUUGGUCACUGUUUAAGCAAGUAUGCUUUUGGCGGUCCUUUGAGGAUCUUCAAAAUUUAGAACCAAUCAAAAAUAAAAAAUUUCAUACAAGUGUAAAGGCUUGCCUCUUAAUGCAAAGGUAAUACGAAGUCUCUUGCUGACAUAUACAUCCUUUACUUUAUAAUCUUUUACUUUUGCUCUUAAGCUAAAGCAUUAAAAGGCCCCAUAUCCACUCUUUAUAUAUAUAUAGGGAGAAUGACAAUUUUCUCCCAUACUAUAAUCAAUAUAUAUCAUUUACGUCCUACUUUUUUAUAAUAACCAAUAAUCCUUGGAUAGCAUAAUUUAACAAUAUUAUUUUUGGUUUAUUUUAAUUUUUGUUCAUUUGAUUUCAUAGUAGUAGUUUUCAUUUUUUUAGUUUAAAAUUUGUAAAAUGAACUAAAAUGAGAUAAUUUUGAAAAAGAAUCAAAACAAAAAAAGGCCCAAAAUUACCCCUGUUCCGAACAUUAUCUGAAUCCAUCAUAAUUGACCCAAAUUCAAAUUUAACUCAAACCCAACCUUGGCCUCAUAUAAUUAUAACCUGAUCCGAUCUAGACUCAACCCCAAAGUUUUGAUUUGAUCUAAUCCAAUUCGAAUAUUCCAAGCCAAUCAACCUAAAACCCAAUCAAGUUGAUCCAAACCCAAAUUUGCGCACUCCUAGAGGGGACCAUCACCCUAUAAGCUUUGAAUUUUUUUUGAGGUUUUUAAAUGAAAUAUUCAAAAUUAGGUAUAAAAUGACUGAUUUGCCCUGGAAUACUUGAUACAUAUAAUGAAACUUUAAUUGUAUAUUUUGUGAAAUAAAAUCAAUUAAACCUGAUUUUUUUAUUUGUUAAUUAUUUUUCAUAGCCUUUUUUAAAAGUUUGUAAGUUUGGGCCUACCUCUUUGAUUUUUAUUUUGUUCAUUUUGCUUUCUCUUGCAACAAUAGUUUCAAAUACCAGUCACAAAAUUCUCAAAUUUUGGAAUACCCUACAUACUAGCUAUAAAUAGAAAAAACUGAAUAAAAUUAAUCCCCAACUAACACUUGAAAUUUGAACUUGGGCCUCAUGAAGAUUUACUCAGAGCUCCGCCCCUGAUAUGCAAUAAAAUAUUAGUUUUGCUAGUGAAAUUGCCAAUUAUGUUUUUUUUUUUUGUAUUUUCCGCUUAGGGAAGAAGAAAUUUCCUACAACUAUUGUGGUGAAUAUCUUGUGAAUUUAUGACAGUUUAAUCUUUAGUUUGCCACUUGCUUAAAAUGAAAAAGGGAAAAGGGUAUUUAUAUCUCUAAGGUUUGGAGAAAUAGUCACCAACACUACAAGUUUUUUAAAAAGGACAUCAAGACUCCUUUUUGACCACAAUACCCUUUACCUUUAGUAUCUCGAAAAAUUUAACUUGCAAAUGAAUAAAUACAAAUAUUAUAUAAAUAAUGUAAUCUACGUUGUAGAUUAAUAAUAUUAAAAUAUUAAAAUAAAUUUAAAUAUGUAAAUUAAUAUAUUUAUUUAAUAAUAUAUUUGUAUUUAUUGUAGAGAUUUUAAAUAAAUAUUUGCAUUAAAUACAUUUUACAAUUAAAAAAGUCUCACAUACUAAUAAUGUUAAAAUUAUUAUUUUACAUAAUAAUUUAAAUUUUAAUACAUUUAUUUUAAUAUUAUGUUUACAUUUAUCAUAAAAUUUACUUUAACAUAAUAAAAUAUAUUAAUAGAUUGUAAAAUAUUAAAAUAUUUUUAAAUAUUGAAAUUAUUUUAAAAUGUAUAAAUUAUUACAUUUAUUUUAAUAUUAUAUUUCUCUUUACUAUAAAAAAUUAAAGUUAACUUUUGGGAUAAUAAAGGUAAAGGGUAUUGUAGUAAGAAAGAAGUUUUAGUAUCUUUUCUUGAAAACUUAAGAGCGUUGGUAACCAUUUCUCCAAACUUUGGGGAUAUAAAUGUCUUUUUCCUAACAAAAAAUGACAUUUUUAAUAGGAAAUAUAAUAAGCUUUGUUCUAUAGAAAAAUCCAUCAGAUAUAUUAUGCCCCCGGUUGCUAUGUUAAAAAUAAGUAAUUCUUCUUUUUGUAUAUUAAAAUAGUAAAAGGGUGGAUAAUAUUUAAAUUUUUUUUUUACCUUUUAUCUUUUUUGACAUUCGAAUUUUAAACUCGAGAAAUAGACUUCCUGAGAGGUUAACUAAAUUCUUAGUAAUUUGAUAUAAUUUCAUAACCGUUCUCCAAAAGCAAUUUUAUAAAUCAUUGUGGAAAAGCUUUAUUCCUUAGUUAUCUUUCGCAUAUUUUCUUUGUAGUAUGAUAUUUAUUAAAAUCAUUAUGGGACUGAUUUUAUUCUCUUUUUUUUCUCAACAAAAUAUCCGACUGCAGAUGUAAUAAAUUACUAAUUACAAUUAUUUGAGUCCCACUCUAAAUUAGAUUUUGAAAUAAAGUUACAUUCUCAAAUGACCAAAUGAAUUAACGAGUCUGACAAAAAGAUGUUGUCGGCCAAGUUGAAAAAUAUAAUAAAUAAAUUGUCAGGAGAUGAUUUUUUCUGAAAUUUCACUUUCAAGGUCCAGAACACAUUCAAAUUUCCGUUGAAAUUCAUAAUGGAUUCAUAUGAUCGGGCGAAAUUACACUAUACAAUUUCAUCAAUACCUAUUAAACGAUAAAAAAUUUAUUGAUUAUUUAUAAUUAAAAAAAAUCUAUCUACUAAGACUAUUCUAGAUCAACAAUUAAUAUAUUAAAUAUAACUUCAGAAGGUUCAUCGGUGUAUUGAUCUAAGCCUUUUGCAGUAGUUUAUAAAUAUUUUGUUGCUUAUAAUGUAAGAAAUUUUACAGGAGUUGAUGCUGAGUAGUCUGAAUAAGAAAAUUAAUUAUAUUGUAAGUUAUUGGGUAUUCAUAAUAAAAUAAACAAAUAAAAAAUGAAUAAAAAUUUAAAUACUUAAUUAAUUUUUAUCAAAUUCUUAUCAAAUAUUUAAAAUAUAUAUAAAAUCAAUUAAUUGAUGAUGUUGUUAAUUUUCAUGAUAUUUUUAAUAUUAUAUUAGUGAUUAUUAAAUUUAAUACAAUCAAUAAUGCUAUAAAUUAUUAAAUGGUUAAUUUUAUUGACAAAUUAUCAAAUAUGCAAAUAAUGAAAAAUUAAUCUCAAGAGUUGGUAGAAGUAAAGUUCCAAUUUAAUCAGAUGAUAGAUAAUAAAUAAAAAUAAUUUUUAAGUAAAUUAUAAAUUAAAAAAUAAUUAAUAUUAAGUAUAAAUAAACAAUAAUGAUAGAAAUUAAAGUCUCAUAAGAGUAUCUCCAAAAGACUCUUCAAAUAAGAUUCUACUUCUUAUUUGAAGAGCCAUAUCAAUAUUUAACACUCCAAAAGACACGUUAAUUUAGAUUCUUCAAAUAAGAUUUGUUUCUCACUCUUCAAUAUUGCCGAGUGAGUUUCUCCCUCUUCUAUUAAUAUUUUAUUAUUAUUUAUUGAAAAGAUAAGACUGCAAUAAUUAUUAUUUAUGUUUCUUUUAAAAAAUAUAAUAACAAUACAAUUUGAUAGUGGGAAAAUUUGAUUAAAAUAAUAUUAAUUUAUUCUUAUUUGGUGAGUCUUUUGGACGGGAUUAUAUUUUUUUAUACACUUAUUUGCCACAUCAGUAAGCAAAUUGAAAUUUAAAGAGUAAAAUUUAAAGAUCCUUUUGGAGAUGCUCUAAAUAGAUAACUUUUUUUCUUUAAUUUUAUCCCAACUAAAAUCAUGUGUAAAUUAGAAUGAUUAAUCCCAUAAUUGUAGGAUGAAACUUAAAUUUAGUCCCCGAGUCCAAUUCAAUUAAGUUUAACAAACAUGAGAUAAAUAUUUAAUCACAAAAUUAGUCCAAUUUCGUACUUAAUCCUAGUAUAUGAACAUGGAUUGAUAAAAUAAUUUAGGUAAUAUGCUUCUAUGACUUACAAUUUAAAUAAAUUUGAGAAUUUAUAUAAGGGAUGGAAAAUUCAUAAUAAUCAUAACAUGUGCUAUCUUUUCUUCCUUUUCUUAAUUAAAUAAAAGAAAAAUAUUCAUCACAGAACCACCGCUGUUUAAAAUGACCCGAUGAUCGAUGAAGUCGCAUUCGCCUAUCUAAUAUUGCGCAAUCAGAUAAAUUCUCAAAUUUAAAAUGAAUUUAAUCUGCAAUUAUAUCAAUAACUACACAAUAAAGAUUAAAAAAUUUCAAAUUAUACUUGAGUUAAAAUUUAAUUCUUUUUUAUUGUUUAAAGUAAUUUAUUUAUAAUUAUUUUAACCCAAUUAGAUUUAUUUUUUUUAAUGCUUGUUCUAUGACAGAAUUGGUCCUCAAAGUUUAAUUAAGCUUGAGAUGGAUACUCUCAGCAAUUUAUUACCUAUUUUAUUAGAAUCUAAGAGGAAAAGAGAGUUGCGAUUUGUAUGUGUAGAAAGAAAAUGUCAAAACGAAAUGUUAAUGUCACUUGUAGAGAGAGAGUUGGGACUGAUGACCAUAUACAUUUUUCCGCCCCUAAUAAGAGCUUGCUUGACGAUAGUGAAGAACUAAUGAGACUGAGGAUCUGCAAUUUAGUCAUGAAAAAUUAGUGACUAAAUACAACUAAAUUUCAGUUUUCUCUUUCUAAUUUCUUUGGGAUCCAGAAAAAAACAUUUCCCCCUCAAUUUUCUGUUUGCAAGGGGGUAACUGUAAGCACAGUCUGAUUUUAUUUUCAGGGAAUAAUAUCGGUGAACCACCGUCGGGAAAAAUUUGAAGUCUAAACAGGUCAUUCACAGAUAAGGCCAAAGAGUAAAACAGGUCGUUCAUCGUGCGUUUGGAUUCCUUUCAUCUUGUUAAUUAUUGAAGACAAGAUGAAAACGCAACUAAUGGGGGCCGUGUAUGGUGUAUAAAAUAGCAUUAAUUGUUGUCUGUGUUUGUUGUUUAAUGCUAUUUUAUACACCAUACAUGGCCCCAAUUCCAAUUAGGGGAAUUCAAUAUUUUAAUUUUUUGCAAGAUGACUUUCAUCUAUCUCAUUGGCAGGCCGGCCAAGACAGUAAUCAUCCAUUUCAUCUUAUGAAUUAUUGAAGACACGUAGCUGUUCGACGCCUGCACUUUUCAAAUCUGAAGAGCAAUUAGACAAUAUUUCUAUUUCAAAUUGGGGCCACACUCCAAAAACAUUGCAAUAAUUCUCUGUUUUAUACCUAAUAUUGCGCAAUCAGAUAGAAAAAAGGGUCGGCUGCAUGAUUUUUCCAACUUUUGUUUUAUUUUUUCUCUUUUCCACGGGCAUGGGCCCCGACCACCACAAAAUAAUUUGAGAAUGUUAUAUUUAACAAUUCUCUUUUUGUCGUGACAUAAUGGACUAAAACGGAAUCACAACUUUUUCAAAUGACCAAAUGGCUUCGCCCAACGUGAUAAUAAAAGGCCAUAUAGAUGAGAAAUGGAUCCAUACGUUAAAGCUAUAUUGAAACAUAUAAUAAAUAAAUAGUCAGGAGAUGAUUUUUAUCAAAAAUUUCACUCGCACGGUCCCGACCAAAUACAAAUUUGUGAUGAUAUUCAUAAUGAAUUUAUACAAUUAGGCGAAAUUACUCUAUAUAGUUCCAUCGAUAUAUAUUAUAUCAUUAAAAAUAUACUAAUAUUUAUAAUAAAAAAAAUUUAUGACUAUUCUAAAUCGACUGUAUUAUAUGUGAACUCACAAGAUUCAUCGAUAGAUUGCACUGAGCUUUUUGUUGCAGUUUACAAAUAUUUUGUUACUAAUUAUCUUAAGAGCGGCAAGUAACUAAAUACAAAUGUAAGAAAUUUUACAAGUGCUGAUGCUGUGUACUCCGCAGAAAGCUAGCCCACGACGGUGACUCCUGUGGGGACUCCUUCAAUUUGCAGCACAAAUUGACAUUGACUUGAGGGUAAAAAUUAAAAUAUCUCCAAUUAGUAUAAGAAGAAUCCAAACAUGCUUGAAUGAACAUUCUCUCAGAAUACAUAAAACCUACUUUUCUCAGAGCAUUUUAGCAGCAAGAAAAGCAAUUGCAUCAUUUACCAUUUGAUCUAAUAUCAGAAUGGCUCAUGCGCUCGUUUCCUCUCUCUUGGACCAGCUGAAUUCCAUUGCUCAAGAUCAGGUGAAAGAAAAGUGGAGGCUUGUGACGGGUGUCGAACAAGAAGUGGGAAAGCUUACCACCAAUCUUCAAGCCAUUCAAGCUGUGCUGGAAGAUGCAGAGCAGAGGCAAAUGAAGCAGGACAAAGCUGUUACUUUUUGGCUAGAUCAGCUCAGAGACGCAUCCUACGACAUGGAAGAUGUGUUGGAAGAGUGGAUCACUGAAACACGGAAAUUGCAGCUUGAUGAGCGAGGCGAUGAUGAUGAUGAUGAUAACGACAGUGCUUUUGUUACUUUUUUGACGAAGGUAUGUUCCUUCUUUCCUGUUGCCUCAAACUGCUUUGGUGGUUUCAAACAACUCAGCCUUCGUCAUGAUAUUGCUGUCAAGAUUAGAGAAAUCAGUGAAAAGCUAGAUGUUAUUGCCAGACAAAAAGAUAGUUUCAAAUUUGUUGAGAAUGUGAGUAACAAUGUUAGGAAACCAGAGCGAGUGCGAACCACCUCCUUGAUUGAUGAGGGAGAGGUUUUUGGUAGAGUUGAUGAGAAAAGUGAGCUAUUAAGCAAGUUGUUGGGUGAAAGUAGUGAACAACACCCUCAUAUCAUCUCACUGGUUGGGUUCGGGGGUAUAGGUAAAACCACUCUUGCACAACUAGCCUAUAAUAAUGAUGAGGUGAAAAGAAAUUUUGAAAAAGUUAUAUGGGUGUGUGUAUCAGACACUUUUGAGGAGGUUAGGGUGGCCAAAGCAAUCAUUGAAGGUCUAGGCGAGUCAAAAGAAGCUUCUGAUUUAAGCGAAUUCCAAUCUCUUAUGAGCCAUAUCUAUAGAUCAAUUGGAGGAAAAAAAAUUUUUCUUGUCUUAGAUGAUGUAUGGGAUGGGGAUUCCAAUAAAUGGGAUCCAUUCUUCUUUUGUCUAAAGAAUGGUCUCCACGGAAGUAAAAUUUUGGUUACCACACGUAAUGAGUCAAUUGCACGUAUGAUGGGAACAACAGAGUCAGAUACUAUCUCCAUUGAACAACUGGCUGAAGAGGAAUGCUGGUUGUUUUUCAAGCAGUUAGCAUUUUUUGGUCGCUGUUUCGAGGAUUGUGAAAAAUUAGAACCAAUCGGGCGAAAAAUUGCAUGCAAGUGCAAAGGCCUGCCUCUUGCUGCAAAGGUAAUAGGGAAUCUCUUGCGCUCUAAAAUUACAGUAAAAGAGUGGCAAAGAAUUUUAGAUAGUGAAAUGUGGAAAGUAGAAGAGAUUGGGCAAGGUCUUUUGGCUCCUUUGUUGUUGAGUUAUAACGAUUUGCCCUCCAAUUCGAUGGUAAAACGGUGUUUCUCAUAUUGUGCUGUCUUUUCAAAAGACUACAGUAUGAACAAAGAAGAAUUGAUUAGUUUGUGGAUGGCUCAAGGUUACUUUAACGUAGAAGAAGACGAAGAAAUGGAGAUGAUUGGAGAAGAGUAUUUCAACAUCUUGGCAACACGCUCUUUCUUUCAAGAGAUUGAAAAAGAUGAGGAUGAUGAUGAUUUUAUGAGCUGUAAGAUGCAUGACAUAGUACAUGAUUUUGCCCAAUUUGUAUGUAGAAAAGAAUGUUUGUGGCUAGAAAUUGAUGGUAACAAAGAAUCAGUCAUAAAUUCUUUUGAUGACAAAGUCCGUCACCUAGGAUUAAAUUUUGAAGGAGGCGCUCCACUUCCUAUGUCCAUUCAUGGACUUAAUAGAUUGCGGACCCUCCUAAUUGAUGAUGGAAGUUUUCUCUAUCCAUCUCUUCAUAGUAGCAUCCUUCCGGGGUUAUUUAGUAAAUUGGCGUGUUUAAGGGCAUUAGUUAUAAGGCAAUCGUCCUCAUUUUCUGAUCCUAGCCCAUAUUUGAUUACAGAAAUUCCAGAAAAUGUUGGAAAAUUGAUACAUUUAAAAUAUCUUAAUUUGUCUAAAUUAUGUAUAGAGAGACUGCCUGAGACUUUGUGUGAAUUAUAUAAUUUACAAAAGCUAGAUAUUAGGGGUUGCGUAUAUCUUAGAGAAUUGCCUGCGGGGAUUGGGAAGUUAAUGAACAUGAGGAGUUUACUGAAUGGUGAAACUGAUUCGUUGAAGUACCUACCAAUAGGGAUUUCUAGAUUGACCAGCCUUCGAACAUUAGAAAAGUUUGUUGUGGGUGGAGGUGUUGAUGGUGGCGGCACGUGUAGGCUUGAAUCUCUGAAAAAUCUUCAACUCCGUGGUAAAUGUUGUAUAGAAGGGCUGAGUAAUGUGUCGCAUGUAGAUGAGGCUGAGAGGUUACAACUUUACAAUAAGAAAAACCUCCUUCGUUUGUAUCUUGAGUUUGGUGGAGCCGUAGAUGGGGAAGGCGAAGCAGGGAGGAGGAAGAACAAUGAGAAAGAUAAACAACUUCUUGAAGCCUUACAACCGCCUUUGAAUGUAGAGGAGUUAAGGAUUAUAUUCUACGGAGGCAACAUUUUUCCCAAAUGGUUGACUUCACUAACCAACCUAAGGGAUUUAAUACUUUUCUUCUGCGU
rnacentral:lncRNA from 1 species